rnacentral:lncRNA from 1 species
UUUUCCUCAACAGAAAUCAUGUUGAUUAUUUGUAGCAAAACACGCUCGAGCCCUUCACCAUCACUCCAUUCAUGAAUCUCCGCCUUGAUGAGCAAAGGGUUCCCGCAAAUUAAAUCCCAGACUGGAAAAUUCUUCCUGGGCAUCAUAUAGUCUGCUUUUCCAAGCCUUAGACUUGGGCAGUAAUCACCGGUACCAUCUCCAAGGUAGAUGAUUUUUUUCCUCCCCUCUAAAGAAGCUUGAAUCCUUUCAAUGAUCAUCCCCUGUUACACAAAGCAGAAGCCAAAAUUAAAAUUGUUGACAUCUUGUUUCAUGAUUGUCAUUAAAUUUAUAUGAUUGUUGACCCAUGUCAAGGUCUUGGGUUUGUUUAUGACCUUACAUGAGCCAUUACUUUAAUAGAUUAAGUGGGGUCAAGAAAAGAAGUUGACAUAUCUAAAAUGAAAAUAGAUUUAAAAAAUAAAGAGAUAAAUAAAAACUCCAAGCAAGUUGGACGAAUUUGACUCUGUACAUGUGGAAUACCAUCAAGUAAUAAAAUUUUCUAGAAAUUUUCACUUAAUAUGAAAAAUCUAGGUCUUCCUACAAAAGUUUGGUGUCUUGAUUUAAAAUAUUUACAAUUGUGAUAUUCAUGAAAUUAAAUCUCAUGUUACUGAUGAAAAACAUAUGAUACCUUGCACAAAUUUGGGGGGCAGAUGUUGCAGCCAUGAGAACUCUUGGUGAAAUCAUGAUAAGGAAUGAUCCUCAGCCUCCCUUCUUCAUCAACAAAGCCGGGGUUGGUAUUGAUCUCUGAGAAAUAUUCCCUCAAUCCAAGAUGCUCCAGCAUUGUCUCAACGAAGAACAUGUUUGCAUCACUCACAAUCCUGAGUUCACACCUGAAAAAAUAUUCAAACCAAUUUGAUCACCCUAUAUUUCUAUUGCUUCAAACUGUAGUUUUUAUAGUCACAGGUCAAACACCAAGAGGAGAAGCAUAGAAAUAACGGAGUACCCUAAAGAAUGAGCUGAUUUAAUAGCGGGCACGAUCCUAGGAUGGAUAGGAGCUCGUUUCAGAACCUCAGCAAUGUCAUCAAUGGUUUUUUCUUGGGCAUGAAGCUCCUUCAUCAUCCUGUCCUGUAAUUUUAUUCCACAAACACUGAGUUUCAUUUUUUAUAAAUGUAAAGCCAACAGAAAGAGAAAUUGCAGAGGGCUUAAUAUGGGUUACCAUGAGAGAAUUCCAGGGCAUGAUAGGAAGAAGCUGGUUGAACAAGUCGGUGAAACCCAAGUCAUCGACAACCCAGUUAUCACUAUCACAGUCGAUGAUGGUUUUGUCAAAAUCAAAAACCACAACAGUUCCAGCCAUCUCUCUGAAUGAAAAUCAAACAAAAUACAAAACAAGAUUGGAAAAACUCAGCAACACUUUGAAUGUUUUCUUGUUGGUAUAGCAGCGUAACAGGGGAUGGGUAUUUAUAUGCAAACAAUGGAUUUUAUUUUAUGCCAAAGGAAUAUUACGUGAAGGGAUUAUUAGGUGUAAGUAGGAAGCAAUAAGUAGGACACAAGAAGCCCUUUUUCCUGCAAGCUUCCUACGCAACACAUACUAAUCUGAUACAACUGCUUGUAAAUUAUUACUCCGGUAUAAGCAAUAUUUACCGUUUGAUGGAUGACUUUUGAACCAUGUGAUUAAUCAAGUUUAGUCAGCGGAUCAGGGGGAAAAAGGUGUAGGUUAAUUAUGAAAGGGAUUAGGUUUAAGGCUUAAGGUUUGUCAAACUCCUCUCCAUUACUCCAUUCGCAUACUUGUGCCUUUACUAGCCUCCUGUUUUUUUGCAAAUCAAUUCCCAAACUGGGAAAUUCUUCCUUGUCAUUACAUAGUCCCCAUCUCCCUUCUUCAAACUUGGACAGAAAUCGCCAAGCUCAUCACCGAGGUAGAUUAUUGUUUUCUUCUCCUCCACGGGCAUGAGAGAGACUUGGAUCCUUCCAAUCAUAAUACCCUAUUAAGAAAGAAUUCAAUCAUUAGUCAGUUGGAUGGGAAGAAAAUGAAGAUAACUUAAAAAUAAUUAUAGCAUAAAAUUAUAUAUCUUACAGCUAAUCAUGCUUUGGAUUCAUUACGUUUACUAAACAUUAGAAUUCAGUGGCGGAUGCAUAUGGUAUAGUCGGGUAUUCAUGUACACCUCCAAAGGUUGGAAAAUAAAAAUGUUUUCUUCGGACACCUUCAAAUUUUCUUUUUGAACAUAUCUUUCUUAAUUCCUUAUUCUUCAAUCCUUCAUUCACUGCCACUAUCUAAUAUCCAAUCACAUCUCACAGUUAGUUAAUGCCCAACACACCUCCAUAAAAAAAAUCUUGCAUCCGCUACUGUUAGAAUUCAGUAAUAUUUCACGCAUGAAUGCAUGAUUCAUGUUAAAAAUGAUAUACCUUGCACAUGUUUGGAGGGCAGGGAUGAUGAAAUCCAUGAGUAGAUUGAGUGAAAUCAUGGUUAGGCAAGAUCCAUAGCCUGCCUUCUUCAUUUACCAAACCUGGGUUGGUAUUGAUCUCUGAAAAGCAUUCCCUCAGGCCAUGAUGCUUCAAAAUUGUGUCGAUGAAGAACACGUUCGCAUAACAUACAAUCUUCAAAUCUCACCUGAAAUUAAUAAUGCCAUACUAGUAUUUUUUUUUUUCUAGCGAGAAAACCAGAAAGAAACUUUAAAUAUACAUGCCGGCCGGAUUGUAGUUGGCGGGAAGGAAACUCCUAAAGCUAAGAAAUGUUGCCAGAGAGCUUAUAAAGUGUAUGGUCUUGCGACGGAGGAAUAAUAUCACAGGCUGCAAUCCCUGAGAAUGCAACUGUGGCAUCUGCUCUCUCGACAAACGAUUGGAUGCAAUAUCUCACUUCUUCUCUACUGAUGAGGGAUAUGCAGCAGAUGUCGGCUGGUCUGAUCUUUACUGAACAAGAAGAUGUUGUUUGGCAGGCAUCAAAGUCUAGCAAGUUCUUACUUUCAAAUACAUGGGACUGGAUCAGGGAAAGGCAACCCACUGUGGUUUGCCAUAAACUGGUCUGGAUUCCUCUUCACUCACCAAACAUAGUUUUAUCACUUGGCUUAAGGUUCUUAGUAGAUUGAGCACAGUAGCUAAUAUUAGGAGUUGAUGUACUCAAAUGUCACUAGGGAUCAUCUUUUCCUUUCUUGUGACUUCUCAAAGCAAGUUUGGCAAUUAGUUUUAGCAAAAGUGAAGUGUGUUUUUUAUUGCAAUAUCCAAAAAUGACAGCAGGAGCUCGAUUGGAUUAUUAUAGGUGAAACUUUUUAGACUAUGAUUCUGAGAGGAGUGUGAACAAGUAUAAAUAUAUCACAUUUGGCAUGCGAGGAAUUCUCCAAAACUUGGUAUUUGUUCUCUAAACAUUGACAAAUACUUUGCUAGACAUUAGUUUUAAUGUAAAGUUUUGCCUCUUAAAAUUUGUAAAAAAUAUGAAUAAUCCAUCUAUUAGCUCUGUAUGUAAAAAUUGAGGGCCGGGAUUGUAUAGGCAAUGCUAAAGCUCAUUGUUUGAUUUGUUGACUGGUGGCCUCCUACUUCUUUGGAUCAAUGAAAUACCAUUUAUGAAAAAAAAAAAAACUAAAUAUACACGAACAGAGAGAAAAAUGUAUGCAUAGCGCAAAGCAUGAGCCGAUUUAAUGGCUUUGAUGAUUCGGGGAUGCAUCGCAGUUGUUUGUAUAACAGCUACAAUGUCAUCAAUUUUUAUUCCUUACGAAUGAAGUUUUUUCAUCAUUAGAUCCUGUUUUGUAAAUAAAAAAAUAAACCCUGGUUCUUACAUUUGGAAAAGAAGGAAAAAGAAAAACAUAAAUUAAAAGACUAACCAUAAGAGAGUUCCAAGGCAUGUAGGGACGAGUUGAUUGAACAACUAUGUAGCACGUCAGAGAUCUAAGACAUUUGAAAUUCAAGUUAAUUGAUUUAUGAAAUUAUUUUUAAGAGUUGAUAUCUAGAGACUUAAAUCUCAACAUUUACAAUCAUUUCUCAUAUUCUCAAAUGGACUCCUUAAUAAAAAAAAAUGUCUAUAAUAAGAAAUUAAUUAUGUUUAAUUUGUUUGAAUUGUCAAGCUACUUUAUUCUAAGUUUUAAAAUUUUUUACUUUUUUAAAAAUAUGUUUAGAUUUUAAGUUAUAUAAUCAGAAACAAGUAAUUUAUAAUCAUAUUUCACAUAAAAAUCAUUUCUAGUUUAUAAGAUUUAAAUUUAAAUUAUAAUUUCAAAUUCUUUCUAAAAAUUAGAUCAUGUAAAAUCAAGAUAUAUUUAAAUUUAUGCUUUAUUCUGAUUCUUAAUCUCUUUAUUAUUAGAAUAAUUAAUCUACAUAAGUAUCUACAUAUAUAUUCAUAUCCAUAAUGUGUUUCUAUAAAAGUGAGAAAAUUUCUCCUCAAGAAGAAUCAAAGCAUGUAAGGAAUAUUGAACCUUUGGAAUUUGCCUAGUACAAGCAGAUAGAGAAGCAUUUCUACAGAAGCUGUAUAACAUGAGUGGGGUUUAAAAGAAUAAAAAGUUAGACAAAUAAAUUAAAUAGGUUCGGGUUUUGUUUUAAUAAUUAUAUUUAUUUACGCUAUAGUCAAGUACGUGCAAAACAUUAGUUUAAAAUUUAAUUCAGUUAACUUAUAAAAUUAUUUUUAAAAAUUAGUAUUCAAUUAAAAUUUAAAUUUCAAUACAUGUGUUAUCUUCUUUUAUUCCAUGUAAUCUUUUCUAAUAAAAAAUUAAGUCAUGUAAAGUUUUUUGUUAAUUUUUUAUUAUUUGUUAAUCUACCUAUUCUACAGUAUAUGAUUAAUUUAAUAACCACCACUCCACUUAAUUAAUCUUAACCUUGCAAUUAAAGAAGUAAAACUUUUCCAUUGAUAGGAACUUAAGUAACUUCUUGGUCAUGGAAAUAGCAAUCUCCAUAUUGAAAUGUAAAUCAUGAAAUUAAAUCAUUAAUCCUACUACACAAUUCGUCCAAUAGAAACUAAUCUAAUUUGAACAUAUAUGUAAAUUUGAGUAUAUGUGCAAAAACAAUAGGCGGACGAUUCUUAAGUGAUGAAAAAUUUAGAUAAUUUGAAACUAAACUCUAGUAGGUCAUGUAUAUAGUUGUUUUCGGAGAAGGUAUUCAAUAAGUUUAAGGUUUAAAUCUCAACACUUUCUUUCAUUUCAAAAUUACGAUCUCUUUUGUAACAAAAAAAAAAACUAGAAAUAAUCUUUUAUUUGUAACUUUAAACUGGUGAAUUUAAAUAACAAUAAAAAAAGACAACAAAAGGAAGUUCAUUUGCUCCUCAAAUAAAAUGAUUUGAAAUAGCUAUCAGAUAUAUGGGAAGGUAUGAAUCGGUCUAGAUAGUUAGCCUUUUGUGAAAAGUAUGGUCAUAUUACACAUCUCCUUUCAAUGGUAGUUGAACAUUCCCUCAUCAGAGUAGCAGUGCAAUUAUGGGAUCCUUCAUAUAGUGCUUCAUCUUCAAUAAGGUUGACAUGACACCAACUAUAGAGGAGUAUUUUACAUUGAUGAGUUUGCAUCUCCAAUUACUAGAUAAGAUAUAUGUUAGAAGGCAAAAAUCAACAUUUCGUAAAAAACUCAUAGAUAUCAUGGAGUCAAAAAGGAAGAUGUAAAUGUAUAGAUUUAAGAAAGAAAUGACCAUAUUUGUCUGCUUUGAGAGUUUUUUCAUAAUUUCAUCACAAAGCAUCUGAAUGAUGAUCAAGGGUUGGAUAUAUUUGCUUUAGCCAUAUAUGGCAUGGUAGUUUUUCCUAGAAUUUUAAGUCAUAUUGAUAUAGAAGUGAUUGAUUUUUUGUAGCAUGUGGAAAAAGGUUGCAAUCCCUCUUCUACAAGCUUAGUUGAAACAAUUAUAUCGCUGAAUUAUUUACAUCAAAAAGGCAAAGGGCACUUUGUUGGAUGUAUGCCAUUAUUAUAUUUGUCAAUGAAGAGUCACUUUAUGUGUAAGAAGAAUGCAUUUUCCAAAAUCUACUUUCGUAAUAGAGCUUCAAUUAAGCAAUUUUGUAAGAAUGAAUGGCCAAAGCCCAAAGUUAAGGAGGAAUGGAUGGUCCUGCUACAAGGUCUUAUUUGCACCCAAGUGAAAUGGUUAGUUCUAUGAAUGGAUCAUGAACUGAUGUUAUAUCCAUAUAAAGAUGAAAUAGGGGUCCCACUUCUAGGUUUAUAUAGAGCAACAAGUUAUAUAUCGCUUAUGGUUUGAAAGUAAUUUGAGGCUAAGUAGUUCAUUCUUAUGACAUACAAACUCACUCAAUCAGAUUUUUUACAUAGUGUGUUAAAAUUACUACAAAAGGUGGAUAAUGUGAUCAAGGCAUGGAAGAAGCCCAAAAGAGUGAAUCCUUGGUUAGCUAUUGACAAAGUCACUUAUAAGUAUUUGGUGUGGAAAGCCAAGAGAGGUAAGUAGGUUGUGUUUACACUCAAAGAUCAUUGCCAACCAGUGAAUUAGGAGUUGGAUGAGAUACCUUCAGAGUUAGAGUUUGUAAGGAAAGAAUUUAAAGCUAAGAAAGACAAGAUAAAAUAAGAGAUUCAAUGGCUUUAAGAAGAGGAAAGCAAUGGAAAGACAAGGUAGAAAAGCUAGAAGUUAGAGUCCACAAGAUCUCUAAUGAGCGUGAUACAAAAGUUAAUAAUUUGGCCAAACUUCAUCAAUAACAUAAGAAGUUAGAAUUUGAAUGUAAAGCCUAAAAUGAUGUUAGAAAACAUGACAAUGACUUUAAGGAGAUAAUGGAAUUACAUUAAAAGUAUAAAAGAUUACAUAUCCAAGUGAAGGCUAAAGAAAUAAAUAUCAUUAAUUUGAUUUUUUAGAAGGAAAAGUUGAAUAGAGAAUAUUCCCAAAUGGAGGAUAAUUGUGUUGAAGCCCAAAAGGAGAAUGAGAUGCUUAGAAGGUAUAUUUAGACAUUGAAGUAAAAGUUGAAUGAACAAAGAGGUCAGAUCAUGGUACUCACAAAAGAGCAUAGAGAGCUAUUUUACCAAGUAUGAUUUGGCAAAAAAAAAAGUCUGAGAAGGUAAAAAUACAUAGAGCAUCUUGCAACCUAAAUAAGUAAAGUAGUGAUCGGGGUAAGGGAAAUGGUUUAAGAGACUGAUGCAUUGAGAAUAAUGGUUACACCAAUAGAAGAACAUGGAUAACAUUUAUUAAACUUCAUUAAAGAGUUUAAGGAUCAGUAUAAGCAAAUUAAAUGUUUUUACAAGUAAGAAUAAUAGACUUAGUGUAAAACAAACUUUUAUGGAAUAAAUGAAAGUUCACUUGUGUUGAAAAUUUUUAAAGAAGCAAAUAUUUUCUUUGUUUCUUUUUUAUACAUUGCAUUCAUUCAUACAUAAUUAAAAUCUUAAUCGUGGCAAUCCAUAAUAAGACCAUUAAUUUAAGGUUAUGGUAUACAAAGUUCAAGGAUACAUCAAACACUAGUGCAACAUCAGAGCUCAAGCUAGAAUAAUUGAACAAGAUAAUGCAAGUCGUGUUGAGAAAUUACAAAAAGCUCAAGAGAAAAUCAAGGGAGAAUUGAGCAAAAUCUUUAAAGCUUUGACUAAGCUAAAUAAGAGAAAUACAAUAAAAGAAGACAUUUUAUAUGAAGUUACUGAUCUUUUGUAUUCUUUGAGUUAUGGCCUGUACCAAGCCCAAUCUACUCAAAGCUUCCCACCAUAACAGCUCACAUUGAUACAAGCUAUAUUUAUUUAGAAAUGCCACCUGCACUGACAACAGAGUAUCUAUAAAAUCAUACAACUUGGACUGAGACUAAGAUAGACUUAUCCAAAAAUAAGAUGGACAUAUCCUUGGUCCAAAUCCACAAAGUAAAUGCAAAAAUAAGGUAGACUAUACUAGGAAGGUUGUAUUCACACUAGUUAGAGUAGAAGAGGAUGAAUAUAGAUAAGAUUAUGGUCAAAUUCAUUAUUAUGUAAUUUGCAGGAGUAAAAUAGUUCAUAUGCAAAUCAUUUUAUUUUAGGCAUGAUUCUAGCAAUACAAUCUGAAAGUUCCCAUGCUUGAAGGGAUAUUCCUAGCCUAUAUAUUUUUUAUUAUUCUUUGGUAGAAGGCAAAAUAGAGUUUUCUUUAUCCUUAAGCAAUCUUUUAGAUUGUUUUUCAAGUUUUGUAUCUUUUAGGUGGAUUUCCUAGAAUGGUGAACUUUUAUUAUUCUGUAUCUUUGAUUGGAAUUCUUAUGGUGGUAUUUUUAUAUCCCUUAAUUGCUAGUUUUGGUGAUGAACUUUUAUCCCUUUUAAUCCAAUAAUCAUAUUUUGUCAUUAUUCAAAUCCUUGUGAGUUAUUUUCUUUAUGAGUUUUUUUAUUUAUAGUUAAUCUCCACAUCUUAAACAUCAAUUCUUAGCAUCAAAUUGGUAUCAAAGCUAUUGCAGGUUAUCGUCAUCAAGCAUAAGUAGAAGAGGUUAAAGCCAACACCGAUGUUGUAACAACUAUUAAUAUUGACUACUCAUAGAGGAGAUGCAGCAACAGAUCCUUCAACUAUAACAUCAACUAUAUAUACAAAAAGAAAGAGUGGAGAUAAAGAGGUAAUAAAAGAGAAAUGAAAAAGAUGAAGGAGAAACCAAUCCAUACCUUAGAAAUAAUAAUGAUUUUAAUGAUAGCAUCCUCUAUCACCUACGGUAAGUCAGAAAGUAUUUAAGCAGAAACCAAUUUCAAAUUAGCAUAUUCAAUCUGAAGAUAGAGAUUCUUGAGUUUAAGAGAAAAACGCAACCUGAAGAAUUCUUAGAUUGGCUAUACACAGUGGAACACAUAUUUAAAUAUCAUGAUGCCCUUUAACAUUGCAAGGUAAAGCUAGUGGCCAUCAAACUUAAAAAACAUGCAUCUUUCUAGUGAAAAAAUUCGAAAAAGCAAAGGGAAAAAAAGUAAGAGAAAAAUUAUAACUUGAGAGAAAAUGAAAAUAGUUGAAAAAAAAAAUAUCUCCCAGACAACUUUUGGCAAGAUGUCUUUCUUAGGCUUUAUAACUUGAAGCAAAGAGAUCUGUUAGUGAAAGAGUAUACUGCUAAGUUUGAUCACCUUAUGUUACAAUACGAAUUAAUGGAAUAAAAGGAGCAGACUAUUACCCAAUAUCUUAGAGGAUUGAAGAUUGAGAUAGCUAAUGUGGUACAGCUACAACCCUAUUAGACUUUCAAUGAUGUAUGCAAGCUUGCCCUUAAGUUGGAGAGACAACAAAAAGAGGCCUAUGAUAGCAAUUUAAGAUUUAGGUUUCGAAAAAGCAAGCCUUUGUCUAGUGCACAAGCUAGAAGGUGUUUUAAAUGUCAAAGGCUUAGACACAUUGCCUCAGAAUGCCCAAACAGAAAGAUUAUAAAUCUAGUAGAGGAAGACUUAGAGAAAAAAAGAAAAUAAGCUGGCAGAAAAGGAUUAAAAGCUUAAAGAGGAGGAAGAGGUAACUUAUGGCUAUUGUAAAGCAUCAUUAGUCAUACAAUACAACUUGAGUAUCGCACCUGCUAAGAAAAAAGAUUAGUUAUGUAAAAACAUAUUUCACACUCGUUACACUACCCAUGCGAAGGUAUGUGAUGUUAUAAUUGAUAGUGAAAGUUAUGAAAAUGUUGUUUCUACCUUUAUGGUACAAAAAAUAGGCCUCAAAGUAAUGGAUCACCUCUAACUAUAUAAGCUGUAUUGGCUACAAAAAGAGAAUGAAAUGAAGGUUAGCAAAAGGUGUUUGGUUCUUUGUUCCAUAAGAAAGUAAUAUAAAAAUGAAGUGUGGUGUGAUAUAACUUCAAUGGAUGCUUGCCAUUUACUGCUUGAAAGACCUUGGCAUUAUGAUAAAAGGGUUAUUUAUGAUGAUUACUGCAACACUUAUACAUUUGUGAAUGAUGGAUGCAAAAUCAUCUUAGGCCUUACCAAGCUCAUGGUGAUGUCAAAACCAACCAAAAAGAAAAAAAAACAGCUUGUUUACCAUGGCCAAUUACAGAAAAAAAUUAAGAUGGCCAAUACUAUAUACGUACUAGUAUUGAUUGAGAAGAAUAAGAUAGUGAGGAGAAUAAGAUAGUGAAGAGCCCUUAUAGUACCAUUGUUGGUAGAAUUUCAAGAUGUUGUUUAAGAAGAGUUAUCAGUUGGUUUACCAUUAAUGAGGGAUAUUCAACACUACAUAGACCUUAUCCUAAGAGCUAUUUUACCCAACAAGGCAAAACUUUUCUUGAAGAGUUACAUGGAAAGGAAAUUAAUGAGAACUUGUUUUACUAUAGGUGGAGUUUGCCUACAAUUAUUCACCAAGUCAAACUAUUGGUUAUAGCCCUUUUGAAAUUACUCUUAGUAAGAAAACAAUCUGGCCUUUAGUUUUAAGUCAACGUUAUACUAAUCAACAUUUUGAUGAAGAUGUAGAAAAAAAAGUCAAGAGUAUCAAAAUAUUUCAUGUAUAGGUUUAAAAUAGAAUUUUGUAAAAAAAUAAGAAAUAUAAAAGGGAAAUAAUCAUGCAUCGAAGACAUGUGAAGUUUAAAGAACAUGAUUUGGUGUGGAUUUACUUGCAAAAAGAAAGAUUUUCCCCAAAAAAGUUUGGCAAAUUACAACUUAAGGUAGACGGUCCAUUUAGAGUUAUCCAACGAAUUAGGGAAAAUGCCUACAAGAUACAGCUUUCGAACACUUAUAAAGUAUCUUUCACCUUUAAUGUUGUUGAUUUGUCACCUUAUCAUAGCAAGAAUACUAGUUUAGACUUGAAAACAAGUCUUUUUCAACCAAAGGAUAUUGACACUAAAGUAUCUACACAUCUUACAACUUAGACUGGGACUAAGGUAAACUUAUCCAAAAAUAAGAUAGGCCUAUCCUUGGUCCAAAUCCACUAAGUAAAUGGAAAAAUACACUAGCUAGAGAAGAAGAGCAUGAAUAUGGAUGGGAUUAUGGUUAGAUUCAUUAUUAUGUAAUAUGCAGAAGUAAAUGAGUUCACUUACAUAUCUCUUAAUUUUAGGCAUGAUUUUAGUAAUACAAUUUGAAAGUUCUCAUGCUUGGAGGGAUAUUCCUAGCCUAUAUAUUUUAUAUUAUUUUUUGAUAGAAGGUAGAAUAGAGUUUUCUUUAUCCUUAAAUAAUCUUUUAGAUUUUUCUUCAAGUUAUGUAUUUUUUAGAUGGACUUCUUAGAGUAGUGAACUUCUAUUAUUCUGUAUCCUUGAUUAGAAUUCUUAGAAUAAUAUUUCUGUAUCCCUUAGUUCUAGUCUUUGUGGUGAAUUUUUAUUCCUUUUAAUCUAAUAAUCGUAUUCUAUCAUUAUUCAAAUUCUUGUAAAUUGUUUUUAAUGAGUUUUUUUUUGUUUGCAAUUAAUCUCCACAUCUCAAACAUCAAUUCCCGGCAUCAUGCACCCAACCAAGGGAAUAUCCAAAGUUAUAUCAACCUUAUCUUCACUAAAAAGGUAGUUAAACCGAUCUAAGUUCUCAAUUUGAACGAUCUAAAAGAAAAACUAAAAUUAAAGAUGGUUGAGUCUUUAGAGGACUCUAAAACUAAUUAAAUGAUGAAAAUGCUAGAUGAGAGAUUAAAAGUUAUGAAAAGUAUUGAUUUUUAAGGUACUAAAGUUUGAGAAAUAUGACGAUACGAAAUAUCCCAUCAUGCAUGUUACGAUGUUCUGUUGUAAAAUGGUAGCUUACGCUAGUAAUGGAAAAUUACUCAUGCAUGUAUUCCGAGAUAAUUUAGCUGGUUUUGCUGUGAAGUGAUAUGUUAAGUUAGACAAAACUCAUACCCAAUCAUGGAAAAAUCUAACUCACUUUUUUCUUAACCAAUACCGUUAUAUCAUAUAUAUGGCUUUCGAUUGCCUUUCUUUACAAAAUAUAAAAAAAAAUGACUGAGUUUAAGGAAUAUGCCCAUAUAUGGCAAGAUAUAAUUGUUCAGGUCCAACUACCCUUAACCAAGAAAGAGACAACGGUUCUAUUUUUCAGCACUUUGAAAUCAUCCUAUUAUGAAAAGAUGAUAAGGAACGUGACUAAAAAUUUUGUUGAUAUGAUGAUUUCAGGCGAGAUAAUUGAAAAUGCCAUUAAGAAUGGCAAGGUUGAAAGAGGAGAGUCAUCAUGGCCAAGAGGAUGCCUAAGAAAAAGGAAAGUGAAACUUAAGCUAUGAGUUUCAAAAGGUAACAAUUCAGAAAUUAUACUCUUUACCCACAACCCAUUUAUCCUACAUACUAUUCCACCAAAAAUAAUGCUUUAACUUUUCAUACGAACUAGUUUCACAACUUUCUUAUCUUUUCACCUAUCAACCAGCAUUUAGACCACCCACCAAUGCAUACAACCCUAAUACCUCUCUACUAUAAGGCUUUUCAUGAGCCCAUCUAACCCAAUAAGUGGUCUAAAAAACCAUGAAAUAAUCGAAAGAAGCUUAUGUUUUGCCCUAUUCCCAUAAUUUAUAAGAAGUUGUAUAAAAAACUUUACAAUAAUCAUUUUAUUGCUCUUCUUUAUAUAAAUCCAUUUAAAUCUUUUUAUCUUAAAUGGUACAAUCCUACUGUUCAUUAUGAUUACCAUUAUGGAAUCAUAGGUCAUUUCAUUGAAAAUUACAUUACUUUGAAACACAAGGUACAAAAUUUAAUCAAAGAUAGGUUGAUUAACUUUGACACCAGUGAAAAUAACAUCCGAUGUUAGUGGUAAUCUAUUGCCCAAUCACACCGUAAAUGUUUUAAAUGAAGAUAAAAGACGUUGUAUGAAAAAGAGAGUAGAGGAGAUCAAAAGUCCAUUUAGUAGAUUGUAUGAUACUCUAUAUGAGGUUGGGAUGGUACAAUCAGUGGACCCACACAUUUACCAUAGGAGAUGCAUCCUAAAUCAAAGGUGUAAGUACCAUAGUGGGACUUUGGGUCAUUCUAUUGAGACUUGCAAUCAAUUUUAAGACAAGUUAUAGAAGUUGAUGGAUUCCUAUCAAAUUGAGCUAUAUGAAGAGGGAGAAACCUCGAGAAGUACUAAGGUGUCUAUGACUAAUAAGUCAAAGUGGGUACCAAAAUCAAUAACUACUUAUGGUGGUGAAAAGUCAAAAUCAAUUAUAGACAAGCUUGUCCAUAAGUUGUUACCUUCAAAGUCCAAAGCCCAUUCCCAUAUAAGGAUGAAAAGGUUAUACCGUGGAAAUAUGAUUGUGAAGUGAUAAUCCAAGGACAAGAGGAGACCAUACCCAAGCCAAACAUCACCAACAUAACUAGUGUAGGUGAUAUAACUAGAACUGGAAGGUGCUAUACUCUGAAGAUGGUGGAAAGGGCAAGAAAAAAAAUCAAUAAUGAUAGGAAAACAAGCUGAUCUGAAGGAUAGUUUCAAAAAAGACAAUCCAAGACCAUUGUUUGAAAAAAAAGCCUACGAGUUCUUGAAGCUCGUAAAACAUAAAGAAUAUUCCAUGGUCGAGCAACUAAACAAGAUGGUAGCUAGGAUCUCUUUAUUAUCAUUAUUAUUAAAUUUAGAACUGUAUCAUGAUGUCAUAUUAAAGGUGUUAAACCAAGCUUAUAUGGCCCACAAUCUAUUAAUAGAAUAUGUGAACCAUUUGGCUAGGAACCUAGUGGUGCCACAUUAUACAGCCUUUAACGAUGCGAAAUCCUAUCAAAAGGAAAAGGAAGCAUAAAGGUCUUGCACAUUAUUGUCGAAUGCAAGAGUCACAUAAUAGCCAAAGUGUUUAUUGACAAUGGCUCUAUUAUUAAUGUUAUGCCUAUAUCUAUUUUAGCGAGGUUGCCCAUUGAUGUGUCCUAUACAAAAAACAACUGUAUGGUUGUUUAAGCUUUUGAUAGGACUAGGUGUAAAGUAUUAUGAGACAUUGAAACGCAUUUAUAAAUUGGGCCUUGCACAUUUAAUGUAAAAUUCUAGGUUAUGGACAUCUCACCUUCUUAUAGUUAUUUGUUAGAUAAGCCAUGGAUUCACAUGGCAGAUAUUGUUCCCUCCUCUUUACACUAGAAAGUUAAGUUUAAUAUAGAAGGAUAAUUGGAGAUCAUGGUUAAAAAAAAGGAUUUGUAAGUAACUCAGUCCAUGAACAUUUCUUAUGUAAGGCUACGAAAAAAUCAUUGGAGUGUUCCUAUCAAUCCUUCAAGCUUGUCAAUACUAUGGGCAAGGGGUCUAAAUUACACUAACCAGAUUUCACUAGAAUUGUGGUUAGCUAGAUUAUCAAAAAAGGUUGGUAUCCUAGAGUUUGGUUGGAUAAAAUUUUGCAAGGACUAAAAAAGCCUCCAACGAUAAUAGAUAAUAGCAAAAGAUUGGGCUUGGGAUAUGAAGUAAAGAAAUAGGAAAUAAAGAUGAUGAAAAACAACCGAAAAGGAAAAAUGAUAGCGAGGAAUAUACUUGUCAUAAUAUAUAGAUUCAUAAAUCUAUAGUUAUACUUAACAAGAAGAGUCGCCACCAAUCUUUUUUUCUAUGUGUGAUUGGUCACCUAAUGAAUCUACCAUUUUAAAAAGCUUAUAAGCUUGACUAAGGCUCCCUAAAGAAUAGGUUCUGACCUUCUAAAUAGAAUUAGGUUUGAGACUUUAAUUAUUUAUGAAAAAAGUUAUAGCACCACCACAACGCCUAUCUUAAGAUGAUACUAUUUAAUUUUAAAUUAUCUUAACAAUUAUCCUAGUUCUAAAGGUUUUUAUUUUAAUGUUUAAAUAUUGGAAAUGAAUUCUAAGAUUUCUCCAUCAAUUUGAUAGAAUUCUUAAAAAUACUUCCUCACCUCAAGAGUAUAUAAGAAUCUCAUUUGUUUUCUUACAAAAGUUUUAUCGUCGAAAAAAUGUUUAAUCAUUUUUAUUUUAAUUUUUUUAUUAAAAAUAUAUCUAAUUAUUCCAGUAUUUAGAUCAAAUUAGAAAUAUCUUCUCACCUAGAACUUUCUUAAAUGAUCAACCAUUUGCAAUUACUAAGAAUUUCCUCAUCGGGAUUUAUUUUUAUUUUUAAUUUCUAAAUAUUUCACUAUUUAGGUCUAUUUAGAAAAUUUUUUUUUAUUUUUGGAAAGAACAUAAUAUAACAAUUAUUUUUUAAAUUUUCAUUUUAAUUCUUUCAUCAUUUGAAAUAAAUUUAAAGAAAAUUUCUCACCUAGAAAUUUUUUAAGAAUUUUACCAUUUGAAAUUUCUAAGUUCUCAACCUUGGAUAAUUGUCAAAUAUUUUUAACCAAAAUUUUUUAUUUGGAAAAGAAUACAAUUACCUUUAUUAAAAUUUUAUUUAAAUUAUUUUACCAUUUGAAACAAAUUUAGAGAAACUUCUCACCUAAAGAUUUCUUAGAGAAUUUACCAUUUAAAUUUCUACUAAUCUCAUCUUUGGGCAAUUAAUAUUUAAUUCCAAAAUUUUUUUAAAUUUUAUUUUUUUAUUUUGAAUUGAAAAUAAAUAUUUAUUAUUUUUAUUAUUUUUAUUGAAACUUUAUCUAAAUUUUUCUACCAUUUGGGACAAAUUUAGAAAAAAUUUCUCACCUAAGAAUUUUAUAGAAAUUUACCAUUUAUAGUUUCUAAAAAUUUCAUCAUUGGAUAAUUAUUAUUUAUUCUUUAAAAAAUUAUUAAUGUUUUAUUUUAUUUUUUUAUUACUUCUUUUAACUUUUUUUUAAAAUUUAAUUAAGCAAAAAUGCUUUCAAAAUAAAUAAACAAAAUAAAUAAAUAAAAUAAAAACAGCAAAACAGGAAUCGACUUGGCUUGGUUGUUGUGUAUGGCUAGGCUGUAAGCACGAAACUGGCUAAAAAGACUUGGAAAGUGACUUAACUUGGCUUAGUUGUUGGUUGCUGGAUUCUGGGAUUAACCACCAGAAUAUGAGUAAUUACAUUAGAAUUUUACCCUCAAUUGUUGUCAAACCCUUACUCUUACUUUCUCUUCUAUUUUUUUUUUUCAAUUGCUCUUUGAUUGUUGUCUUUUUGUUCUUUGAUUUAAAGGUCUAUUUAUAAGGUACAAUAUGGAGAAUUUCAUAUUGAUUCCAACUUAAAAAUUAGGAUUAUCAUGAAAAAAUAAAAUUUAUCUUUGAAAAGUUUAACUUCAAAUUUAAUCAUGAUAAAACUACAAUUAAAGAUAAACAACAAAUAAGCAAGAUAAAAUAAGUAAUAAAAUAAAAUAAAAAAGAUAAAUAAAAAAUAUAUAUAGAUAAAUAAAGUAAAAACAUAAUUUUGACAAUUAAACUUGGAUCAAAUCUGAGCCUAAUUGAUUUGGGCAUUUGGCCUUGAAAUUGAAUCAGACUUAGUUAAUUUAGACCUCGAACUAAAUUGGGUAUCUACAGUUGCCCCUCUUUCCUCAUUUUCUGUGCAAUAGGAAUUGUGCAACAAUAUAGAUAUUCAUUACAUCUAGAUAUAGCUUAACAACAAUUAUAAAAUCUCAAAACUCCAAAGAUUCACAAUUUGAAAUAUUCAAGAACUUCACAAUUAGACAAUUAGUAACGCAAGUUGAAACUCAAAGAUUCACAAUUUAAGUUCAAAAAAUCACCAUUUUGAAAUUCAAAGGUUCACAAUUCAAUGAUUAGCAAGGUUCAGUUUCCCAAGAAUUUGAUUCACACGGAUUUUCAAAUUCUCAAAAUUUCUAAUUCGCAAGGAUUUUUAGAUUUGCAAGAAUUUGAUUAUCAAAAUUUCAAUUUCACAAGGUUUUUUAGCUUAACAAGAUUUUUCAACCUCACAAGAAUUUAGAUUCACAUGAAUUUGAUUCUCAAAAUUUCAGUUUCACAAGGAUUUAGAUUCACAAAAUUUUAAAUUCGCAAGAUUUUUCAGUUUCACAAGAUUUCAGAUUUGCAAGAACUUAGAUUCACAAAAACUCAUAUUCAUAAAAUUUUAGAUUCAUAAGAACUUAGAUUCACAUUUGAGAGAUUCACAUCCAAAGUUCAAUUCAAGGAUUUGCAUCAAAAUUGCAAGACUCACAUACAACAUUUAAAGAUUCACAUUAUUCUAGAGAUUCACACCCAAAAGUUUAAAGAUUUUUAUUUAAAAAAGUUUAGGAAUUCAUUUCUAAGAUUUCAAAGUUUUUCAUUCGAUUUCCAAGAUUCACAUUUGAUAAAUUUUAGAGUUUCACAUCUAUAUUCAAAGGUUCUCAUUCAAAACAAAAAAUUAGGGGUUCACAUCUAAAAAUUUGAAAGCUUCUUAUUUGAGUUCAAAGAUUUACAUUCAAUAAAUUUUUGAGUUUCAUAUCUAAAUUCAAAGGUUAUUAUUAAAAAAUUUCGAGGUUCACAUUCAAAAUUUUUAAAGCUUCUCAUUCGAGUUCAAAGAUUCACAUUCGAUUGAUUUUAGAGUUUCACAUCUAAUUUAAAGUUUCUCAUUUAAAAAAAAUUUGGGGUUCAUAUCCAAAAGUUUCAAGCUUCUUAUUCAAGUUCAAAGGUUCACAUUCGAUUGAUUUUAAAGUUUUACAUCUAAAUUCAAAGGUUCUCAUUUAAAACUCAAAGAUUCUUACUUAAAACUUAAAGUUUCUCAUUUAAAACUUCUCAAAGAUUCUAAUUUAAAACUCUUUAAAGUUUUUCAUUAUUUUUAACUUUAAAAAUACUCCAUUAAAAGGCUCCAUAACUUUAAAAUUCUAAGUGUUCUCUUCAUAAAACAUUUUUCCAUUUAAAGAUUCUCAAAUUUAUAAAAAUUAUCAAUCUUUUAUCAAAGUCAAAACUUUGUAUAUAAAGAAUGUCAUGAUUAUGAUGCAAAUGAAACAAUCUAGAUUCUCUCAAUAAUGUAGACGCCAUAUUUUAAACCAUAAUUCAAAUGUCUACUACAUGAGGCAAAUGCAUGGCCAGCCAAGAUUCAAAUAUUCACCAGAUUAUAUACAUGUAUUCUUCAAAUAACGAUGCAAACACAAUGCUUGGAAUGCAAAUAUCAAUGUCAUGAAAUUCUUACUUAAUUGUGGUAAUAAGGUUCUUAAGACUCCACCAUCUCAUCUUUUCUCUUUUUAGUAUCUUGGCACUAAUUAUUUUAGAAUAAAUUCUAUCAAUUGAUCCACAUUAUUUUCACCAUUUGAUCACGGCUCAAAGGGUUCACAGCACUAGCAAUUUUAAAACAAAUUUUGUUUAUUGAUUCACAUUAUUUCCAUCACUUGAUCACAAUUCAUAGGUUAUGUCGAUCGAUCCAUUACCAUAUUCAUCACUUGAUCAUCCCAUGUGUCUUUCAAAUCAUCUUUUUAAGCUUUUUUCAUCUUUUUAUUUUCAUUUUUUUUGCCUUCUAGACUUCUUUUUAAAGGAAUACAUGAAUCUUUUCUAAAUAUUAUCAUUCAUUCAUUAUCAUUUCAAUUUUAGACAAAUAUAAUGCAAUCAUAUAUUUUCUUAAUUUAUUUUGAGGAUGCAAAAAUAAGAGAGUACAAGGUGAAUUACGAGAAAGGUAAUCAAUAUAAGAAUGAGUCUGGUACAAAAAUAAAUGGGCAAAGAAAAAAAUUCAAAACAUAUCACUAGGGAUGAUAUUGAAUGGUACAACAAUGUCCAAACAACGAAUACUCAAACAAUUCUUAACAUGAAUCAAAAAUUCUUUUCCAAAAACUCAUUCCAUUGUUUUUCAAAAUUAUAUGAAGCUUAUUGAACAUUGCCCCAGCCUUAAGGGAUUUUUAGAUGUCUUUGAUCUUUCAUAUAUUUGAAUUGUUUAUCUAACUUUCAGUUCAAAUGUUUUUUUACACAAAUCGCCCUUUCAGGUUUUCAAUUUAAGUUUUCCUUUUCUCUCGUUUUACAUUUUUUCAUUUUUUUCAUUUUCAUUUUUUCCUUUCAUUUUUUUUAUUUUUUAAUUUCUCAUUUUUUAUUUUUUUCUUUUCUCAUUUUUUAUUUUUUUCUUUUCUCAUUUUUCAUCCAUUAUUGAUAUCUCCCACACAUCAAUCUCUAAAACACAUAACAUGAUUCCAUUAUUCCAUUAGAAGCAUGCCCUAGCCUAACAUAUGAUCAUUCAAUUUGAAUGUUCACAUUUGAUCAAAAUAGACUUUUAAAGGUUGUAAUGUAGGCUAUGGUGAAGGGUCAUGAAAGAAAUUGAUAAAAUAGGCUCAAAACACAUGUUUAAAUGGUUCAAACCAAAUGAUCAUUUCCCAUCAUGUAAUGCAGUUUAGCACUUUGCCCUUUUUCAUACCAUUUCACUAUUUUUUUCAUCUUAUUUCUCACAAAAAGAUUCUCAUUACUUCAACCCAAAUCAUUUGUUGCAUUUAUUUUCUUUUUUUUUAUAUAUAAAGGAUUAUUUUUUCCCUUUUUUUUUUUACUCUUUAUCUUUAUAGCCUUUUGUGAUCUCUUGUCCUUUUCCUUCUUCAAGUAUGUUUUUCUCAAAAUUUGCCCUUCAGUAUAGAGGAUAAUCCUUGGUUGGGUUUCUUUAGGAAAAAAAUCAUAAUAAGCUCAAAAGGGGUAACAAUAAAUGGUUUUAUGAAUGGCAAAAGAAAUAUGAUCAUUUUUCAUCUCAAAUGUGAAUGUUUUCUUUAAAGAUCAUCUAUUAAACAAAGAUAAACUCAUGGAUCAUUAUAAAUGAUUGCAUAUCUUCAAGACAUAUCUAUUUUAUAUCUGCUAACAGCUUACUUUUCUUGCUCAAAUAGUUUCCAUAGAUCAAUGUGAAUGAGUUCUCAAAAUCAAAUCCUAGAAUUAUUGUUAUCAUUGUCUAAACAUUCAUCAUUAAGAAUUGGAAUAAAAGAUAUGUGAAAAAACUAAGCAUGGAAUAGUAGUUGGGAUAAAAGAAAAAAUAUAAUGAAAUACACUAUACUAACCUUUUAUUAAAAUGAUAAAAAAAUGAAAUCUUAUUACACAAAAAAAUCCUAACAUUACUCUAAAAAGAAUCCCAAAAUGACAAGCAACACCAACUAACCUUAAUGUCCUUGUCCAUUUUAAAAUUAUGCCCCUGUGUGAUUAGGUGAAUGAUUUUUAUUGAUAUCUUGCCCCCUUAAUUCAUUAAAGCUCACCAAGCUUUUUUCGGAUUAAACUUUGCACCUUAUGUUUGAAAGUAGGGUAAGUUUCAAUAAAAUGACUCAUAAUCCUAUUAUGAUAAUCGCAUGUCACAUUAGCAUCAUACCAUUUUGGAUAGGGUGGUUUUAACGGUUCUAGAAUAACUAGAGAUACCAAGUCAUUCUUAACCAGUUCUGGGAAUAACUCAGUGUAAAGUCAUACGAAUAGGAUCAAUGUGAGCCUUUUCUUGGUUAUUUUGAGAUCUCCUUAAACCACUUACUUGGUUGUUAAGCUUUGAAGCUGAUGUAGUGAUAUAACUAGAUCCAUAUACAAGUAUUUGAAAUGUUGAUUAAUAAGUUAGUGGGUAAGCUAGUUAUGGAUAUGGUUGGUAAAGGGCCUCCGUAAUACAUUAAUUGUGGGAUAGUAAACAAGAUGAACAAGUGGUAGAUAUGAAGCAUAGCUUCUAAAUUGUUGCCUAUCAAAAUUCAUAGCUUAGGUUUCGACUUUUUUCUUUUUAGGCAACCCUCUUUUCCAGAUAGUUUCUCUUUCAUGAAACUUGCCACGUUGAUAGCAUUUUUAAUAAAUUUUCUUGAAAUCACUAUAUCAAUAAAUUUUUUUGUUGCAUUCCUUAUCAUAUUUUCAUAAUAGGGGAUUUUAAAGUACUUACAAAUAACACUGUGAUCUUUUUUUAGUCAAAAGUGGCUAAACUUAAGUAGCUAUAUCUCUUCACCUUUAGGCAUACUUCUUAAAUGAUUCAGUUACCUUCUUCUCCCUAUUUUGUAAGAAAAAGUAAUCAAAAGCUAAAUCUAUUAUAUAUCGAUACUAACUAAAGAAGUCACAGGCUAUCUUACUCCAAAAGUGAAUGCAGGUCUUGUCCAAUUGGUCAUACCAUCUAGCAGUAGAACCAAUAAGUUUAUCUUGAAAUACGUAUAUUAACAGCUUCUCAUUAUUAGCAUAGGCAACCAUCUUCUGACAAUAUAUAGUAAUGUGGGUCUUUGGACACUUUGUACCAUAAUAUUUCUCAAACUCUAGUACUUUAAACUUCAACAAAAUAACAACAUCUGAGAUUAAAUUGUGCCAAGUAGCAUCUAUAGAACCAUAAAAACCAAUUCCCUCUACUGCUCAUAACCUUUCCUCGAGCAUAUUCAUCUUUCUAUCAGUUAUUAAUCCUUCUAAAGUCUCUUUCUCCUUAGGCCUCAGUUUAUUUUUCUCUUUUAGGUCAUCCAAGUUAGAGAUUGGUAUUGAUUCUACUAUUUUCUCAAUAAAGAUAGAAUUUACAUAACUCUGAUAAUGCCUUAGAUUUGAGUCGAUGGCAUUACAGGGUAUGUAUACCCUACAAGGUAUUUCUAUUACUAUGAUAAUGCAUCUUGUGUGGACUAGGCUUGAUGUGGCCCAUAACUAGGAAGAUAAAGAGGAUCAACAAUAUCUUAUACGGAAUGGUUUUGCAAGUUGGUUUUUUGUACACUUUUUCCCUUGUUCAAUUUAUUCAAAAAUAUUAUAAUCUUAUUCAACUCCCCUUCGAGCUUUUCUCGAGCUUUUUUUAUUUUUUCCAAAUGAUUUGCAUUUUCCUAUUCCAUUUGCCUAGCUCGAGCUCUGGUGUUGUACUGAUGGUGAAUGUGUUGAAUUGGGUUCUUAAACAGUGGAGCUAUCUUUAAACCUUGUACCAAAUUAGCUUACUUAUGUUACUAAAUGUGUAUGUGAAGAAGCUUUCAAAAUUAACCUAACUGUUUUAAGAAUGAAUGCAUUGAAUACUUGACAUAACAACUUACGAUUCAUAAACACAUGAAUGUAUGCACAGCAAUGUAUGAAUGCAUGUAUUGAUGUUUGUCCCAUUAUGAUGCAUGGGUGGAUACAUAUGUUAGUGAUGCUAAAAUAAAAUACAACACACAACAUGCAACAAAUUAAUCAACAAGGAUAAAAUAAUGUUUAUCAUGAAGUUGAUAUGAAUGAAGCUCAAAAGGUUCACUCAUAUGUCCUAAUUAGGGUUAUAUUCUAAUGAUAGGUAGAUAUGGCUCUAACCUAAGGUUGGCUUCUUAUUUUAUAUAUAGUUUGGGUUAAAUCUGAAGGUUCCCAAAUUGUUCUCCUUCAUCACAAGCUAGUAAGACACUCCAAUCCUCACCCAUCAUAAGCUACAAACGAAAAAAAUUCAAUUUAAGUUAGAGUAUUUCAUUUGCCAUUACAAAGAUUACCAUCUUACAAAAAUGUAGGUACUUUACUCUUUCUUAAAGAGGAUAGAGCCCGAGUAUAGAGCUCAUAUGAUGCAUAUGCAUGUGAUGGUGUGUGAAGGAACACAUAUCUUUAUUCAUAAUUUUCACAAGCCAAGUUAAAGAAUAAAAAAAUAAUAAUUCAAGAUCAACCAAAAAAAAAAAAGAUAAUUCAAAAGUAAUUAAUGGCCUAACUCCUAGUAUCCCUAGUAGAGUCGCUAUACUAGCAUAAUAUAUAGAUUUGUAAAUCUAUAGCUAGACUUAACAAGAGAAGUUACCGCCAAUCUUUUUUCUAGGUGUGAUUGGUCACCUAAUGAAUCUACCCUUUUAAAAAGCUCCUAAGCUUGACUAAAGGCCCUUAAAAAAUAGGUUCUGACCUUUUAAACAGAACUAGGUUUAGAAUUUCAAUUACGUGUGGGGAAGGUUAUAGUGCCCCCACAACACCCAUCUUAAGAUGAUACCAUUUAAUUUUAAAUUAUCCUAACAAGUAUCUUGGUUAUAAUGGUUUUUAUUUUAAUGUUUAAAUAUUGAAAAUGACUUCUAUGAUUUCUCCAUCAAUUUGGUAGAAUUCUUACAAAUACUUCCUCACCUCAAGAGUAUUCAAGAAUCCUAUUUGUUUUCCUAAAAAAGCUUCGUCGUUGAAAAAAGAUUUAAUCAUUUCAAUUUUUUAUUGAAAAUAUAUCUAAUUAUUCCACAAUUUAGGCCAAAUUGGAAAUAUCUUCUCACUUAAAAUUUUUUUAGAUAAUUAACUAUUUACAAUUAUUGAGAAUUUCAUCAUCGAGAUUUAUUUUUAUUUUUUAUUUCUAAAUUUUUCACUAUUUGGGUCUAUUUAAAAAUUCUUUUUUGUUUUUGUUAUUUUUGGAAGAACAUAAUAUAACAUUUUUUUUUGAAAUUUCAUUUACAUUCAUCCACUAUUUAGGUUAAAUUUAAAGAAAAUUUCUCACCUAGAGAUUUCUUAGAAAUUUUACCAUUUGAAAUUUUUAAGAUUCUCAUAUUUGGAUAAUUGUCAAAUACAUUUAGCGAAAAAGUUUUAUUUGGAAAAGAAUAGAAUUACUUUUAUUAAAAUUUCAUCUAAAUUAUUCCACCAUUUGGGACAAAUUUAAAAAACAUUUUCACCUAAAAAUUUCUUAGAGAAUUUACCAUUUCAAUUUUCUAAGAAUUCAUCCUUGGAUAAUUAGUAUUUAAUUCCAAAUUUUUAUUAUUUUUUAUUUUGAAUUGAAAAUAAAUACUAAUUAUUAUUAUUGAAACUUUAUCUAAAUUAUUCCACCAUUUGGGAUAAAUUUAGAAAAAAAAAAUUUUACCUAGGAAUUUUAAAGAAAUUUACCAUUUACAAUUUCAAAUAUUUCAUCAUUUAAUAAUUAUUAUUUAUUCUCAAAAAAAUUAUUAUUAUUUUUUAUAUUUUUAUUAUUUUUUCUAACUUUUUUUAAAAUUUAAUCAUGCAAAAAUACUUUAAAAAUAAAUAAACAAAAUAAAUGAAUAAAUAAAUAAAUAAAAUAAAAAAUACCAAAAUAGGAACCGAUUUGGCUCGAUUAGUGUGUGUGGCUAGGCUGCAGGCACGAAACUAGCUAGAAAGGCUUGAAAGUGGCUCAACUCGACUUAGGUGUAGGUUGCUAGAUUCUGGGAUUGACCAUCGAAAUCUGGGUAAUUAUGCCAGAAUUUUACCCUCAAUUGCUUUCAAGCCCUUGCUAUUAUUUUUCCUUUAUUUUUCUUUCCAAUUGCUCUCUGAUUGUUGUCCCUUUGUUCUAUGAUUUAAAGUUCUAUAGUACAAUAUGGAGAAUUUCAUAUUGAUUCCAACUUAAAAAAUUAGGAUUAGCAUGGAAAAAUAAAAUUUAUCUUUGAAAAGUUUAACUUCAAAUUUAAUCAUGAUAAAACUAUAUUAUCACUAGUCACUCCUUUUUAAUUUAUGGCCAUUCAUUCUUUUUUUCAAUUAUCCAUUUUUUUUGAAAUAUCCAGAUAAAUUUUAAAAAAAUUAGACAAAUAUAAGGGAAUACAAUUAAAGAUAAACAAUAAAUAAAUAAGAUAAAAUAAAUAAUAAAAUAAAAUAAAAAGGAUAAAUAAAAAGAUCUAUAUAGAUAAAUAAAGUAAAAACAUAAUUUUGACAUUAGGCUUGGAUCAAAUCUGAGCCUAAUCGAUUAGGGCCUUUGGCCUUGAAAUUAAAUUGGGCCUAGUUGAUUUAGACCUUGAACUAAAUUGGUUGUUUACAACUGAUGGUCAUUCUAGUAAGAUAUAUAUAUCUAAGGUCAAAGGAAGAUGCUAAAGAGAAACUGAGUGUGGAAGAAGCUUUUGCCAAGUUGUCCAUCCAGAUAAUAGCUGAAAAAGAUAGAAAAGUCCAAGAGAAAAUGUGUUGGUCCAUCCAUGUCUACCAAGCUUUGAACUAAAAAAUUAGAGUAUCAUCAAGACACUUGCUGUCCUUAAUACCUUUCAAUAUAAUUAUAAAUCCCAAUUGCCUAUGGCCAAAAGUAUUGGGAUGGCCUUUUAUGUACAGGCCUUUUAUCAGUUAUUAUCUUAAUAAAAGAAUAGAAGUAUGCAUUUUCCUUCAUUUUUUCUAUUCAGUUUUCAUUUUUCAUCUAGUCAAAACAUUUUUCCAAAACUUUCCAUUUCAUUUAUUUUAGAUCCUUAAAUUAAUAUGAAGAUAAUCAUAAUAACAAUUAGAAAUUUGAUUUUGAAAACUCAAUUAAUGCUGAUGAACUUAACACCAAAGAUGACUAUGAAAAAUGCACUUUACCUUUAGAUCUAAAGAAAUUGAUUGAAUAGGAGAAUAAAUCUAUUAAGCCUCAUCAAGAAAUCACUAAGAUGAUAAAUUUAGGGGAUGAUAAGAAUAAAAAGGAUGUUAAGGUUUGCUUAUCACUUCCAUCAACUGAUAGACAAAAGUUAAAAGAUCUACUUUAAGAGUUUAUAAAUGUGUUUGCCUAGUCCUAUCAGGAUAUGCCAGGGCUUAGCACCAAAAGAGUGGAGCAUAAGUUACCUUUGAAACCUAAAUGUAAGCCUGUUCAACAAAAAUUGAGAAAAAUAAAGCCUAAAAUGCUAUUGAAGAUUAAAAUAGAAGUAAAAAACAGUUUAAUGUAGGUUUUCUACAAGUGGCCAAAUAUCUUAAAUAGGUAACUAAUAUAGUAUCUAUUCUUAAAAAAGAUAAAAAAAUAUGAAUAUAUGUAGAUUAUCGUGAUCUAAAUAAGGCUAGCCCGAAGGAUAAUUUUUCUCUACCUCAUAUAUACACAUUGGUGGAUAAUAAGGCCAAGCAUUCAAUAUUCUCUUUUAUGGAUGAGUUCUUAGGUUAUAAUCAGAUAAAGAUGGCCCAAAAUGACAUAAAGAAAACUAUAUUCGUAACCAUAUAAGGUACUUUUUGUUACAAAGUUACGCCUUUUGGAUUGAAAAAUACCAGCGUAAUUUAUCAAAGGGUUAUGGUAACACUCUUCCAUAACAUGAUACAUAUGGAGAUUGAGAUGUAUAUGGAUGAUAUGAUCACAAAAUAUCGUGAACAAGAAGACCAUGUAACUAACCUCAAAAAGUUGUUUGAGAGGUUAAAAAAGUUUCAACUAAAGUUAAAUCCAUCUAAAUGCACAUUUGGAGCUAAGCCAAGCAAAUUGCUAAACUUCAUGGUUUGUGAAAGAGGGAUUAAAGUUGACUCAAACAAGAUACAGGCCAUUCAAAAUCUAUUUCCUCUAAGCAUGCCAAAGGAAGUUUGAGGUUUUUUAGACAAAUUGAAUUACAUAUCUUGAUUCAUUUUUCAACUUACCUCUAAAUGCAAUCCCAUCUUUAAACUCUUUCAAAAGAACAAUCUUAUUGAGUGAAAUAAAGAGUGUCAAAAAGCUUUUGAUAAGGUUAAGUAGUACCUAUCAAAUUUUUUAGCGCUGGUAUCAAUUCUUUUAGGAAAAUCGUUAAUUCUAUAUUUAACUAUAUAUAAGAAGUCAAUGGGAUGUAUGUUUGGGCAACAAGAUAAGUUUGGUAAAAAGAGAAAAGUUAUUUAUUACUUAAGCAAGAAGUUCAUGAAAUAUGAGUCCAAGUAUUCAUUAUUGGAGAAAAUGUGUUGUGUUUUAGCUUGGAUAGCUAAAAAACUCAAGCAGUACAUACUCUACCAUACCAUUUGGCUUAUAGCCAAAUUGGACCUAAUCAAGUAUAUUUUCAAGAAAUUGUCAUUUUUAGAAGAAUUGCAAGAUGGCAAAUAAUGCUAUCGAAGUAUGAUAUUGUGUAUGUAUGCCAAAAAGCAAUCAAAAGAAGUGUCAUAACAGAAUUUCUUAUAGAUUAUGUUACUGAAAGCUAUGAGCCAAUGAAACUUGAUUUUUUAAAUGAAUAACUAAUGGCCAUUUUUUAGCCAUAAGAAUGAGAAAUCCUAGAAAAUGUACUUCAAUGGGGCUGAUAAUGCCUUGAGGCAUAAAAUUAGGACAAUUUUGAUAUCUCUCGAAGGAUAGUAUUAUCUCGUUAUGGCAAGGUUGAACUUUAAUUACACUAAUUAUGUGGCAAAAUACGAGGCCUAAGUUACAAAUGGCUUUGAAUAGGAAAAUUAAAGUGUUAAAAGUGUUCAGGAAUUCAACUUUAAUCAUUUAUCAAUUGAAAAGAGAAUGGGAGACAAAAGAUUUGAAACUUAUUCCAUAUCAUAAAUAUAUCUUAGAGUUAUGCAAACAGUUUAAGGAAGUUUAAUUUAAACAUGGCAGUGAUAAUUUGGGUUAAUAACAAUACUAAGAUUUAGCUCAUUAAGUUAGAUAUCCAAGAUAUGCUAAUAACAUUGCACUAAUGUGAAAGAGGAAGAAGAUGGAAAGCCUUGGUAUUAUGACACCUGUAAUACUUAAGGAAUUAGUAAUACCCAGAUCAUGUAACAGAGAAUGAUAAGAGAGUCCUGAAGAGAUUGGCUAUGGUUUCUUCCUAGAUGAUGAGGUCCUUUAUAAAAGAAGUAGAGAUCAGAUGUUAUUAUGAUGUGUAAUUAUAGUUGAGGAAAAGAAGAUUAUUGAGGAUGUGCAUGAUAGAGUAUGUAGAGCAUAUGCAAAUGGACACAUGAUAGCAAGAUAGAAUAUAAGAGCUAGAUACUACUAGUUAAUAAUAAAGAGCGACUGCAUUGAUUAUGUUCAUAAGUGUCAUAAGUGUCAAAUUUAAGCUAACAAGAUCUAUGCUCCACCAAUUAUUUUACAUGUUUUGGCACCACCUUGGCCAUUCUAUAUAUAGGGCAUGGAUGUUAUUGGUCCCAUUACUCUAAAAGCAUCAAAUAAAAAUAGAUUCAUUUUUAUGAUGAUUAAUUAUUUCACUAAAUUAGUUGAAGCAUCUUCAUAUAUGAAUGUGACAUGAUCAAUGGUUUGCAAGUUUAUAAAAAAAAAAAAUCUACAAAUAUGGACUCUGAGAGAGGAUCAUCUCAGAUAAUGCUAAAAACUUAAAUAGCAAGAUGAUGAAAGAUAUAUGUGCUUAGUUCAAAAUUAAACACCAUAACUUAGCAUUAUAUUACCCAAAGAUUAAUGGGAUAGAAGAAGCUGCUAAUAAAAAUAUCAAAAAAAUUUUAGAGAAAAUUACUAAAAUGUAUAGAGAUUGUCAUUAGAAAUUACUUUUUGCUUUACAUGCCUAUUGAAUAUUAUUACAUAUCUUUACUGAGGCAACCUCAUUUUUCCUGGAUUAUGGGAUGGAGGUUGUAUUACUAGUUGAAGUAAAAAUCUCAUCUUUCAAAGUCUUAAAGAAAAGUGGGAUUAGAAAAAGCUAAAUGGAUUCAAGAAUGCUAUGAACAACUAAACUUCAUUGAAGAGAAGAGGCUAUUAAUGUUGUGUCAUGGUCAAUUAUAUCAAAAAAGAAUGAUAAGAGCUCAUGACAAAAAAAUUUGACCUCAUCAAUUUUGAGGAGAAGAGUUGGUGUUGAAAAGAAUUUUCCUAAGUCAGAUAAUAAUAGAGGAAAGUGGACCCGAAUUGGAAAAGGUCAUAUAUGGUAAAAAGGGCUUUUUAAGAUGAAGCAUUAAUUUUAACAAAGAUGGUUGGAGAUGAUCUUUCCAAUCCCAUAAAUUCUAAUGCUAUGAAGAAGUACUUUACUUUAAAAAAAAAGAAAGUCCAAAUCAAAAACUUGAAAGGGCAAUUUAAACCAAAAAUAGGUUUAUCCAAGUUGAAAAUAUGUAAAGGCAACUUGGAUAAGGAGAGUAUAGCAUCAUUUGGAAGGUUCACCAACCACAAAGCUAGUAUAUUUUGAAGACCUCUAAAGCACUAAGGGCAUUGGGUGGUUGAGUUUUUGAAAAAAAUCAGAUAUAUGUUGUCAUGAUUAUUUGAUUAUAUAUCUUGAGGCAUUGUUAACCCAAAUAGCCAUCAUUAUAUACCUUUACCAUGUCCAAUUAGCCACCAUUUGUAAUCUGGCUUCUUUUCCAAAUAAAGAUAUUCAUUUCAUUAUUUAUAUCUCAUUUUCAAUCAAUGUCAUUUCUUUAAAUUAUUUGCAAUGAAUAGAAAAAAUGUUUGAUUUGCGUCUUAUAUGUCUUGAAAAUAACAUAAUGAUUGAUAAUUGAAUAAUAUCAUGAAAAAAUAUAUAUUACUUUAGAAAGAGUGAAAGAUACAAAGGCAAAAGAUAAAACUUUCAAAACCUGGUAAGGACAUUGAUUUAGGAAAGAAAAAAAAAAAAACUCUUCUAAAGAGAAAGGCAAGUGCAUACUUUGAACAAUGAAAAAUAGAGCUAAUUUUGUUCCCAUUAUUGGAAAUUUGAAGAGUUUGGAAUUCAAAAGAAAAAUUCUUAAGAAUCUACUAAUUUUGUUCCCAUUAUUGGAAAUUUGAAAAGUUUGGAAUUCAAAAGAAAAAGUCUUAAGAAUCUAUGUACCACAACUAAAAGUUCAUUAAUUAUCAUUUGCACUGCAUACAUUGCAUAUAGGGAUAUCCUUUCCAUUUAUCUAGAGUAGGGAUGUCAUAAGAUCCAAUAUAAAUAAUGUGAAUCCAAAGAUUUCAAAUUUUUAAUAGAGAAGAAAUUUUUAAGGUAAGAUUUUUUAAUCUUCAAAGAAAAAGCUUUUCAAAAUCUUUAAACCUUUGAUUAGAGGACUCUAAUUUAAAGUUAUUUAGCCUUUGUAUAAAAAAGCCUAUUUCUUAGUUUAAAGUUGUUUAGCCGCUAAAUAAAGAAGCUCCUUUCUUAGUUUAAAGUUACUUAGCCUCUGUAUAGAUGAGCUUAUUUCUUUAUUUAUUAGCCUAUGUAUAAAGGAGUUUAUUUUGUUGAAUCUCUGUUUAGAUGAGUUAUUUGGAGUUUUUAAACUUUAUGCCUCUGUUUAGAGAAGUUUGUUAAAAUUUUUCAAAAAUUCGAUGCCUCUUUUUAGAGGAUUUUUUUAAAAUUGCUUGAGUUGAACUAGACUCAAUGGUUGCCUAAGUCUUUACGUCAUUCUUAUUUUACAGAAAUAUGCAAAAAGAGGCAACUAUAGACACCUCAUUUCAUAUGGUGCUCGUAAUUAAACUUUAGUUUGGGUUUUUUGGGCUUUCAAGGCGUCUAUCAGGCCUAUAAAUUGGAGUGGAGCCUUAAAUUGAUUAUAGGCUUUAAGCUAGUAUAGGGUACCAUUUGAUAUUUGGGCUUUGAAUCCACUUUAUAAUUACACUUAUGUUUUAAUUAAAUAUUAAUAAAAAAAUUAAUUUAAAAAUGAUAAAAAAAAGAAAUGAAAUCAGGAAUUUUUUGAAGAUCAAUCCUGAAAUCAUGAUUGAAUAGAAUUGGAAACAAAUCAAAAAUAAAAAACAUUGACCAAAAUCAAAUUAAAACCCAAAAUCAAACAAUGAUUUAGAACAAAUUUGUUAAUGGCAGAUUUGAUCUUAAAUAAUGGAACGUUAAAAUUUUUUACUAGGAAAUCCAUAUAAAUCAUGCUCAAACCCACAAAUACAUAUAUAGAGAUUAAGCAAAAGCAACAAAGAGGAAAUUUUUUGGUUGUAAAAAAGGGUUAUAGUCACCUAUCUGUGUCCGGGGUCCGUCGCAUCAAUUUUUAUUUUUUUUGCCACUAAUGUUACAUUACUACCCUAUUAUUAUAUUACUACUAUAAUAUUAUUAUAGUAUUAUAUUAUAUUAUUAUUAUAGUAUGCUGAUAUUAUACUACUAUUAUUAUAUUAGUAUUAUAUUAUAGUAUAGUAUAUUAUUAUAUUGUAUUAGGUUAUCAUAUUAUGAUUAUUAUUAUUAUUAAUAUUAUUAUAUUUGAUAUUAUUAUUCCUUUUAUUAUUUUUAUCAGAUUGUCUUUCUUUUUCCCUAAUCAGGGCUGAACAAAUUAUGGAAACCGAAAUCAAAUUGGUCAGUCAAAGGUUUUAAUGUAGAAUCAUGUCUAGAUAAUGGUUCAAUUCAAUGGAGAUCAAAUCAGUAAACAAAAUCACGCUCGGGCAAAAUCCAAUCCCAAGAUUCAAGCUUGGAAUUGAUUCUAUUUGUUUUUUAAAAUUUGUUCUAAGGGGGCCUAUAAAUUAAACAAGAAAUCAAAGGAAUGAUAGAAAAAAAAAAGUAGUGAAAAAGCUAGGGUUAUUAUUUUGGAAAUAAUUUUUGGGCAAUAGGGUUUUCUAGAAAAUUUUGGUCUUUUGGGAUUUGGAUUUUUGGGAGUUAUUGGUUUGAUCUAGAGUUUCUAGGCUUAGAUUUGGGAUUAUAAGAUAGCUUUAGAUUUUUUGAGGGAUUUUGGAGAAUUUGGGAAAAAUCUAUUUUUUUCUGGAAAAUUUUGGAAUUUUGGAAAAACAUAUGAAUUUUUUGAUGAAGUUAUUGGCGGGAGUUUGAAGCUUUCAGUGAGAUUUUAGCAAGAUUUUCAAAAACUGGCAAAGUUUAUAUAUUCCAAUUAAAUUUCUAGAUAGGAUUUUAGAGAAAGGGGAAAGAGUUUUUAGGUUAAAAAGAGUGUGGGUAGAAGGUUUCUAAAGCUAAACGUAAAGGCUUAGCUUUUUUACUGGUCCAAAAUGAUAGCAUUUUGAACACCCCAGAUCCGUGUGUCUACCUAGCAACCCACGUGAAGAUUCGCAUACAGACCUAACCCGUUUCACAAGUUUUUUUUUUUUCGUUUUCAUUUUAUUUUUUAAUUUUAAUUUUAAUUUUUAUUAUUUUCUUAAGUUUUUAUUUUAUUUUCAAUAUUUUUUAUUUAAUUUUGCUAGUUUUCAAAAAAAAGAAAAAAUGUUUUCUGGAAAACAGAAGAAGCAAAGAAUAAAAAAAAAAAAGCUAAAGAAAAUAAUCCCUCCAAAUAAGUUUAAAAAACAAAUAAAUAAGUCUAAAAAAGAAAUCUUUUUUCAAAUAAAUUUAUGGAAUCCACCAAACUAUUGAGAAAUUUCAUAAAUUAGUUUUUUUAAAAAGAAAAAAGAAUAAUAGAAUAUUUUUCCUCUAAACUAUUGGAGGAUUAUUUUUAAAUUAAGUUUUACCAAACUAUUGGAAGACAUUUAGUGAAAUUUACAAAAUUGUUAUAAAUCUUUUUACUAUAAAAUCUCAUAAACUAUUGGGAGAUCUGCCUCAAUGUAAAUCCUACCAAACUAUUGGGAGACUUUACUAAUUUUUUUGAAUAAAAAAUUAUAAUAAAUCUUAUGACGGAGCCUCUUUAGAAUAUUACACUAGUCUCUAUGAAUACUCUUGAGGUGAGAGAAUUAUCUUAAAUUACUACCAAACUAUUGGGACAAUUUUAAGAUUAAUUUUCAAUAUUAAAUAAUUUGGUAAAUUACAAAUAUGAUCAAGGCUUGGAUAAUUUGAAAUCAAACUGGUACUAUCCUUUAGAUGGGUGCUUAAGGGUGCUAUAACAUUUCCUCACAUGUAACCGUACUUUUGAACCUAAAAUUUGGUUUUACAGAUCAGAAUCUAUUUUAGGUGGUCAAUCACACCUAAACAAAAAAGAUUGGUGAUGACUCCUUUAAUCUAUGUCUAGCAUUAGGUCCACGAAUCUAUAUGUUAUGACAAUUUGGUGACUCCACUUGGGACAUUGAAAGUCAAUCUAGUCAAUGAUUACUUAUUAUCUAAGCCUUGCUUAAUAAAUUUGAGAUUAUUUUCUAUUUUUCUUAUUUAUUUCUUUUCAUUGCUUAUACUUUAAUUAUUCAUUUAUUUCUUUUCAUUGCAUAUGCUUGCUUAAUUAUUUAUUUAUUUGUUUUAUAUAUAUAUAUAUAUAUAUCUAUCACUCAUUUAUAUAUGCAUAACAUAAGCUAUCUACCCGAGCUUUACCUUUAGGAAAGAGUGAAGUACCUAUGCCUUCAUGAGAUUUUAUGUAUUCGCAUGGGUCUGAAAAACACGUCCACUCAAAUUGAACCCUUUCUGCUGAUAGCUUAUGAUGGGUAAGGAUCGAGAUGCCUUACUAGUCUAUGAUGGACAAUGAUAUAAGGAACAAUUUGGAAACCUAUUAGAGUUAACCCAAACCAUAUAUAGUUAACUUUAAGACCCAAACCAUAUAUAGUUAACUUUAAGAGCUCAACCAUACGUAGAGCCUUAUCUUUUCACCCUUUUUAGCCAAUCCAAAAUUCAAGGUCAUAUUGUUAUCUUACUUGCUAUAUGAUGCUUAUUCUUUUUUAUUAUUAUUAUUAUUGAAGUGACUAACUAAUUUUCUUGUUUUCUUUUUAUUUCUUUUCCUCUUGUGCAUAUUUAUAAACAUACUUACAUAUUGCAUAGUAUUUUUACCCUAAAAGUCAUUUCAACAAAAGCUCUUAUGGACUCUACAGAACGUCAGGUUUGUGCCUUAUCUAUAUUUUUCAAAUGUGACUUGCCUAUAAAUGUGAAACUAGAAUUAAAGAAGAGGCAGCAAGAAAGAGAUUGUUUACCACUUGGUUAUAUUCCACAUUAUCAAAGGAAGUUUGCAUGCUCUUCAAACAGAAUAAUUUGAAAAGCCUAUCAGAUAUAUAGAAUAGCAUGACUCCUUCAAGGUAGAAAGCUUUUUUUCAAAAGUUUGAGCAUAUUGCAUAUCUUUUAUCAGUGGAUGUUGAUAACUCACUCAUUAAAGUGAUGCUAUAAUUUUGAGAUCCUUCAUACUGUUACUUCAUUUUUUAAUAAGGUUGAUUUGGUGUUAAUUAUAGAAGAGUAUUCAACUUUAGUAGGUAUGCAUCUACUAUAUCCAGAUAGAAUAUAUGUGAAAAAACAAAAAUAAAGAAAUUACAAGAAAUUAAGCCAGAUAUUGGGAGUGAGAAAAAAGAUUAUAGAUUCAUACAUUCAAGAAAAAAAAGAUCGUAAGAAUAUUCCAGGGAAAAUUCUCUAAGAUUUCAUUAUUAAAAAUUUGAAUAAUGAUUAGGGAAUGAAUGUGUUCGCUUUAGCCAUAUAUAGGAUGAUCAUCUUUCCUAAAGUCUUAAGCCAUAUUGAGAUAGAAAUGGUUGUUCUAUUUGAGUAGAUAAAAAAAGGGUAACUAUCUUGGCAGAAACCAUCAGAUCUCUGAACUUUUGUAGAUAAAAUGACAAAGCAAGAUUCAUGAGUUGCAUACCAUUACUAUAUAUGUGGAUGAAAAGCCAUUUCGAAUGAAAGAAGAGUAUUUUUUUUCUAAGCUCUUUUUUAUAGUUGAGUCCCAAUUAGGGAGUUCUCUAAUUGCAUUUGGCCACAAGCAAAGACUCAGAAAUGAUGGAAAUGUUUGUUACAAAAACUCAUAGUCGGUCAGGUAAAAUAGUUAGCUCCGUGGAUGAAUCGAGAACCUAUGUUGUAUCAAUGUGGAGCUGAGAUAGGGGUUCCACUUUUAGAGUUAUGCGGGUUAACAAGUUAUGCACCACUAAUGGUAAGGAGACGGUAUAGAGAUGAAUAGUUUACUCCUAUGACUUGUUAGCUCAAACAAUUUGAUUGUUCAUAUGAUGAGCUCAAAACCUUUUAAAAGAUUGAUAGUAUGAUCAUGGCCUAGAAGAAGCCUAAAAAAGUAAGUCAUGUACCAUUUACUAAUAAGGCCACUAAAAGGUAUUUGAUUUAGAGAACCAAAAGGGGCCAAAAAGUGGCAUUUAUACCUAAAAACCAUUACUAGUUAAAGAGUCAAACGAUGUGCCUCUAAAAUCAGAAUCUAAAAUGAAAGAACUUGAAGUAGAGAAAGAGAAAUUGAAACAAGAACUUUUGAAGCUUCAAAAAGAAAAUGAACAGUGGUAAAACAAAGCAAAAAAAUUAAAAGUCCAAGUCUACAAGAUUUUCAAGGAAUAUAGCAAGGCCUAAAAAGUAAUCCAAAAAUGAGAUGAUGCCUUUAAGAAAUUAAAAGAGCUGCGAUAAAAGCAUAAGAGAUUACAAAUAUAGGUGUAGGCCAAAGAGAUAAAUAACACGAAUCUAGCUUAUGAGAAUGAAGAGUUGAAAAAAGAAUGUGCACAAAUAGAAUAUGAUUAUGUUAAAGUUCAACAAGAAAAUGAAAUGCUCUCAAAUUACAUUUUAACCUUGAAACUGAAGUUGGAUGACCAAAGAAACCAUGUUAAAAUGCUCACGAAAAAGCACAAGGAAUUAUCUUAUAAGGUGUGGUUCAGCAAAAGAGAAGGGUUAUGAAGACAAUGAUACAUAGAGCAUCUCACAACUCAGAUAGGUAAAACAGUAAUCAAGGUAGGUGAAAUGGCAUAAGAGGCUGAGGCGUUAAGAGCUUCAGUCACACCAACAGGAGAGCAUUGACAGAGAUUGCCAAACUUCAUUGAGGAGGCUAAAUACUAGUAUAAGCAAGUUAGGUGUUUUUAUAGAGGGACAGUAUUAGAUUUGAUGUAAAAUAGACUCUUGUGAAAUAAAUGAAAGUUUAUUUUUGUUAAAAUUGUUAAAAAGGCAAACAUUUUUCUUUUCUUUCAUUUUUUUCAUACAUUGCAUCACAUUCAUUCAUUGUUAUUUAUUGUCAUGACAUGAUCACUGAUUUUAAAUCAUGGUAUUAAGGUGCAAGAAUAGCUAUGCAUUCGUAUAAUACCUAGCCUAAAGCCAGAAAGAUGGAGUAGGAUAAUGCAAAUCAUCUUGAAAGAACAGAAAAAGCAUAAUAGAUACUUGAAAAAAAAUUUAGCAAAAUUCUGGAAGCUCUGAAAAAAGAAAAUAGAAGAAAGGCAAUAGAGGAAAAUACCUCACCUGAAGCUAUUGAAUCAACAUAUCCUUUAAGUUUCAGUCUAUAUCAGACCCAAACUACCCUAAUUUUUCAACCAUAACAGCCAACCAUUCUAAAUUAUAACUACCCAAGAAUGAUUUAUGUACUUGAUCAUGAGAAUGUCCAAAAUUAUAAUAAUUUUAUUUUUGUCAAAAAGGUAACUGAACCUACUCAACUCCUUACUUUAGAUAACAUAAAAGACAAAGAAAAGUUGUAAGCAACUGCAUCUUUGGAAAAUUCUAAGACUAAUUAAGCCAUGAACAGGAUUAAAGAAAGAUUACGGGUUGUAAAAAGAAUUGAUUUCUACAAAUCCAUGAAUGCAAUAAGACUUUGGUUAGUACCAGACGUAAUGAUACCUCUCAAAUUUAAAGUAACAAAUUUUGAGAAGUAUGAUGGUACUAAGUACCCCAUCACAUAUAUCACAAUGUACUUGCACAAGAUGGCAGCACAUGAUAGCAAUAAAAAGCUAUUCAUAUAUAUCUUUCAAGACAACUUGACUGGAUCUACUGUAAAGUGGUAUGUGUAACUAGAUGAAACCCACAUAAAGUCAUGACAAGAUCUGACCCAAUCCUUUAUUAAUCAAUAUCACCAAUCAUUGAUGUGGCUCCAAUCGCUUUUCAUUGCAAGGUAUUGAAAAGAAAAAAUUUGAAUCCUUUAAGCAAUAUACCUAAAAGUGGCAGAAUGUAGCUGCUAAAGUACAACCUCCCUUGACAAAAAAAAAACUACAGUGCUAUUCAUGAGCACUCUAAAGUCACCAUACUAUGAAAAAAUGAUAGAAAAUACGACUAAAAACUUUGUUGAUAUAGUGAUUUUGAGAGAGAUCAUAAAAAAUACCAUCAAAAAUAACAAAUUUGAAGGAGAAGAGUCUUCUAAAAAAGUGUCUAAAAAGAAAAAAAAUUGAGACUCAAGCUAUGAGUCUUGAAGGGUAGUAAUCCAAAAACUACUUUCGACUAACCUAUCCCAUAUAUCACAACACUGUAAAUCAUACUUCCACUUCCCCUUACCAACCAAUUACACAACCUUCUUAUCCAUCCUCACCAUAAUCACUUACAUAUCCAGUCAACAUAACAAAUAGUGCUUGUGAACCACAAACAAGGAAAAUACCCGUUUUUGAUCCUAUACCCAUAAGCUACAUAGAGUUAUAUCAAGAACUUUACAAAAACCACCUCAUUACCUUCGUUCCUACAAAACAACUUGAACCUCCAUAUCUCAAAUGCUAUGAUGCCAUCAUCCACUGUCACUUAUGGAGUAAUGGCCAUUCUACUAAAAAUUACCUUUUUUUAAAGCAAAAAGUGCAACAUCUGAUUAAAAAAAGGCUAAUAAGUUUUGAUGCUAAUGCAAACUCAGCACCUAAUAUUAGCAAAAAUCUUUUACCUAAUCAUACAGUUAAUGUCUUAGACAAAGACAAAAAGCACAUCAAAAGAAGGGUAAAAGAGCUUAAGAUGUCAUUCAACCAACUGUAUGGUGCUUUAUAUAAGGCUGGGUUGAUACAACCAGUAGCCCUACACACCUAUACAGGAAGAUACAUCCCUAAUCAAAGAUGUAAGUAUCACACUAGAGUUUUAGGUCAUUUUAUUAACAUCUGUAAACAAUUCUGUGAUGAGGUGCAAAAACUAAUAGACUCAUACCAAAUAGAAUUAUGUAAAAAAUCAAAAGCUUUAAAAAAUAUUUGGGUGGCUAUGACAGAUAGGUGGGUGCCAAAACCACCUUAAAAAAUAUAAAGACUGGCACGAAAAAUAACUUUUACUCUACAUGCUUAUCGGACAUCUGUAUGUACUUUCACCAGGGUAAUUCCAUUUUUCCUAGUCUACAAAAUGAAAGCAUAUUGCCAGUAAAACUAGAAAUCUCAUUUUUGAAAGUCUUAAGAAAAGUGAUAUUAGAAAAAGCUGAAUGGAUUCAAGAGUGCUAUAAGCAAUUGAACUUUAUUAAAAAAAAAGAUUGACAACACUCUACCACAGCCAACUGUACCAAAAAAGAAUAAUGAGAGCUCAUGACAAAAAGGUUUGACUCGAUCAAUUUCAAGAAGAAAAAUUGAUAUUGAAAAGAAUUCUUCUAAGCUAACAUGAUGAUCAGAGAAAUGGACUCCAAAUUAGGAAGGACCACAUGUUGUAAAAAGAGUUUUUUCAAGAGAAACCUUAAUCUUGUCAGAAAUGGAUAGAGAUGAGCUUCUUUAUCCCAUUAAUUCCAAUGUCGUGAAGAAAUACUUUACUUAAACAAAAGAAAAAAGAGGAAGUUCAAGUUGAAAACCCGAAAGGGUAGUUUGAACAAAAAAAAAAAAAAGUUCAAGUUGAAAACUCUGAAAGGUGGCUUGAAUGAGAGCAUCUUGGAUGAAUAGAAUAUGGCAUCACUUGAAAGGCAUAAUAGAGACAAUAAAUUUCAAAGAGUUCAAAAAUGUUAAGGCAUCAUGUUUUGGUUAAAUUUUUUAUGACAUCCAAGAUUUGUUGCCAUGAUUACCUUAUUGCUUACCUAAUUGCUUAUAGAUCCGAUCUUAGUCUAGGUCAAAUCAUUUUUAGACUUACAGUAUCAUUCCAAUCAUUAAUCUAUGAUCUUGACUUGGUCUUGGUCACUUUCAAACUUGCAGCAUCGUUUCAGUCAUUAAUAUAUGACUUCGACUCGAUCUUGGUUACUUUCAAACUCGUAAUAUCAUCCCAGUCAUCUGAUCUCGAUUCAAGUCAAAUCAUUUUAAGACUCACAGCAUCAUCCCAAUCAUUAAUCUAUGAUCUUGACUUGAUCUUAGUCGCUUUCAGACUCGCGUCAUUAUCCUAGUCAUAUGAUCUCAAUUCAGGCCAAAUUUUGAUUUAGGCCAAAUCAUUUUAAGACUCGCGACAUCAUCUUUGUCAUUAAUUUAUGACCUCUACUCGAUUUUGAUCGCUCUUAGACUUACGACAUCAUCCUAGUCAUCCAAUCUCAAUUCAAGUCAAAUCAUUUUAAGACUCAUGACAUCAUUUUAAUCAUUAAUUUACGACUUCAACUCGAUCUUGGUCAUUUCAGACUUGCAGUAUCAUCUCAGUUAUUCAAUCUAGACUCAGGUAAGAUCAUUUUAAGACUCACAGCAUUGUCCCAAUCAUUCUUUUUUUACCUCAAUUUGAUCUUGGUCACUUCUAGAUUUGUGUCAUUAUACCAAUCGUCCAAGCCAGAUUCACAUCAUCGUCAUAAUCAUUCAUCUUCGACCUUGACUCGAUCUUGGUCGUUUGCUGACUUGCGACAUUGUACUAGUCAUUCAACCUAGCUCGAUCCUGGUCACUUUUCAACUCGCGAUUUAUUUUUUAUCAGUUUUACUACUGAUUUAACUCAACCAAAGUGGGUAUCUAGGUCUUUACAUCAUCUCUAUCUAAUAGUGAUGUGCAAAGAAGGACAACUGUAGACACCUAUCUGUGUCUGGGGUCUAUCGCAUCAAUUUUUAUUAUUUUUUACCACUAUUGUUACAUUAUUAUACUAUUAUUACAUUACUACUAUACUAUUAUAAUAUUAUUAUAGUAUUAUAUUAUAUUAUAUUAUAUUAUUAUGAUAGUAUGUUGAUAUUAUAUUACUAUAUUAUAUUAGUAUUAUAUUAUAUUAUAGUAUUUUAUUAUAUUAUAUUAGGUUAUCAUAUUAUAAUUUUUAUUAUUAUUAUAUCCGAUAUUAUCAUUACUUUUAUUAUUUUUAUCAGAUUUUCUUUCCUUUUCUUGAUUAAGGCUAAACAAAUUAUGGAAACUGAAAUCGAAUCAAUCAAUCAAAGGUUUUAAUGCAGAAUCAUUUAUGGAUAAUGGUUGAAUUCAAUGGUGAUCAAAUCAAUGAAAAAAAUCCCGCUCGAGUAGAAUCCAAUCUCAAAAUUCAAGCUUGGGAUUGAUUAUGUCCAUUUUCUAAAAUCAAUUCUAAAAGGGCCUAUAAAUUGAACAAGAAAAAAAAAGGUAGUGAAAAAACUGGGGUUAUUAUUUUGAAAACAAUUUUUGGGCAAUAGGUUUUUUAAAAAAAAUUUUGGUUUCCUAGGAUUUGGAUUCUUAGGAGUUUUGGGUUUGAUCUAGAGUUUCUAGGUUUAGAUUUGGGAUUCUAAUAUUAUAUUUAGAUUUUUAGAGGGAUUUUGGAGAAUUCGGGAAAAAUCUAUUUUUUUCUAGAAAAUUUUGAAAAUUUGGAAGAGCAUAUGAAUUUUUUGAUGAAGUUUUGGGUGGGAGUUUGAAGUUUUCAAUGAGAUUCUGAUGAGAUUUUCAAAAACUAGUGAAGUUUCCAGAUUUUGGUUAAAUCUCUAGGUAGGUUUUUAGAGAGAGAAAAAAGAGUUUUAAGUUAGAGAGAGUGUGGGUAGAAGGUUUUUGAAGCUAAACAUAAAGGCUUAGCUUUUAUACUAAUCCAAAAUGAUAGCGUUUUGAACACCUUAGAUCACGCGUUUACCCAAUAACCCAUUUGAAGAUCCGCUUAUACACCUGACCCAUUUCGCAGGUUUCUUUUUUUCAUUUUCAUUUUAUUUUUAAUUUUUUUUUGUUUUCUUAAGUUUUAUUUUAUUUUCAGUAUUUCUUUUAAUAGUUUUGCUAGUUUUCAAAAAAAAGAAAAAAAUCUUUUCAAAAAUAAAAAAAGCUAAAGAAAAAAAAUCCUUUCAAAUAAGUUUAAAAAACAAAUAAAUAAGUCUAAAAAAGAAAUUUUUUUAAAUAAAUUUAUAGAAUCUACAAAACUAUUAGAAAAUUUCAUAAAUUAGUUUUUUUAAAGAAAAAAGAAUAAUAGAAUAUUUUUUCCUCUAAACUAUUGAAGGAUUAUUUUUAAAUUAAAUCUUACCAAACUAUCGGGAGACUUAAUGAAAUUCACAAAAUUUUUAUAAAUCUUUGUACAAUAAAAUCUCACCAAACUAUUGAAAAAUUUGUCUUAAAGUAAGUCUUACCAAACUAUUGAGAUACUUUACUAAUUUUUUUGAAUAAAAUAUUAUAAUAAAUUCGAUGAUGAGCUUUUUUAGAAUAGGAUAUUAGUCUCUAUGAAUACUCCAGAGGUGAGAGAAUUAUCUUAAAUUGCUAUCAAACUAUUUGAACAAUUUUAAGAUUAAUUUUUAAUAUUAAAUAAUCUGACAAAUUACAAAUACGAUCAAGGUUUGGAUAAUUUGAAAUCAAACUGGUAUUAUCAUUUGGAUGGGCACUGUGAGGGUGUUAUAACUUUUCUCACACAUAACCGUACUCCCAAACCUAAAAUCUAGUUUUGCAAAUCAAAAUUUGUUUCAGGUGACCAAUCACACCUAAACAAAAAAGAUUUAUGGUGACUCAUCUAAUCUAUACCUAGCAGUAAGUCUACGGAUCUAUAAAUUAUAACAAUGGUUUUUGAAUUUUUGGCUUUAUUUUAUUUUCUAGGACUUUUGCACUUGGUUUAGUUUUUUUUUUUUUUUGGAACUAGGAUUCAAUCUUUUGUUUGAUUGGAUUUCUUUUAGGUUUUUAGGGAUUUUGGAUUCAAGUUUUUGAUUUUUUUUUUAGAAUUUUUGGAAAAUUCUUUGAAUUUUCUUAUGAAGGGUUGAAGUUCCCAGCAACCGGCAUUAAAAAUCUUGCCAGCUUUUAGAAUUUUUUCGCCAGAUUCUGGGCACCAUUGAAUUUACUAUUUGAAUGCUAAAGAGAGAAACAGAGAAAAAAACGUGUUAGAGAGAAAAUAUUCCAGUAGUUCUAAAAAGAAAAAAAAUGAGAUUUAGGGGUUUUAUUCUUGUAUAAAACAACACUAUUUUUUGGAUUCAUAAAAACCUAGGAUCUAUGCAUUUUACCACAUUCUAACCUAACCCACAGUGUGGCCCAUCCUUUAACCUGAAUUUCCUUUUUGCUCUGAGCCAAGCCAUGCCUUAGUUGAGUGUCGAGCCAUGUCGAUCCUUGUGCCUGCAGCCGCACUCUUUAGCCACUAAGCCAAGCCGACUUGAGGUAUUUUUUAUAUGCUUAUCUUAUUUAUUUGUUUUAUUUACUUAUUUAUUUAUUCAUUUAUUUAUCUACUUGUUUUUUAAAAUACUCUUACAAAAUCAUAUUUAAAUAAAAAAGUCUUACCAAUAAUUUGCAGAACCAAUAUUUUAUUUUCAAAAUAAAGUUUUACCAACAUAUUAGAAUGCUUUACAAAUUUUAAUUUUAAAAAAAUAAUUUUUAAAAAAAGCCUUACCAAUAUAUUAGAGUGCCGAUAUUUUAUUUUCAAAAAUAAGGUUUUAUCAACAUAUUGAAAAGCCUUAUAAUUUUUUUAUAAUUUUGAAUAAAAUAAAAUAAUAUUUCUUUUUUUUUUCAUAAAUUCUUAUAAAUAUAUUGGAGGAUAAUUUUUUAUAAAAAAUUUUAUCAACAUAUUGAAAGGUAUUCUGACCAUAGACUAGGUUUGUAGAAAUUUACUUCUACAAGCAAAAUUAAAUGAAUUUGAUGGCAAAACUUUUUUAAAGCGUGACAAAUAAUCUCCUUGAAUAUUUUUAAAGUGAGAAAAAAUUCUUAAAUUAUUACCAACAUAUUGGAGUAAUUUAAGGAAAAUUUCUAAUGUUAAAAUUAUUUGGUAAAAUUAUAAAUAUAUUUUAAAGCUUGGAUAACUUGGAAUCAAACUAAUAUCAUUUUUUGGAUGGGGGCUGUAAAGGUGUUAUAACCUUCCCCACGUGCAACUAUACUUUCAAACCUAAAAUUUGGUUUCAUAGACUAGAAUCUUCUAUUUAAAGAUACCUAAGUUAAUCUUGAGAUUUCUUUUUAAAUAAAAUAGAUUUAGUCAAAUGGCUAAUCACAUCUAAACAAAAAAAAAUUAGUGACAACUCUUUUAAUUUAUGUCUAGUGAUAGAUCCACAGAUUUAUUCGUUAUGACAAAACUCAAAUCUCAACAUUUACAACUAUUUUUCGUAUUCUCAAACAUUCUCCUUAAUUAAAACAAAUAGUCUGAAUAAAAAAUUAGGUAUGCUUAAUUUGUUUGAAUUGUUAAGUUACUUUGUUCUAAGUUUUAAAAUUUUUAACUUCUUUUCAUAUAUGUUCAAAUUUUAGGUUAUAUAAUCAGAGACAAGUAAUUUAUAUUCAUAUUUCAUAUAAAAAUUGUUUCUGAUUUAUAAGAUUUAAAUUUAAAUUAUAAUUUCAAAUUCUUUCUAAUAAUUAGAUCAUGUAAAAUCAAGAUAUAUUUAAAUUUAUACUUUAUUCUUAUUCUUAACCUCUUUAUUAUUAGAAUAAUUAAUCUAUAUAAGUAUAUACCAUAUAUAUUCAUAUCCAUAAUGUCUUUUAUGAAAAUGAAAAAAAUACUCAUCAAAGAAGAAUCAAAGCAUGUGCAAGGAAUAGUGAACCUUUGGAAUUUGCCUAGUACAAACAGUUAGAGAAGCAUUUCUAAAAUACAACAUGUAUAGGGUUUAAAAGAAUAAAACUUUGACAAAUAGGUUUGGUUUUUGUUUUAAUAAUUAUAUUUAUUUAUGUUGAAGUCAAGUACGUGUAAAAAGUGAGAUAUGUUAAUUUAAAAUUUAAUUCAGUUAAUUUAUAAAAUUAUUUUUAAAAAAUAGUAUUUGAUUGAAAUUUAAAUCUCAAUACUUGUAUUUUUUUUGUUUUAUUCCGAAUAACUUUUUUUAAAAAGAAAAAAUGAGUCAUGUGGAUUUUUUUUUUGUUGACCUUUUAUCAUUUGUUAAUCUACCUUUGGUCCAACUUUUCUACAGUAUACUAUUAAUUUAAUAACCAUCACUUCUUUGAAUAAUUUUAACCUUACAAUUAAAGAGGUAAAACUUUUCCAUUGAUAAGAACUUACUCAAGUAACUUCUUGGUCAAGAAAAUAGCUAUCUCCAUAUUGAAAUUUAAUCAUGAAAUUAAAUCAUUAAUCUUGCUACAUAAUUCAUCCAAUAUGAUUUAAUUUGAUUGGAACAUAUAUCUAAAUUUAAGUAUACAUGCAAAAAAAAAAGCAGAUGAUUCUUAAGUGAUGAAAAAACUUAUGUAAUUUGAAACUUAACUCUGUUAGUUUAUGCAUAUAGUUGUUUUUGGAGAUGAUAUUUAUUAAAUUUGAUAUUCAAAUUUUAACACUUUCUCUCAUUUCAAAGCUACGAUCCUCUUUUAUUACAAGAAAAAAAAACUAGAAAUAAUCUUUUAUUUGUAACUUUAAACCGGUGAAUUUAAAUUGCUAAGACUUUGAAGUCAUAUUUUCAUUGGCAAAGUUUAUUUACAUUUAUUUCAAAAGUAGAGAAAAAAAGGCCAUUUGGCCUAACAAUCAAUAUCCUUUUGAGCAACUUCGCAAUAGAUGAGCAUUGGCCUCCGAUCUGCCCAACAACUAAUCUACUGAGGAAUUGGCAGAGCUUGAGGCAAAGAUUGGUUUGAUGCUGAAAUCGUUUGUAGUUUGCAGUCAACAGAGAUCAAUUGAGCAGAGUUAUUAUUGUUUUCGUCAACAGAAUUCAUGUUGAUUAUUUGUAGCAAAACACGCUCGAGCUCUUCACCAUCACUCCAUUCAUGAAUCUCAGCCUUGACGGGCAUAGGAUUCCUGCAAAUUAAAUCACAGACUGGAAAAUUCUUCCUUGGCAUCAUGUACUCUGCUUCUCCAAGCCUUCGACUUGGACAAUAAUCUCCGGUACCAUCUCCUAGGUAGAUGAUUUUUUUCUUCCCCUCUAAAGAAUCUUGAAUCCUUUCAAUGAUUAUCCCCUGUUACACAAAGCAGAAGCCAAAAUUAAAAUUUUUGACAUCUUAUUUCAUGAUUUCAUUAAAUUUAUAUGAUUGUUGACCCAUGUCAAGAUCAUUGGUUUCGUUUAUGUCCUUAUAGGAGGCAUUACUUUAACAGAAUAAGUGGGGUCAAGAAAAGAAGUUAGACAUAUCGAAAAUGAGGAGAAAAGAAGUUAGACAUCUAAAAUGAGGAGAUUUAAAAAAUAAAGAAAUAAAGAAAAACUUCCAAGCUAGUUGGAUGAAAUUGACUAUGUACAUGUGGAAUACCAUCAAGUAAUAAAAUUUUCUAGAAUUUUUCACUUACAUGAAAAAUUUAGGUCUACAAAAGUUUGGUGUCUUGAUUUAAAAUAUUUACAAUUGUGAUAUUAAUGAAAUUAAAUCUCAUGUUACUGAUGAAAAAGAUCUGAUACGUUGCACAUAUUUGAAGGACAGAGGUUGCAGCCGUGGGAACUCUUUGUGAAAUCAUGGUAAGGGAUGAUCCUCAGCCUCCCUUCUUCAUCAACAAAGCUGGGGUUGGUGUUGAUCUCUGAGAAAUAUUCCCUCAAUCCAAGAUGUUCCAGAAUUGUCUCAAUAAAGAACAUGUUCGCAUCACUCACAAUCCUGAGUUCACACCUGAAAAAAUAUUCAAACCAAUUUGAUCACCUUAAAUUUCUAUUUCUUCAAACUUUAGUUUUAUAGUCACAGGUCAAACACCAAGAGGAGAAGCAUAGAAAAAAAGCAGUACCCUAAAGGAUGAGCUGAUUUAAUAGCGGGGACGAUCCUAGGAUGGAUAGGAGCUCGUUUCAGAACCUCAGCAGUGUCAUCAAUGGUUUUUCCCUGGGCAUGAAGCUCCUUCAUCAUCCUGUCCUGUAAUUUUAUACCACAAACACUGAGUUUCAAUUUUUAUAAAUGUAAAGCCAACAGAAAUAGAAAUUGCAGAGGGCUUAAUAUGGGUUACCAUGAGAGAAUUCCAGGGCAUGGUAGGAAGAAGCUGGUUGAACAAGUCGGUGAAACCCAAGUCAUCGACAACCCAGUUAUCACUAUCACAGUCGAUGAUGGUUUUGUCAAAAUCAAAAACCAGAACAAUUCCAGCCAUCUCUCUGAAUGAAAAUCAAACAAAACACAAAACAAGAAUGGAAAAACUCGACGACUCUUUGAAUGUUGUUUUCUUGGUAUAGAAUCACGUAACAGGGGAAGGGUAUUUAUAUGCAGAAAAAUGUUAUUAGGUUGAAACAACGGAUUUUUCUAUGCCAAAGGAAUAUUACGUGAAGGGGUUAUAAGGUGUAAGUAGGAAGCACCAAGCAGGCCACAAGAAGCUGUUUUCCCUGCAAGCUUCCUACGCAAAACAUACUAAUCUGAUACAACUGCUUGCAAAUUAUUUCUCUGGUAUAAGCAAUGUUAACCGUUUGAUGGAUUACUUUUGAACCAUGUGAUCAAUCAAGUUCAGUCGGCGGAUCAGGGGUAAAAGGGUGUCGGUUAAUUAUGAAAGGGUUUAGGUUUAAGGUUUAAGGUUUAUCAAACUCCUCUCCAUUGCUUCAUUCGCUUACUUGUGCCUUUCCUAGCCUCCUGUUUUUGCAAAUCAAAUCCCAAACUGGGAGAUACUUCCUUGUCAUUGCAUAGUCCCCAUCUCCCAGCUUCAAACUUGGACAGGAAUCGCCAAGCCCAUAGCCGAGGUAGAUUAUUGUUUUCUUCUCCUCCACGAGCAUGAGAGAGACUUGGAUCCUUUCAAUCACAAUACCCUAUUAAGAAAGAGUACAAUCAUUAAUCAAUAGGAUGGGAAGAAAAUGAAGAUAACUUAAAAAUAAUUAGUAGCAUAUAAUUAUAUAUCUUACAGCUAAUCAUGCUUUGGAUUCAUUACGUGUACUAAACAUUAGAAUUCAGUUGCGGAUGCAUACGGUAUAAUCGGGUAUUCAUGUACACCUCCACAGAUUCGAAAAUAAAAAGUGUUUUCUUUGGACGCCUUCAAAUUUUGUUUUGGAGACCUUCAAAAUUUUCUUUUUGAACAUAUCUUUCUUAAUUCCUUAUUCCUUAAUCCUUCACUUACUGCCACUAUCUAAUAUCCAAUCACAUCUCACAGCCAGUUAAUGCCCAACACCCAGUAAACAUCCACUAUAAUAAAUGGACACCUCCAUAAAAAUAUCUUGCAUCUGCUACUGUUAGAAUUCAGUCAUAUUUGAUGCAUGCAUGCAUGGUUCACGUUGUUAGUAACUAGUAUGAUUUUCAAGUUAAAAAUGACAUACCUUGCACAUGUUUGGAAGGCAGGGAUGAUGACAUCCAUGAGUAGAUUGAGUGUAAUCAUGGUGAGGCAAGAUCCUUAGCCUGCCUUCUUCAUUUACGAAACCUGGGUUGCUAUUGAUCUCCGGAAAGCAUUCCCUCAGGCCAUGAUGCUUCAAAAUUGUGUCGAUGAAGAACACCUUCGCGUCGCAUACAAUCUUCAAAUCACACCUAAAAUUAAUAGUGCCAUACGACUUUUUUUUUUUUUUUUUAUAGCGAGAAAACCAGAAAGAAAAAUUAAAUAUACAUGCCGGUAGGACUGAAGUUGGCAAGAAGGAAACUCCUAAAGCUAAGAAAUGUUGCCAGAGAGCUUAUUAAGUGUAUGGUCCUUUAAUUGCUUCUUGCGACAGAGGAAUAAUAUCCCAGGCUGCAAUCCCUGAGAAUGCAACUGUGGCAUCUGCUCUCUCAACAAACGAUUGGACUCAAUAUCUCACUGCUUCUCUACAGAUGAGGGAUAUGCAGCAGAUGUUGGCUGGUCUGACCUUCACUGAAGAAGAAGAUGUUGUUGGCUAGCAUCAAAGUCUGGCAAGUUCAUACUUUCAAAUACAUGGGACUGGAUCAGGGAUAGGCAACCCACUGUGGUUUCGCAUAAAUUGGUCUGGAUUCCUCUUCACUCCCUAAACAUAGUUUUAUCACUUGGCUUGAGGUUAUUAAUAGAUUGAGCACACUACCUAAUAUUAGGAGUUAGUGCACUCAAAUGUCAAAAAUCACUUGCUACUUUUGUGAUAAAGAGGAAGAGACUAAGAAUCAUCUUUUCUUUUCUUGUGACUUCUCAAAGCAAGUUUGGCAAUUAGUUUUAGCAGAAGUGAAGUGUGUUUUUGAUUGCAACAUCCAAAAGUGGCAGCAGGAGCUUGAUUGGAUUAUUCGGCAUACCAGAGGUAAAACUUUUAAGACUAUAAUUUUGAGAGGAGCGUGAACAACAAGUAUAAAUAUAUCACAUAUGCCAUGCGAGGAAUUCUCCAUAACUUGGCAUUUAUUCUCCAAACAUUGACAAAUACUUUCCCAGACAUUAGUUUUAACGUAAAGUCUUGCGUUUUAAAAUUUGUAAAAAAAUAUGAAUAAUCCAUCUACUAGCUCUGUAUGUAAAAAAUUGAAGGAUUGUAUAGGAAAUACUAAAGCUCUUUCUUUGAUUUGUGGACUGGUAGCCACCUACUUCUUUGGACCAAUGAAAUACCAUUUAUGAAUAAAAAAAAAACGAAAAUAUACACGAAGAGAGAGAAAAAUGUAUACAUAGCCUAAAGCAUGAGCGAUUUAAUGGCUUGGAUGAUUCGGGGAUGUAUAGGAGUUGUUUUAGAACAGCUAUAAUGUCAUCAAUUUUUGUUCCAUGUGAGUGAAGUUCUUUCAUUAUUAGAACCUGUUUUGUACAUAAAAAAAAAUUAAGCCCUGGUUCUUAAGUUUGGAAAAGAAGGAAAAAGAAAAACAAAUAAAUUAAAAGACUAACCAUAAAAGAGUUCCAAGUCAUGGCAGGGAGGAGUUGAUUGAACAACUAUGUAGCAGAUUUAUGAAACCUGGAAUUCAGGUUAAUUGAUUUAUAAAAUCAUCAUUGAGAGAUGAUAUCUAACUGAAACUCAAAUUUUAAUAUUUACAAUUAUUUUUUAUUUUUUCAAACGGUCUUCUUAAUAAAAAAAAAAACAAUCUAUAAUAAAAAAUUACACACCCUUAAUUUGUUUGAAUUAUCAAAUUAAUUUGUUCAAAGUUUUAAAAUUUAUAACCUUUUCUCUUAUACGAUCAAACUUUAUGUUAUAUAAUCAGAGACAAGUAAUUUAUAAUCAUAUUUCAUAUAAAAAUCAUUUUCAAUUUAUAAGAUUUAAAUUUAAAUUACAGUUUCAAAUUCUUUCUAAUAAUUAGAUCAUAUAAAAUCAAGAUAUAUUUAAAUUUAUGCUUUAUUCUGAUUCUUAACCUCUUUAUUAUUAGAAUAAUUAAUCUAUAUAAGUAUAUACCAUAAAUAUUCAUAUCCACAAUGACAUUUAUAAAAGUGAGAAAAAUUCUCAUCAAAGAAGAAUCAAAGCAUGUGCAAGGAAUAUUGAAUAUUGAACCUUUGGAAUUUGCCUAGUACAAUCAGAUAGAGAAGCAUUUUUAGAAAAGCUGUAUAACAUGUAUAGGGUUUAAAAGAAUAAAAUUUUUGACAUAUAGGUUCGGUUUUUGUUUUAAUAAUUAUACUUAUUUAUGCUGCAAUGUAGUACUUGCAAAAAAGAAAUUUAUUUUAAUUGAAUUAUAAAUUUAUUUUUAAAAAUAACUUCCUUAAGUAACUUUUUAAGGAACUUCCUUAAGUAACUUCUUGGUCAUGGGAAUAGCAAUCUCCGUACUGAAAUGUUAAUCAUGAAAUUAAAUCAUUAAUCUUAUUGCAUAAUUCAUCCAAUAUGAACUAAUUUGAUUGGAACAUAUAUCUAAAUUUAAGUCUACGUGCAAAAAGAAUGGGCAGAUGAUUUUUAAGUGAUGAAAAAAAAUUAAAAAUAAUCUUGUAAUUUGAAACUUAAUUAUGUUAAUUCAUGCAUAUAAUUAUAUUUAAAAAAUAAUACUUAAUUAAUUUAAAAUUUAAAACACAACACCUUCUCCUAUUCCAAAGUUACUAGCACUUUUGUAAAAAAAAAAAAAUAAUAAUAAUAGUCUGUACCCCGUAACUCUAAACUGGUAAAUUUAAUUUGAUAAGAUUUUGCAGUCAUAUUUUCAUUGAAAAUGUUUAUUUACAUUUAUUUCAGAAAUAGAGGAAAAAAAAAGGCCAUUUGGCCUAACAAUCAAUAUCCUUUUGAGCAACUUCGCAUUAGAUGAGCAUUGGCCUCCGAUCUGCCCAACAUCUAAUCUACUAAGGAACUGACAGAGCUUGAGGCAAAGCUUGGUUUGAUGCUGAAAUCGUUUGCAGUCUGCAGUCAACAGAGAUUAAUUGAGCAGAGUUAUCAUUGUUUUCCUCAACAGAAAUCAUGUUGAUUAUUUGUAGCAAAACACGCUCGAGCUCUUCACCAUCACUCCAUUCACGAAUCUCAGCCUUGAUGAGCAAAGGGUUCCUGCAAAUUAAAUCCCAGACUGGAAAAUUCUUCCUUGGCAUCAUAUAGUCUGCUUCUUCAAGCCUUAGACUUGGCCAGUAAUCACCGGCACCAUCUCCAAGGUAGAUGAUUUUUUUUCUUCCCCUCUAAAGAAGCUUGUAUCCUUUCAAUGAUCAUCCCCUGUUACAGAAAGCUGAAGCCAAAAUUAAAAUUGUUGACAUCUUAUUUCAUGAUUGUCAUUAAAUUUAUAUGAUUUGACCCAUGUCAAGAUCUUGUGUUUGUUUACGACCUUAUAUGAGCCAUUACUUUAAUAGAUUAAGUGGGGUCAAGAAAAGAAGUUGAAAUAUCUAAAAUGAAAAUAGAUUUAAAAAAUAAAGAAAUAAAUAAAAACUCCAAGCUAGUUGGACGAAUUUGACUCUGUACACGUGGAAUACCAUCAAGUAAUAAAAUUUUCUAGAAAUUUUCACUUAAUAUGAAAAAUCUAGGUCCUCCUACAAAAGUUUGUUGUCUUGAUUUAAAAUAUUUACAAUUGUGAUAUUAAUGAAAUUAAAUCUCAUGUUAGUGAUGAAAAACAUAUAAUACCUUGCACAUACUUGGGGGGCAGAGGCUGCCAGCCACUGAGAACUCUUGGUGAAAUCAUGGUAAGGAAUGAUCCUCAGCCUCCCUUCUUCGAUCAAACAAAGCCUGGGGUUUGGUGUUGAUCUCUGAGAAAUUUCCCUCAAUCCAAGAUGUCCCAGAAUUGUUCUCAAUGAAGAACAUGAUUGCGAUCACUCACAAUCCUGAGUUCACACCUGAAAAAAAAUAUUCAAACCAAUUUGAUCACCCUUAUAUUUCUAUUGCUUCAAACUGUAUUUUAUAGUCACAGAUCAGAACACCAAGUGGAGAAGCAUAGAAAAAAGGAGUACCCUAAAGAAUGAGCUGAUUUAAUAGCGGGGACGAUCCUAAGAUGGAUAGGAGCUCGUUUCAGAACCUCAGCAAUGUCAUCAAUGGUUUUUCCUUGGGCAUGAAGCUCCUUCAUCAUCCUGUCCUGUAAUUUUAUACCACAAACACUGAGUUUCAUUUUUUAUAAAUGUAAAGCCAACAGAAACAGAAAUUGUAGAGGGCUUGAUAUGGGUUACCAUGAGAGAAUUUCAGGGCAUGGUAGAAAGAAGCUGGUUGAACAAGUCGGUGAAACCCAAGUCAUCGACAACCCAGUUAUCACUAUCACAGUCGAUGAUGGUUUUGUCAAAAUUAAAAACCACAACAAUUGCAUCCAUCUCUCUGGAUGAAAAUCAAACAAAAUGCAAAACAAGAUUGGAAAAACUCAACUACUGUUUGAAUGUUUUCUUGUUGGUAUAGGUCACGUAACAGGCGAGGGGUAUUAUAUGCAAAGAAUAGAUUUUUUUUAUGCCAAAGGAAUAUUAAGUGAAGGGGUUAUUUGGUGCAAGUAGGAAGCACUAAGCAGGCCACAAGAAGCCCUUUUUCCUGCAAGCUUCCUACUCAACACGUACUAAUCUAAUACAACUGCUUGUAAAUUAUUUCUCUGGUAUAAGUAAUAUUAACCGUUUGAUGGAUGACUAUUGACCAUGUGAUCAAUAAUCAAGUUUAGUCAGCGGAUCUGGGGUAAAAGGGUGUGGGUUAAUUAUGAAAGGGAUUAGGUUUAAGGUUUAACGUUUAUCAGACUUCUUUCCAUUGCUCCAUUCGCAUAAUUGUGCCUUUACUAGCCUCCUGUUUUUGCAAAUCAAAUCCAAAACAGGGAAAUUCUUCCUUGUCAUUACAUAGUCCCCAUCUCCCAGAUUCAAACUUGGACAGAAAUCGCCAAGCCCAUCGCCGAGGUAGAUUAUUGUUUUCUUCUCCUCCACGGGCAUGAGAGAGACUUGGAUCCUUCCAAUCACAAUACCCUAUUAAGAAAGAAUUCAAUCAUUAGUCAAUAGGAUGGGAAGAAAAUGAAGAUAACUUAAAAAUAAUUAUAGCAUAAAAUUAUAUAUCUUACAGCUAAUCAUGCUUUGGAUUCAUUACGUUUACUAAACAUUAGAAUUCAGUGGAGGUUGCAUAUGGUAUAGUCGGGUACUCAUGUACUCCUCCAAAGGUUGGAAAAUCAAAAACGUUUUCUUUGGACACCUUCAAAUUUUCUUUUUGAACAUAUCUUUCUUAAUUCCUUAUUCCUUAAUCCUUCACUCACUGCCACUACCUAAUAUCCAAUCACAUCACACUGUCAGUUAAUGCCCAACACCCAAUAAGCAUCCACUAUAUUAAAUGGACACCUCCAUAAAAAAAUUUCUUGCAUCUGCUACUGUUAGAAUUCAGUCAUAUUUGAUGCAUGCAUGCCUGGUUCAUGUUGUUAGUAACUAGUAUGAUUUUCAAGUUAAAAAUGAUAUACCUUGCACAUGUUUGGAGGGCAGGGAGGAUGAAAUCCAUGAGUAGAUUGAGUGAAAUCAUGGUGAGCAAAGAUCCUUAGCGUGCCUUCUUCAUUUACCAAACCUGGGUUGGUAUUGAUCUCUGAAAAGCAUUCCCUCAGGCCAUGAUGCUUCAAAAUUGUGUCGAUGAAGAACACGUUCGCAUCGCAUACAAUCUUCAAACCACACCUGAAAUUAAUAAUGCCAUACGAGUAUUUUUUUCUUUUCUGGCGAGAAAACCAGAAAGAAAAAUUAAAUAUACAUGCCGGCAGGACUGUAGUUGGCAGGAAGGAAACUACUAAAGCUAAGAAAUGUUGCCAGAGAGCUUAUUAAGUGUAUGGUCCUUUAAUUACUUCUUGCGACAGAGGAAUAAUAUCACAGGCUGCAAUCCCUGAGAACGCAACUGUGGCUUCUGCUGUCUCAACAAACGAUUGGACUCAAUAUCUCACUACUUCUCUACAGAUGAAGGAUUUGCGGCAGAUGUUGGCUGGUCUGACCUUCACUAAAGAAGAAGAUGUUGUUUGGCAGGCAGCAAAGUCUGGCAUGUUCAUACUUUCAAAUACAUGGGACUGGAUCAGGGAUAGGCAAUCAACUCUGGUUUGGCAUAAAUUGGUCUGGAAUUCCUCUUCACUCCCUAGACAUAGUUUUAUCACUUGGCUUGAGGUUCUUAAUAUAUUGAGCACACUAGCUAAUAUUAGGAGAUUCUGAGAGGAGCGUGAACAACAAGUAUAAAUAUAUCAAAUAUGCCAUGCGAGGAAUUCUCCAAAACUUGGCGUUUGUUCUUCAAAUAUUGACAAAGUCUUUCCUAGACAUUAGUUUUAAUGUAAAGUUUUGCCUUAUAAAAUUUGUAAAAAAAUAUGAAUAAUCCAUCUAUUAGCUGUCUGUGAAAAAUUGAAGGAUUGUAUAGGAAAUGCUAAAGCUUAUUCUUUGAUUUGUUGACUGGUAGCCUCCUGCUUCUUUGGAUCAAAGAAAUACCAUAUGAAAAAAAAAAAAAAACUAAAUAUAUACGAACACUGAGAAAAAUGUACGCAUAGCCUAAAGCAUGAGCCGAAUUUAAUGGCUUGGAUAAUUCGGGGAUGUAUUGGAAUUGUUUUUAGAACAGCUACAAUGUCAUUUAUGUUUGUUCCUUGUGAAUGAAUUUCUUUCAUCAUUAGAUCCUGCUUUGUACAUAAAAAAAAUAAGCCCUAGUUCUUAUAUUUGGAAAAGAAAGAAGAAGGAAAACAAAUAAAUUAAAAGACUAACAAUAAGAGAGUUCCAAGGCAUGGUAGAGAGGAGUUGAUUGAACAACUAUGUAGCUAGUCUAGGAUUUAUGAAAUCUGAAAUUCAGGUUAGUUGAUUUAUAAAAUUACUCUUAAGAGAUGGUAUUUAACUGUAACUCAAAUUUUAAUAUUUAUAAUCAUUUCUUGUACUCUCAAAUGACCUCCUAAAUAAAUAAAUAAAAAGUCUAUAAUAAGAAAUUAAGUAUGCUUAAUUUGUUUGAAUUUUCAAGUUACUUGAUCCUAAGUUUUAAAAUUUUUAACUUUUUUAAUAUAUGUUCAGAUUUUAAGUUAUAUAAUUAGAGACAAGUAAUUUAUAAUUAUAUUUCACAUAAAAAUCAUUUCUAGUUUAUAAGAUUUAAAUUAAAAUUAAAAUUUUAAAUUCUUUCUAAUAAUUAUGUCAUGUAAAAUCAAAAUAUAUUUAAAUUGAUACUUUAUUCUGAUUCUUAAUGCUUUAUUAUUAAAAUAAUUAAUCUAUAUAAGUAUAUACCAUAUAUAUUCAUAUCCACAAUGCCUUUUUAUAAAAGUGAGAAAAUCCUCAUCGAAGAAGAAUCAAAGCAUGUGCAAAGAAUAUUAUGUAAUACCUAAGUCCAAGUUAUUAUAGCUUAAUUAGUGAUCCAGCCCAUAAGUAUCAUUAGUAAAAAAAAAAAACCUAAAGAAGAAAAAAAAAAAAAAGAAAACUUAUCAACAACUUUUGUCGAUAGUUUUUUUUGAGAAAAAAAAAAAGGGAAAAAUUUUAAGAAAUACUUGGGAUGAAGAAAAGAGGAAGAGAUAAUGCAAAUCAAUUCUAGAAAUCACUUAUUAAGAUAAAAUUUUACUUAAAACUCUUGAAAUUUUUAUGUUUUAUACAAUUUUCUACAAACCCAAAUUAUAUUUUUAUAUCUUUUCAACUUCAAAAAUAUUUCAACGACCUCUUAGUGACAAUCUGACGAAAUUGAAGGUACUAAUGGAAAGUCUCUUUAAAACCUUUCUAAUGGUAUGUGUGGUACUUUGUUUAGUUAAGUAAUUUAAGAGAAUUUAGUGUUUUAAAUUUUUUAUUUUUUGGUUUUUAAUAAUUACAGAUGCCCAAUUUUGACCCAUCGAAACUCUUUACCCUGGUAGCCAAUUUGGUUGAACAUUUUAUGCUUUUGAUAGUACAAAAUGUGAAUUUUCUAUUGGUAUAAUUGGUUUGUUUAGAUUAUUUAUAGGCUAAAAGAAUCGAAACUCCAAAAUAGGCUUCAUGAAUCUAAAACUCAAAAAAUCAGGGCUGUUUAUGAUGAUUUGUCAAGUUUUAACCAUUGAAACUUUGGUUUUUAGAAAUUAGUUUUGCCAAAACAAAAUUUUAUAUUGUAGUAUUACAUCCUUACUUUAAAUUCGCGCUUCAUUUUGUCAUUAGGAACUAUAGAAUGUUCAAGUUUUUGUGACUCAAAUUAAACCAAAUGAUCACAUAAUUUAAAAAUUCUCAUUUUUAAUUAUUUUAAAAAUUAUUUCCAGCCAAUAUUUAAUGUGUUUAGCUAUAAAUUACUUAAAUUUUAGUUAUAGUAUUUUUAAAGAAUUUUUACUUAUUUUAAUAUAUUUUUAUUGUGUUAAUUUUAUAUUAUUAAUAUUGUUAAAAGACUAUUAAAUUAUAUUUAGAUUUACAAAAAAAAAAUGAUUACUAUUAAAUGUUAAAAAUUAAAUAUUUGAAAAAAUUUAUAUUGCUACUGAUUUUUAUGUUUUAAUCCUUAAUUUCAUAUUUAUAGUCCAUUCUAGGUAUUUUGCUAUAUUAAAAUAAAAUUUAUUUUAUAUGCUAAAAGAAAAUAUUUUCAAAUAGUUUCAAAUUAUCGAAAAGUUUGCUACAUAACUCAACUUGCUUAUGAUAACCCAUGAAAGGUUUGCCUCAUUAAAUUUAUGUUUUUGGGUUAAAUUCUGAUUUUUAAAUAUUUCUUGAAUUAUUAGGAUAUCAAGAGAAUUGAGUAAUUCGUUGUUUAAGUUUCAGUUUAGCGCAUCAAGUAAGUGACUUGAUAUCUUUUCGAUUUCUAUGUCCCUAAAAAUCAAUCUCAAUAUAUUUAGAGUUGAAAUAUAUAAUAUAUAUUGUUUUGUCCAUUUGUUUUGUAAAUCAGGUUGAGCAUGUAAAAUGUAUCUAUGAUUUAUUUGUUAUGAAUUUGGAAUAUGGUUUGACAUUGUUUUGAUUUCUGAAUAUGAUUUCAGAAUAAUAUAUUUAUAUAUCCAUCAUUUGUUAGAAUAUAAAAUUUUACUUUGGAAUGAUUAUGGAAAUUACUUUAUAUAGAUUAUAUUUUGAAAAAAUUUAUAAAUAUUGAAUUUGUAUAUGUUGGUAAUCUGAAAACAUAUUAUGGUUUUGUCUCAUAGUAUGGCUAUGUUCUGACCCUAUUAGUGGGGAUUAAUUUUGGCUAUGUUGACAUAUACUUUAUGCUAUUGAUGCCGAUUUUUAACUGUGUCAUUAGUUGAAAAUAGUUAUUUUUAUUCACUGUACCAUCAGUGAUAUACUUAUGUCCCAUUGCAUUAAAGGGGUUACUAUGAUUUUUGUUUUGUCCCAUUACAUUAAUGGGUUAAUUAUAAUUGCCAAUGCAAUGAUUUAGUUGCUUUUGCUAUAUUUUUGUCCCAUUAUACUAAAAAAAAUUUUUGAUUUCGACUUAUGCCACAAGAGUUAGUGUGGUCAUAGUAUUUUACAGGAGACUAAAUAAAUUUAUAAUUUUGUGAUAUUUAAUUACAUUUUGUGAUAUGAGAAUUUGGUUUUGAAAAUAUGUUUGUGAAUACAAGACUACCUAAAAUAUUUUUGAAUCAUUUAGUUAAUGUUUUGUGGCAUACUUAAUUCAAUUGAGGGGAUGUCGAGUACUUGUUGAGACAUCUUACUCAUUUUUUUAUUUUUCUUUACUUUUUCAAAUUUUAGUGUUUGUGUCUUGGGAGAUUGAAUCUUGACAAUUACUUGGAUUAGUAAAAUUAGCAUCUCUCUUUAGAUUGGUAUUCUUUCAAAGUGAGUAUUUUAUUAUUGAUUCUAAAAGAUUUGUUAGCAAGAACUUUAGUAUAUUCAACCAACUUACAAAGAGUAUAAUUUUAUAGACUUGAGAUUCUGUAAAGUAUUAAUUUAGAGAUUAUUGAAGAUUUUAAUUUAGUUUGAUAUCUGUUGCCUUAUAUGCUUGCGAGAUUCAUCUCACGAAUAUGCAUUGUUGGUACAUUCUAAAUCUUUAGGUUUGGGGCUUGACAUAUUGAACAAUUUGCUUAGUACAAUCAGAUAGAGAAGCAUUUCUAAAAAAGAAAUAUAACAUAUAUAGUGUUUAAGAGAAUAAAACUUUCGACAUGUAGGUUUGGUUUUUGUUUUAAUAAUUAUAUUUAUUUAUGCUACAAUCAAGUACAUGCAAAAAGUGAGAUAUAUUAGUCUAAAAUUUAAUUCAACUAAUUUAUAAAAAUUUUUUAAAAAAAUAAUAUUUAAUUAAAAUUUAAAUCUCAAUACUUGUAUUUUCUUCUUUUAUUCCAAAUAACUUCUUUUAAAAGGAAAAAAUGAGUCAUGUGGAAUUCUUUUGUUGACUUUUUAUGUUUGUUAAUCUACCUCUGGUCCAACUUUUCUAUAGUACACGAUUAAUUUAAUAACCAUUGUACCGCUUAAAUAAUCUUAACCUCACAAUUAAAGAGGUAAAACUUCUCCAUUGAUAAAAACUUACUUAAGUACCUUCUUGGUCAUGAAAACAGCAAUCCCCAUAUUGAAAUGUUAAUCAUGAAAUUAAAUCAUUAAUCCUACUGCAUAAUUUGUCCGAUAUGAAAAAAUCUGAUUGGAACAUAUAUCUAAAUUUGAAUAUAUAUGCAAAAACAAUAGACAGAUGAUUUUUAAAUGAUGUUAAAAUUUAUGAAAUUUAAAAUUUAACGCUAUUAAUUUAUGUAUGUAGUUGUUUUUGGAUAUAGUAUUUAAUAAAUUUGAUAUUCAAAUCUUAAUAUUUUUUUUCAUUUCAAAGUUAUGAUCUUCUUUCAUAACAAGAAAAAAAAAACUAUAAAUGAUUUUUUAUCUGUAACUUUAAACUGAUGAAUUUAAAUUGCUAAGACUUUGCAGUCAUAUUUUCAUUGGCAAAGUUGAUUUACAUUUAUUUCAAAAGUAGAGAAAAAAAGGCCAUUUGGCCUACCAAUCAAUAUCAUAUUGAGCAACUUCGCAAUAGAUGAGCAUUGGCCUCCGAUCUGCCCAAAAACUAAUUUAUUGAGGAACUGGCAAAGCUUGAGGCAAGGCCUGGUUUGAUGCUGAAAUCGUUUGCAAUUUGCAGUCAACAGAGAUUAGUUGAGCAGAAUUAUCCUUGUUUUCCUCAACAGAAAUCAUGUUGAUUAUUUGUAGCAAAACACGCUCGAGCCCUUCACCAUCACUCCAUUCAUGAAUCUCCGCCUUGAUGAGCAAAGGGUUCCUGCAAAUUAAAUCCCAGACUGGAAAAUUCUUCCUGGGCAUCAUAUAGUCUGCUUUUCCAAGCCUUAGACUUGGGCAGUAAUCACCGGUACCAUCUCCAAGGUAGAUGAUUUUUUUCUUCCCCUCUAAAGAAGCUUGAAUCCUUUCAAUGAUCAUCCCCUGUUACACAAAGCAGAAGCCAAAAUUAAAAUUGUUGACAUCUUAUUUCAUGAUUGUCAUUAAAUUUAUUUGAUUGUUGACCCAUGUAAAGAUCUUGGGUUUGUUUAUGACCUUACUUGAGCCAUUACUUUAAUAGAUUAAGUGGGGUCAAGAAAAGAAGUUGACAUAUCUAAAAUGAAAAUAGAUUUAAAAAAUAAAGAGAUAAAUAAAAACUCCAAGCAAGUUGGACGAAUUUGACUCUGUACAUGUGGAAUACCAUCAACUAAUAAAAUUUUCUAGAAAUUUUCACUUAAUAUGAAAAAUCUAGGUCUUCCUACAAAAGUUUGGUGUCUUGAUUUAAAAUAUUUACAAUUGUGAUAUUCAUGAAAUUAAAUCUCAUGUUACUGAUGAAAAGCAUAUGAUACCUUGCACAUAUUUGGGGGGCAGAGGUUGCAGCCAUGAGAACUCUUGGUGAAAUCAUGGUAAGGAAUGAUCCUCAGCCUCCCUUCUUCAUCAACAAAGCCGGGGUUGGUGUUGAUCUCUGAGAAAUAUUCCCUCAAUCCAAGAUGCUCCAGCAUUGUCUCAACGAAGAACAUGUUUGCAUCACUCACAAUCCUGAGUUCACACCUGAAAAAAUAUUCAAACCAAUUUGAUCACCCUAUAUUUCUAUUGCUUCAAACUGUAGUUUUGAUAGUCACAGGUCAAACACCAAGAGGAGAAGCAUAGAAAAAAAGGAGUACCCUAAAGAAUGAGCUGAUUUAAUAGCGGGGACGAUCCUAGGAUGGAUAGGCGCUCGUUUCAGAACCUCAGCAAUGUCAUCAAUGGUUUUUUCUUGGGCAUGAAGCUCCUUCAUCAUCCUGUCCUGCAAUUUUAUACCACAAACACUGAGUUUCAAUUUUUAUGAAUGUAAAGCCAACAGAAAGAGAAAUUGCAGAGGGCUUAAUAUGGGUUACCAUGAGAGAAUUCCAGGGCAUGGUAGGAAGAAGCUGGUUGAACAAGUCGGUGAAACCCAAGUCAUCGACAACCCAGUUAUCACUAUCACAGUCGAUAAUGGUUUUGUCAAAAUCAAAAACCACAACAGUUCCAGCCAUCUCUCUGAAUGAAAAUCAAACAAAAUACAAAACAAGAUUGGAAAAACUCAGCAACUCUUUGAAUGUUUUCUUGUUGGUAUAGCAACGUAACAGGGGAUGGGUAUUUAUAUGCAAACAAUGGAUUUUAUUUUAUGCCAAAGGAAUAUUACGUGAAGGGGUUAUUAGGCGUAAGUAGGAAGCAAUAAGCAGGACACAAGAAGCCCUUUUUCCUGCAAGCUUCCUACGCAACACAUACUAAUCUGAUACAACUGCUUGUAAAUUAUUACUCCGGUAUAAGCAAUAUUAACCGUUUGAUGGAUGACUUUUGAACCAUGUGAUUAAUCAAGUUGAGUCAGCGGAUCAGGGGUAAAAAGGUGUAGGUUAAUUAUGAAAGGGAUUAGGUUUAAGGCUUAAGGUUUAUCUAACUCCUCUCCAUUGCUCCAUUCGCAUAAUGGUGCCUUUACUAGCCUCCUGUUUUUUUGCAAAUCAACUCCCAAACUGGGAAAUUCUUCCUUGUCAUUACAUAGUCCCCAUCUCCCUUCUUCAAACUUGGACAGAAAUCGCCAAGCGCAUCACCGAGGUAGAUUAUUGUUUUCUUCUCCUCCACGGGCAUGGGAGAGACUGGUAUCCUUCCAAUCAUAACACCCUAUUAAGAAAGAAUUCAAUCAUUAGUCAAUAGGAUGGGAAGAAAACGAAGAUAAGUUAAAAAUAAUUAUAGCAUAAAAUUAUAUAUCUUACAGCUAAUCAUGCUUUGGAUUCAUUACGUUUACUAAACAUUAGAAUUCAGUGGCGGAUGCAUAUGGUAUAGUCGGGUAUUCAUGUACACCUCCAAAGGUUGGAAAAUAAAAAAUGUUUUCUUUGGACACCUUAAAGUUUUCUUUUUGAACAUAUCUUUCUUAAUUCCUUAUUCUUUAAUCCUUCACUCACUGCCACUAUCUAAUAUCCAAUCACAUCUCACAGUUAGUUAAUACCCAACACACCUCCAUAAAAAAAAUCUUGCAUCCGCUGCUGUUAGAAUUCAGUAAUAUUUCACGCAUGAAUGCAUGAUUCAUGUUAAAAAUGAUAUACCUUGCACAUGUUUGGAGGGCAGAGAUGAUGAAAUCCAUGAGUAGAUUGAGUGAAAUCAUGGUGAGGCAAGAUCCAUAGCCUGCCUUCUUCAUUUACCAAACCUGGGUUGGUAUUGAUCUCUGAAAAGCAUUCCCUCAGGCCAUGAUGCUUCAAAAUUGUGUCGAUGAAGAACACGUUCGCAUAACAUACAAUCUUCAAAUCUCACCUGAAAUUAAUAAUGCCAUACGAGUUUUUUUUUUUUUUUUUUUUUUCUAGCGAGAAAACCAGAAAGAAACUUUAAAUAUACAUGCCGGCAGGAUUGUAGUUGGCAAGAAGGAAACUCCUAAAGCUAAGAAAUGUUGCCAGAGAGCUUAUAAAGUGUAUGGUCUUGGGACGGAGGAAUAAUAUCACAGGCUGCAAUCCCUGAGAAUGCAACUGUGGCAUCUGCUCUCUCUACAAACGAUUGGAUUCAAUAUCUCACUUCUUCUCUACUGAUGAGGGAUAUGCAGCGGAUGUUGGCUGGUCUGACCUUUACUGAACAAGAAGAUGUUGUUUGGCAGGCAUCAAAGUUUAGCAAGUUCAUACUUUCAAAUACAUGGGACUGGAUCAGGGAUAGGGAACCCACUGUGGUUUGGCAUAAACUGGUCUGGAUUCUUCUUCACUCACCAAACAUAGUUUUAUCACUUGGCUUAAGGUUCUUAGUAGAUGAGCAAAGUAACUAAUAUUAGGAGUUGAAGUACUCAAAUGUCACUAGGGAUCAUCUUUUCCAUUCUUGUGACUUCUCAAAGCAAGUUUGGCAAUUAGUUUUAGCAAAAGUGAAGUGUGUUUUUUAUUGCAAUAUCCAAAAAUGACAGCAGGAGCUCGAUUGGAUUAUUAUAGGUGAAACUUUUAAGACUGAUUCUGAGAGGAGUGUGAACAAGUAUAAAUAUAUCACAUAUGGCAUGCGAGGAAUUCUCCAAAACUUGGUAUUUGUUCUCUAAACAUUGACAAAUACUUUGCUAGACAUUAGUUUUAAUGUAAAGUUUUGCCUCUUAAAAUUUGUAAAAAAUAUGAUUAAUCCAUCUAUUAGCUCUGUAUGUAAAAAUUGAGGGCCGGGGUUGUAUAGGAAAUGCUAAAGCUCAUUGUUUGAUUUGUUGACUGGUGGCCUCCUACUUCUUUGGAUCAAUGAAAUACCAUUUAUGAAACAAAAAAAAAAAAAAAACUAAAUAUACACGAACAGAGAGAAAAAUGUAUGCAUAGCCCAAAGUAUGAGCCGAUUUAAUGGCUUUGAUGAUUCAGGGAUGCAUCGCAGUUGUUUCUAGAACAGCUACAAUGUCAUCAAUUUUUUUUCCUUAUGAAUGAAGUUUUUUCAUCAUUAGAUCCUGUUUUGUAAAUAAAAAAAUAAACCCUGGUUCUUACAUUUGGAAAAGAAGGAAAAAGAAAAAACAUAAAUUAAAAGACUAACCAUAAGAGAGUUCCAAGGCAUGUAAGGAGGAGUUGAUUGAACAACUAUGUAGCACGUCUGAGAUCUAUGAAAUUUGGAAUUCAAGUUAAUUGAUUUAUGAAAUUAUCUUUAAGAGUGGCAUCCAAAGACUUAAAUUUCAACAUUUACAACCAUUUCUCAUAUUCUCAAACGGCUUCCCUAAUAAAAAAAAAUAGUAUAUAAUAAGAAAUUAAUUAUGUUUAAUUUGUUUGAAUUGUCAAGUUACUUUAUCCUAAGUUUUAAAAUUUUUAACUUUUUUUAAAUAUGUUCAGAUUUUAAGUUACAUAAUCAGAAACAAAUAAUUAUAAUCAUAUUUCAUAUAAAAAUCAUUUCUAGUUUAUAAGAUUUAAAUUUAAAUUAUAAUUUCAAGUUCUUUCUAAUAAUUAGAUCAUGCAAAAUCAAGAUAUAUUUAAAUUUGUGCUUUAUUCUGAUUCUUAAUCUCUUUAUUAUGAGAAUAAUUACUCUAUAUAAGUAUCUACAUAUAUAUUCGUAUCCACAAUGUGUAUUUAUAAAAGUGAGAAAAAUUCUCAUCAAGAAGAAUCAAAGCAUGUAAGGAAUAUUGAACCUUGGAAUCUGCCUAGUACAAGCAGAUAGAGAAACAUUUCUACAAAAGCUGUAUAACAUGAAUGGGGUUUAAAAGAAUAAAAUGUUAGAAAAAUAAAUUAAAUAGGUUCUAUUUUUGUUUUAAUAAUUAUAUUUAUUUACGCUAUAAUCAAGUACGUGCAAAAUGUUAGUUUAAAAUUUAAUUCAGUUAAUUUAUAAAAUUAUUUUUUAAAAAUAGCAUUCAAUUAAGAUUUAAAUUUCAAUACAUGUAUUCUCUUCUUUUAUUCCAUGUAAUCUUUUGUAAUAAAAAAUUGAGUCAUGUGAAGUUUUUUUGUUAAUUUUUUAUUAUUUGUUAAUCUACCUAUUCCACACACUAUAUUACUAAUUUAAUAACCACCACUCCGCUUAAUUAAUUUUAACCUUGCAAUUAAAGAGGUAAAACUUUUCCAUUGAUAGGAACUUACUCAAGUAACUUCUUGGUCAUGGAAAUAGCAAUCUCCAUAUUGAAAUGUAAAUCAUGAAAUUAAAUCAUUAAUCCUACUACAUAAUUCAUCCAAUAGAAACUAAUCUAAUUGGAAAAUAUAUCUAAAUUUGAGUAUACGUGCAAAAACAAUAGGCGGACGAUCCUUAAGUGAUGAAAAAUUAAGGUAAUUUGAAACUAAACUUUGGUAGUUCAUGUAUAUAGUUGUUUUAGGAGAAGGUAUUCAAUAAGUUUAAGGUUUAAAUCUCAACACUUUCUUUCAUUUCAAAAUUAUGAUCUCUUUUGUAACAAAAAAAAAUAGAAAUAAUCUUUUAUUUGUAACUUUAAACUGGUGAAUUUAAAUAAUAAUAAAAAAAAAAAACAACAAAAGGAAGUUCAUUUUCUCCUCAAACAAAAUAAUUUGAAAGAGCUGUCAGAUAUAUGGAAAGGUAUGAGUCAGUCUAGACAAUUAGCCUUUUGUGAAAAAUAUGGUCAUAUUACAUAUCUCCUUUCAGAGGUAGUUGAACAUUCUUUCAUUAGAGCAACGGUGCAAUUAUGUGAUCCUUUAUAUAGAUACUUCAUCUUCAAUAAAGUUGACAAGACACCGAUUAUAGAGAAGUAAUUUACAUUGCUGGGUAUGCAUCUCCAAUCACUAAAUAAGAUAUAUGUUAGGAGGCAGAAAUCAACAUUUCGUAAGAAAAUCAUAGAUAUCAUGGAGUUCAAAAGGAAGAUGUAAAUGUACAAGUUUAAGAAAGAAAUGACUAUAUUUGUUUUCCUUGAGAGUUUUUUCGUAAUUUCAUCACAAAGCAUCUAAAUGAUGAUUAAGGGUCAGAUAUAUUUGCUCUGGCCAUAUAUGGCAUGGUAAUCUUUCCUAGAAUUUUAGGUCAUAUUGAGAUAGAAGUGAUUGAUUUUUUCUAGCAUGUGAAAAAAGGUUGCAAUCCCUCUUCUGCAAUCUUAGUUGAAACAAUUAAAUCCCUAAACUAUUAUCAUCAAAAAGGUAAAAGGUGUUUCAUUGGAUGCUUGCCAUUAUUAUAUUUGUGGAUGAAAAGUCACUUUAAGUGUAAGAAGAAUGCAUUUUCCAAACUCUACUUUCGUAGAGCCUCAAUUAAGCAAUUUUGUGAAAAUGAAUGGCCAAAGCCCAAACCUAAGGAGGAAUGGAUGGUCCUGCUACAAGGUCUUAUUUGCACUCAAGUGAAAUGGUUAGUUCCAUGAAUGGAUCAUGAACUAAUGUUAUAUCAAUGUAGACAUGAGAUAGGGGUCCCACUUCUAGGUUUAUAUGGAGCAACAAGUUAUGCACUGCCUACGAUUCAAAGGCAGUUUAGGGCUGAAUAGUUCAUUCCUAUGACAUACAAACUCACUCAAUCAAAUUUUCUACAUAGUGAGUCAAAAAUACUGCAAAAAGUGGAUAAUGUGAUCAAGACAUGGAUGAAGCCCAAAAGAGUGAGUCCUUCGUCAGUUAUUGAUAAAGUCACUUAUAAGUAUUUGGUGUAGAAAGCCAAGAGGGGCAAGGAGGUUAUGUUUACACUCAAAUAUUAUUGCCAGCCAAUGAAUUAAGAGUUGGAUAAGAUAUUCUCAGAGUUAGAGUUCGCAAGGAAAGAAUUUGAAGCUAAGAAAGAUAAGAUAAAGAAGAGAUUCAAAGGUUUUAAGAAAAAAGAAAGCAAUGGAAAGACAAGGCAAAAAAGCUAGAAGUUAGAGUCCACAAGAUUUCCAACGAGCGUGAUACAAUAGUUAAUAAUUUGGCCAAAGUUUAUUGACAACAUAAAAAGUUAAAAGCUGAAAGUAAAGCCCAAAAGGUUGUUAAAGAGCACGACAAUGUCCUUAAAGAGAUGAUAGAGCUGUGUCAAAAACAAAGAUUACGUAUCCAAGUGAAGGCCAAAGAAAUAAAUAUCAUUUAUUUGACUUUUGAGAAUGAAAAGUUGAAUAGAAAAUAUUCCCAAAUGGAGGAUAAUUUUGUUAAAACCCAAAAAUGAGAUUGAGAUGCUUAGAAGGUAUAUUUAGACAUUGAAGUAAAAGUUGAAAGAAUAAAGAGUUCACAUCAUGAUACUCACAAAAGAGCAUAGAGAGCUAUCUUAUCAAGUAUGAUUUGACAAAAAAAAAGUUUGAGAAGGUAAAAGUACAUAGAGUACUAUGCAACCCAAAUAAGUAAGGUAGUGAUCAAGGUAGAAAAAAUGGUUGAAAAGGCUAAGGCAUUGAGAAUAUUGGUUACACUAAUAAAAAAACAUGGACAAUGUUUAUUAAAUUUCAUUGAAGAGGCUAAGGAUCAGUAUAAAUGGGUUAAAUGUUUUUACAAGUAGAAAAUAAUAGACUCAAUGUAAAACAGACUUUAGUGGAAUAAAUGAAAAUUCACUUGUGUUAAAAAUUUUUAAAGAGGCAAAUAUUUUCUUUGUUUCUUUUUCAUACAUUGCAUUCAUUCAUACAUAAUUAAACUUUUAAUCAUGAUAGUCCAUAUAAGACCACUAAUUUAAGGUUAUGGUAUACAAAUUCAAGGAUACAUCAAACACCAGUACAAAACUCCGGCUCAAGCUAGAAGAAUUGAACAAGACAAUGCAAGUCAUGUUGAGAAAUUGGAAAAAGCUCAAGAGAAAAUCAAGGGAAAAUUGAGCAAAAUCUUUGAAGCUUUGAGUAAGUUGAAUAAAAAAAAUAUAAUAUAAGAAAAUGAUUCACGUGAAGUUAUUAAUCUUUUGUAUCCUUCGAGUUAUGACCUGUACCAGGCUUAAUCUACUCAAAGCUUUCUACCAUAAUAGCUCACAUUUCAUACAAGUUAUAUUUAUUUGGGAAUGCCACCUGUACUGAUACCAAAGUAUCUGCACAUCAUAUAACUUGAGCUAAGACUAAGGUAGACUUAUCAAAAAAUAAGAUAGACCUAUUUUUGGUUCAAAUUCAUUAAGUAAAUACAAAAAUAAGAUGGGCUAGACUAAGGAGAUUAUAUUCACACUAGCUAAAGAAGAAAAGCAUGAAUAUGGAUGAGAUUAUGGUCAGAUUCAUUAUUAUGUAAUCUAUAACAAUAAAUGAGUUCACAUGCAAAUUCUUUGAUUUUAGGCAUGAUUUUAGCAAUACAAUAUAAAAGUUUUCAUGCUUGGAAGGAUGUUUCUAGCCUAAAUAUUUUCUAUUAUUCUUUGGUAGAAAGCAGAAUAGAGUUUUUUUUAUCCUUAAGCAAUCUUUUAUAUUAUUUUUUAAGUUUUAUAUCUUUUAAGUGGAUUUCCUAGAGUGGUAAACUUUUAUUGUUCUAUAUCCUUGAUUAGAAUUUUUAGGGUGGUGUUUUUAUUUCUCUUAAUUUCUAGUUUUGGUGAUGAACUUUUAUCUAUUUUAAUCCAAUAAUCAUAUUCUAUCAUUAUUCAAAUCCUUGUGAGUUAUUUUCUUUAUGAGUUUUUUAUUUACAAUUAAUUUCAUAUUUUAAACAUCAAUUCUCGGCAUCAAAUUUAUAUCAGAGCUAUGGCAAGUCAUUCUCAUCAAGCACCAACAGAAGAGGUUAAAGCCAACACUGACGUUACAGUAAUUACCAAUGUUGACCUAAAUGAUGCCCUCAUAAAAGAGAUGUGGUAACAGAUCCUUCGACUACAACAUCAGUUAUAUAUACAAAAAGAGAAAAAGAGAAGAUAAGGAGGUAACGAAAGAGAAACGAAGAAGAUAAAAGAAAAACCAAUUCAUACCUUGGAAAUAACAAUGAUCUGAUGAUAACACAAUAUCUCACCUAUAGUAAGUUAGAGACUAUCUAAGCAGAAACUAAUUUCAACUUAAUAUAUUCAAUCUAAUUAUAAAGAUUCCUGAGUUCGAAGGGAAAAUGCAACCUAAAGAAUUCUUGGAUUAGCUAUACACAGUGGAACACAUAUUUGAAUACCAUGAUACCUUUAAAUUUCGUAAGGUGAAGCUAGUGGCCAUCAAACUUAGAAAGCAUACAUCCUUUUAAUGGAAAAUAUGAAGAACCAAAAAGAAAGAGAAGGCAAGAGAAAAAUUAUAAUUUAGGAGAAGAUGAAAAAGAGUUGAUGAGAAAGUAUCUCUCAGAUAACUUUUGACAAGAUGUCUUUCUUAAGCUCUAUAACUUAAAGCAAAGAGAUCUGUUAGAGGAAGAGUAUAUAGCUGAGUUUGAUCAUCUCAUAUUAAAAUACGAAUUGGUAGAACAAAAGGAGCAAACUAUUAUUUGGUAUCUUGAAAUAUUAAAGAUUCAGAUAGCUAAUGUGGUGUAGCUACAACCCUAUUGAAUUUUUAAUGGUGAGCUUACCCUUAAGGUGAAGAGAUAACAAAAGGAGGCCUGUGGUAGCAAGAUAAGAUUUGGGUCUCGAUAAGGCAAGACUUUUUUAAUGCACAAACCAAAAGAUGUUUUAAAUGUCAAGGGUUUGGACAUAUUGUCUCAAAAUGCCCAAGAGAAAGAUUAUGACUUUAGUAGAGGAAAACUUAGAAAAAAAAAGAAAAAGAGCUGGCUAAAAGGAUCAAAACCUUGAAGACGAGAAAGAGGUAGCCUAUGGUGAAUGUGAAGCAUCAUUAGUCAUACAAUUCAGCUUGAGUACCACACCUACUAAGAAAGAAGAUUGGUUGUGUAAAAACAUAUUCCACAUUCGAUGUACUAUUUAUGAGAAGGUAUGUGAUGUUAUAAUUGAUAGUGAAAAUUUUAAAAAUAUUGUUUCUACCUUUAUGGUGUAGAAAUUAAGCCUCAAAAUAGUGGAUCACCUCUAACCAUAUAAGCUGUCUUGUUUGUAAAAAAAGAAUAAAAUCAAGAUUAGCAAGAGGUGUUUGGUUUUUUUUUCCAUAAAAAAGUAAUACAAGGAUGAAGCGUGGUGUGAUGUAACUUUAAUAGAUGCCUGCCAUUUACUACUUCAAAGAUUUUGGCAUUAUGAUAGGAAGGUUAUUUAUGAUGGUUACUGCACCAGUUACACAUUUGUGAAAUAUGGAUACAAAAUCAUUGUAGGCCCUACCAAGCCCAUGGUGAUGUCAAAACCAACCAAAGGUGAAGGAAACAGCUUGUUUACCAAGGCUAAUUAUAAAAAAAAAAAAAAAAUUAAGAUGGGCGAUGCUUUAUAUGCACUAGUGUUGAUUGAGGGGAAUAAAGAUAAUAAGGAGCCCCCUAUAGUGAUAUAACCAUUAUUCGUAGAAUUUCAAGAUAUUGUUCAAGAAAAGUUAUUAGUUGGUUUACCACCAAUAAGGGACAUUCAACAGUGCAUAGACCUUAUCCUAAGAGCUAUUUUACCCAACAAGGUAAAAAUUUUCUUGAGGAGUUAUGUGAGAAAAAAACUAAAAUAAUGGAAAUUUAUUUUACUACAGCUGGAAUUUACCUACAAUCAUUCACUAAGUCAAACUAUUGAUUGCAGCCCUUUUAAAAUUACUCUUGUUAAGAAUGCAAUCUGUCCUUUGAUUUUAAAUCAACGUUAUACUAAUCAGCAUUUUGAUGAAGAUGUAGAAGAAAGAGCCAAGAGUAUCAAAAUAUUUCAUGAACAGGUUUAGAAUAGAAUUUUGUAGAAAAAUGAGAAAUAUAAAAGGGUAAUAAUUAUGCAUCAAAGACAUGUGAAGUUCAAAAAACAUGACUUGGUGUAGAUUAACUUGCAAAAAGAGAGAUUUUCUCUAAGAAAGUUUGGCAAAUUACAACCUAAAGCAAAUGGUCCAUUUAGAGUUCUACAAUGCAUUGCUACAAGAUAGAGCUCUCCAACACUUAUGGAGUAUCUUUCACUUUCAAUGUUACUAAUUUGUCACCCUACUAUGGCGAGAAUACUAGUUCAGACUUGAAGAUAAGUCUUUUUCAACUAGAAAAGAUUGACACUAGAAUGUCUGUAGAUCAUACAACUUGGGCUGAGACUAAGGCAAGCUUAUCUAAAAAUAACAUGGGCUUAUCCUUAGUCCAAAUCCACUAAGUAAAUGUAGAAAUAAUGUAGGUUGGACUAGAAAUAUUGUGUUUACACUAGCUAGAGAAAAAGAGUAUGAAUAUGGAUAGGAUUAGGUUCAGAUUCAUUAUUAUGUAAUAUGCAAGAGUAAAUGAGUUCACAUGUAAAUUUCUUGAUUUUAUACACGAUUCUAGUAAUACAAUCUGAAAGUUUUCAUAUUUGGAGGGAUGUUCCUAGCCUAUAUAUUUUUUAUUAUUCUUUGGUAAAAAGCAUAAUAAAGUUUUCUUUAUCCUUAAGCAAUUUUUUAAAUUGUUCUUCAAGUUCUGUAUCUCGUAGGUAGAUUUCUUAGAGUGGUAAACUUCUAUUGUUUUAUAUUCUUGAUUAGAAUUCUUAAGGUGGUGUUUCUAUAUCCCUUAGUUUCUAGUCUUAGUGGUGAAAUCCCUUUUAAUCCAAUAAUCAUAUUAUAUCAUUAUUCAAAUCCUUGUGAGUUAUUUUUUUGUAAGUUUUUGUGUUUGUAGUUAAUCUCCAUAUCUCAAACAUCAAUUCUCAGCAUCAUGCACCUAGCCAAGAGAAUAUCCAAAGUUAUAUCAAUCCUGCCUUCACUUAAAAGGUAGUUGAACCGGUUUAAGUUCUCAAUUUGAAUGAUCCAAAAGAGAAAUUAAAAUUAAAGAUGACUAAGUCUUUGAAGGACUCUAAAGUUGAUUAAAUGAUGAACAUGCUCGAUGAGAGAUUGCAAGCUGUGAAAAGUAUUGAUUUUUAAUGUACCAGAGUUUAAAAAAUGGCAGUUUACGCUAGUAAUGAGAAAUUACUCAUGUAUGUAUUCCAAGAUAAUUUAACUGGUUUUGUUGCAAAGUGAUAUGUCAAGUUAGACAAAACUCGUACCCGAUCAUGAAAGGAUCUAACUCACUUUUUCAUCAACCAAUACUACCAUAUCAUAGAUAUGACUUUCGAUUGCCUUUCCUUACAAAAUAUGGAAAAAAAAUGAUUGAGUUUAAAGAAUUUACCUCAAAUAUGGCAAGAUAUAACUAUUCAGAUCCAACUAUCUUUAACUAAGAAAGAGACAACGACUCUAUUUUUGAACACUUUGAAGUUAUCUUAUUAUGAAAAGAUGAUAGGGAGCAUGACUAAAAAUUUUGUUGAUAUGGUGAUCUUAUGCAAGAUCAUUGAAAAUGCAAUUAAGAAAGAGACAACGACUCUAUUUUUGAACACUUUGAAGUUAUCUUAUUAUGAAAAGAUGAUAGGGAGCAUGACUAAAAAUUUUGUUGAUAUGGUGAUCUUAUGCAAGAUCAUUGAAAAUGCAAUUAAGAAUGGUAAGGUUGAAAUAGGAGAGUCAUCGUGGCCAAGAAGAUGCCCAAAAAAAAGAAAGUGAAACUCAAACUAUGAGUUUCGAAGAGUAAUAAUUUAGAAAUUAUACUCAUUACCCAUAACUUAUUUACCUUACAUACUAUUCUACCAAAAAUAAUGCUUCAACUUUUUCAUACCAACUAGUUUCACAACUUUCUUAUAUACACCUAUCAACCAGUAUUCAGACCACCCACCAACGCAUACAACCGUAAUACCCUCUUACUGUAAGGCCCUCUAUGUGCCCAUCCAAUCCAAUAAGUGGUCCAAGAAAACCACGAAAUAAUCGAGAGAAGCCUAUUUUCAACCCCAUUCCCAUGAUUUAUACAAAAUUGUAUCGAAAACUCUACAACAAUCAUUUGAUUGCUCUUCUCUAUAUAAAACUACUUAAAAACCCUUUUAUUUUAAAUGGUAUGAUCCCGCUACUCAUUAUGAUUACCAUUAUGAAAUCAUAGGUCAUUCCACUAAAAAUUACACUACUUUGAAAUAUAAGAUGCAAAAUUUAAUCAAAGAUAGGCUGAUUAAAUUUGACACUAUUGAAAAUAACAUUCAAUGUCAAUGGUAAUCUAUUACCCAAUCACACCGUAAAUGUUUUAAAUGAGGACAAGGGACGUUGUAUGAAAAAGAGAGUAGAAGAGAUUAAAAUUCUAUUUAGUAAAUUGUAUGAUACUCUAUACGAGGUUGGGAUGGUACAAUCAAUGGACCUACACACCUACCGUAAGAGAUGUAUCUUAAAUCAAAGGUGUAAGUGCCAUAAUGAGGCUUCGGGCCAUUUUAUUGGGACUUGCAAUCAAUUUUAGGAAGACGUAUAGAAGUUAAUGGAUUCCUAUCAAAUUGAGCUAUAUAAGAAAGGAGAAGCCUCAAGAAGUACUAAGGUGUCUAUGACUAAUAAGUCAAAGUGGGUACCAAAGUCAAUAACUAUUUAUUAUGGCAAAAGGCCAAAAUUAAUUAUAGACAAGCUUGUCCCUAAGUUGGUGACCUUCAAAGUCCAAAGCCCGUUCAAAUAUAAGGAUGAGAAGGCUAUACCGUAGAGAUAUGACUGUGAAGUGACAAUUAAAGAACAAGAUAAGACCAUGCCCAAGCUAGACGUCACCAACAUAAUUGGUAUAGGUGAUAUAACUAGAAGUAAUACCCCAGCCCAAAUAAUAAUUGGGCUAGAAAAAUACUAAAGCCCAUCAUUUUAUUAACACAUUAUUUAGUAAAAGAAAAAUAGCUAAACUAUUAGAUGAAAAAAAAAACUUAAUUAUCGUGAAACAGAAAGGAAAUAGAGUUUUUCUUCCCCAUCUUCCUUAGGGUUAGAGAAUACGAAAAAUCAAGUUGGAGAUUCACAAUCAGAGGCUACAAUCAAGUUAAUCCUUUAAAGGUGAGUACAUACCCUCUUUUUAUUUGAAAAAAAUAUCAAAUUGAUUGCUAUUAUUUGGAGUUGAAGUUUUGAGAGGAAAAUCAAGAAAAAUCAUGAAAUCCUUCAUUAAUCUUGAUGAUCUAUUUGGGUAAAUUACUGGGCUUUGUUUAUUUCAUGUUUUUAAGAUUUAUUAAUGAUUAUUGAAUGGAGUUUGAAGGCUGAAAGUAAGGAUUUGAGUUUUUAAAGAUUGAAGGAGAAAUUCUAUUUUUGGGAGAGAUGUUGUGAUCUGUAAUAAUGAACUAAAAUAGAAUUUUGUAUUAAUGGAUAGAUUAUUGCUAUGAUUAUUAUAUAUCAUUGGAAAGCAUGUUGAAUCUAGUUUCUAAUGAAAUAAACGAAAGUCAAAUCUGAGUUUUCUAUGAAGAGUUGUCUAAUUUUAACUUAAAGAUAUGCAGGUUGUAAGACAACAGCAUCAGGGUCGAAUUACGAAAUUCUUCUUAAUUUGUAUACAAGGAUUUAUAGAUUAAGCCAUAUGUGUUUGGAAAGCUUAUUGAGUCUGUUUUCCAAUGAAACAAGCGGAAUUGAAUUUGGAGUUUCCUGUGAAUAAAUAUAUAGUUUUUAUUAGAAGGUAUACAGGCUGUUUGAGAGCAGUAUAUGACGUGAAUUUCAAAAAUUGUUAUAAUUAAUCUGCAAGGAAUUAUGAGGUGUACCAUAUAUGGUUAGAAAGCUUAUCCAGUCUAGUUUCUAACACAUUAAAUAGAUCAUAAUUUCGAUUUUGAUAUAUUGAGAUAUGACUGUUUUAAUGAAAAGAGGUCAGGCUACCAGUAUUAAUUAGUUAAGUUAACCCUUUGUGUAACUUAGUUGAUUUUUGUAUAAAUGGUCUCAAAAAGGGUUGAUUAAAUUCUAGUCUGUUGAAAUGAUCUUGGAUAGGCCAUUAAUUAUUUUGGGGAAAAACUAAGUGGUGGAAUCGAAAAGAGGUAAGUAGAAUCUCACACACUUUACUUAGUUUUGAAACUAUGUAUAUAUGUAUGUUUCUAAUUGAAUGAAUAUUUUAUUUCAUUAUUUUCAAUGUAUGAAAAUAGGAUCAAGCAUAUGAUUAUUUUGUCUUUCUUUAUAUAAACGAUGGAUCACGCUUAUGAAUGAAAUGAAAAAAUGAUUUAUGUUUAAAGAAUAAUUUUAUGAUAGCUACAUUUUUACAUCCCUGGGAAGUGGGAUCAUCGACACCAAAACUAGUUCUACAACCCUGGCUAACGGGUAAUAGUAGUUAGCAAAGACAUGAUCAUACAACCCUGGCUAACGGGUAUUAGUAGUUAGCGUAAGCCUUGGCUAACGGGUUAUAAUAAUUAGCAAUGAUCAUGAGAAUGAAAUUGUCAAUACGGCCAAUGUCACGGGUUAUAGCAGUGACCAUAGCUAACGAUAAAUGAAUGAUAAUGAUGAUUUAUGAUGAUUUUAAUGAUUGAUCCAUGAUUUGGUUUGAUUAUGAUAUUUGAAUGGCAGCAUAUUUUGCAAUGAUUUAUGAAGUGACAUAUUUUGAUAUUGAUUUAUGAAUUUAUGAAAUAUUUGAUAAAACGAUGAUCUUGAAAUGUUUUGAUAUUAUGAUUUUGAUGAAUGUUUUGAAUGAUUUAUAUGAUGUGUAAGAAAACGAUGCUUGAUCUGGUAAGGUGUGUGAGCUUAUACUUACUGAACUGUGGUUUGCUCAUUCUCUUUUUACUUUUUCUUUACAGAUGACUAAGUGAUAAGUUCGGUUAGUCUUGUGUGAAGCUAGAAGAUGAAAUGGGUAAGAUUACUUAAUCGUCAGAGAAUAUGUUGGCCAAUGAUAUUUUAAGAGGCAGUUUUGUAUUUAAUAUGGUUUGUAUUUGGAUAUAUAAAGAUGUAUCAUUAGUUGGAUUAAAGAUAUGAAUUUUACUUAGUAGAUUGUUUUAUUGAAGAAUUUUAGAAUGUUUAAGAAAGAAGGCUUCAUAUUACUUUGAGAUUUUUUUCAAGGUAAUAUAGCCGUGUUACGUCUUGAUCUCAGGACAUGACAGGGAGGUGCUAUACUCUAAAGAUGGUGGAAAGGGAAAAAAAAGAAAAAUCAAUAAUGAUUAAAAAGCAAGCUGAGCUGGAGAUAGUUUCAAAAAAAGAUAAUCCAAUACCAGUGUUUGAAAAAGAAGCCUACGAGUUCUUGAAGCUGGUAAAGCAUAAAAAGUAUUUUGUAGGGGAGCAACUAAACAAGAUGGCAGUUAGGAUCUCUUUAUUAUCAUUAUUAUUGAAUUCAGAACCGCAUCAUAACGUCAUAUUAAAGGUCUUAAACUAAACUUAUAUGGCCUACAACGUGUCAAUAGAAUAUGUGAAUCAUUUGACUGGGAACCUAGUGGUGCCACAUUAUACAGCCUUUAACGAUGAUGAAAUCUUACCAAAAGGUAAAAAAAGCACAAAGGUUUUGCACAUUAUUGUCAAAUGCAAGAGUUACAUCAUAGCCAAGGUGCUUAUUGAUAAUUUUUCUAUUAUUAAUGUUACACCUAUAUCUAUUUUAGUGAGGUUGGCCAUUGAUAUGUCCUAUAUAAAAAACAACCAUAUGAUUGUCUAAGCCUUAAACGAGACUAGGUGUAAAGUAUUAUAAGACAUUGAAAUGCAUUUACAGAUUGGGCCUUGCACAUUUAAUGUAAAAUUCUAGGUUAUGGAGAUCUCACCUUCUUAUAGUUAUUUGUUAGACAGGACAUAGAUUCACAUGAAAGAUGUUGUUCCCUCCUCUUUACACCAGAAAGUUAAGUUUAAUAUAGAAAGAUAACUGGUGAUCAUGGUUAGAGAAGAGAUUUGUUAGUAACUCAGUCUAUGAAUGUUCUUUAUGUAGAGGCUGUGAAAGAAUCAUUGGAGUGUUCUUAUCAAUCUUUCGAGCUUGUCAAUACUGUGGGCUAAAAGGUCCAAAUUACACUAACCAGAUUUCACUAGAAUUUUGGUUAGCUAGAUUAUCAAUAAAAAUUGGUAUCCCAGAGCUGGGUUGGAUAAAAAUAUGCAAGGAAUAAAAGGGCCUCCAAUAAUAAUAGAAAAUAACGAAAGAUUAGGCUUGAGAUAUGAAGCUAAAGAAUAAAAAAUAAAGAUGAUGAGAGACAACCAAUGAGGAAAAAAAAUAGUGAGGAAUAUACCUGUAAUAACAUAUAAAUCUGUAAAUUUAUAGCAAGACUUAACAAGAAAAGUUACCACCAAUUUUUUUUUUAGGUGUGAUUGGCCACUUAAUAAAUCUACCUUUUCAAUGAGGUCCUAAGCUUGACUAAGGGUCCCUAAAGAAUAGCUUCUAACCUUCUGAACAAAAUUAGGUUUGAGAGUUUCAUUACUUGUGGGGAAGGUUAUACCACCACCACAACACCCAUUUUAAUAUGGUACUAUUUAAUUUUAAAUUUUCCUAACAAAUUAUCUUGGUUCUAAUGAUUUUUAUUUUAAUAUUUAAAUAUUGAAAAUGACUUCUAAGAUUUCUCCAUUAAUUUGGUAGAAUUCUUAAAAAUACUUUCUCACCUCAAGUGUAUUUAAGAAUCCCAUUUAUUUUCUUGCAAAAGCUCUGUCGUCAAAAAAAGGUUUAAUCAUUUUUAUUUUGAUUUUUUAUUGAAAAUAUAUCUAAUUAUUUCACCAUUUGGAUCAAAUUAGAAAUUUCUUCUCACCUAGAACUUUCUUAGAUAAUCAACCAUUUGCGAUUACCAAGAAUUUCAUCAUCGGGAUUUAUUUUUAUUUUUGAUUUCUAAAUUUUUUACCAUUUGGGUAUAUUUAGAAAUUUUUUUUGUUAUUUUUGGAAAAACAUAAUAUAACAAUUUUUUUUUUUGAAAUUUCAUUUAAAUUCUUCCACCAUUUGGGAUAAAUUUAAAGAAAAUUUCUCACCUAGAGAUUUCUUAAGAAUUUUACCAUUUGAAAUUUCUAAAAUUCUCAUCUUUGGAUAAUUGUCAAAUAUUUUUAACCAAAAACUUUUAUUUGGAAACAAAUACAAUUACUUUUUAUUGAAAUUUCAUCUAAAUUAUUCUACAAUUUGGAACAAAUUUUGAGAAAUUUCUCACCUAAAGAUUUCUUAGAGAAUUUAUCAUUUUAAAUUUCUACAAAUCUCAUCCUUAGGCAAUUAGUAUUUAAUUCCAAAAUUUUAUUAAAAUUUUAUUAUUUUUUUAUUUUGAAUUGAAAAUAAAUAUUAAUUAUUAUUAUUAUUGAAAUUUUAUCUAAAUUAUUCUACCAUUUGGGAUAAAUUUAGAAAACAUUUCUCACCUAGAACUUUUAUUAAAAUUUACCAUUUAUAAUUUCUAAAAAUUUCAUUGUUGGAUAAUUAUUAUCUAUUCUCAAAAAAAUUAUUAAUGUUUUAUUUUAUUUUUUUAUUAUUUCUUCUAACUUUUUCUAAAAUUUAAUCAAACAAAAAUAAUUUAAAAAUAAAUAAAUAAAAUAAAAAAUACCAAAACAGGAACUGCCUCGGCUUGGCUAGUGUGUGUGGCUAGGCUACAGGCACAAAACUGGUUGAAAAGGCUUGGAAAGCGACUCAACUCGACUAAGGUAUAGGUUGAUUAACCACCGAAAUCUGGGUAAUUAUGCCAGAAUUUUACCCUUAAUUGCUGUUAAGCCUUUACUUGUACUUUUUCCCUUAUUUUUCUUUCUAAUUGCUAUCUAAUUGUUGUCUUUUGUUCUGUGAUUUAAAGGCCUAUUUAUAGGGAACAAUAUAGAGAAUUUCAUAUUGAUUCCAAUUUAAAAAGUUAGGAUUAUCAUGAAAAAAUAAAAUUUAUCUUUAAAAAGUUUAACUUCAAAUUUAAUUAUGAUAAAACUAAAUUAUUACCAGCCACUCCAUUUUAAUUUAUGGCCAUUCUUUUUUUUUUUCAAUUAUCCAUUUUUUUUAAAUAUCCAGAUACAUUUAAAAAAAUUAGAUAAACAUGAGGAAAUACAAUUAAAGAUAAACAACAAAUAAGCAAGACAAAAUAAGUAAUAAAAUAAAACAAAAAAGAUAAAUAAAAAAAUAUAUAGAUAAAUAAAAUAAAAACACAAUUUUGACAAUUAGGCUUAGAUCAAAUCUGAGCCCAAUUGAUUUGGGCCUUUAGCCUUGAAAUUAAAUCGGGCCUAGUUGACUUAGACCCCGUACUAAAUUGGGUGUCUAUAAUUGUCUCUCUUUGCUUAUUUUCUAUGCAACAGGAAUUAUGCAAAAAUAUAAACAUUCAUUACUUCUAAAUGUAGUUUAAUAACAAUUAUAAAAUCUCAAAACUCCAAAUAUUCACAAUUUGAAGUAAUCAAGAAUUUCACAAUCCGACAAUUAGUAAUGCAAGUUGAAACUCAAAGAUUCAUAAUUUAAGUUUAAAGAAUCACCAUUUUGAAAUUCAAAGGUUCGCAAUUCAACAAUUAGCAAGGUUCAAUUUCACAAGAAUUUGAUUCGUAAGGAUUUCAAAUUCUCAAAAUUCAUAUUUGCAAGGAUUUUGGACUUGCAAGAAUUUGAUUCUUAAGGAUUUUAGGUUCACAAGAAUUUUCAAAUUUGCAAGAAUUUGAUUCUCAAAAUUUCAAUUUCACAAGGUUUUUCAGCUUAACACGAUUUUUCAACUUCGUAAGAAUUUAUAUUCACAAGAAUUUGAUUCUCAAAAUUUUAGUUCACAAGGAUUAAAGAUUCGCAAUAAUUUGAUUCUCAAAUUUUCAAUUUCGCAAGGAUUUAGAUUCACAAGAAUUUGAUUCACAAAAUUUCAUAUUCGCAAGAUUUUUCAAUUUCGCAAGAUUUCAAAUUUGCAAGAACUUAGAUUCACAAGAACUCAAAUUUGUAAAAUUUUAGAUUUGCAAGAACUUAGAUUCACGUUUGAGAGAUUCACAUCCAAAGUUUAAUUCAAGGAUUUGCAUCAAAAUUGCAAGCCUCACAUCCAACAUUUGAAGAUUCAUAUUCUUCUAGAGAUUCACACCCAAAAGUUUAAGGAUUUUUAUUUACAAAAAAAACUUUAGGAAUUCAUUUCCAAGAUUUCAAAGUUUCUCAUUCGAGUUUCAAGAUUUAUAUUCGAUAAAUUUAGUAGUUUCACAUCUAUAUUCAAAGGUUCUCAUUAAAAAAAAUUUGGGGUUUACAUCUAAAAUUUUCAAAGCUUCUUAUUCAAGUUCAAAGAUUCAUAUUUGAUAAAUUUUUUAGUUUCAUAUCUAAAUUCAUAGGUUCUCAUUAAAAAAUUUAGAGGUUCACAUCCAAAAUUUUCAAAAAUUCUCAUUCAAGUUCAAAGAUUCACAUUCGAUUGAUUUUAGAGUUUCACAUCUAAUUUAAAAGUUCUCAUUCAAAAAAAUUUGGGGUUCACAUCCAAGAGUUCAAAGCCUCUUAUUCGAGUUCAAAGAUUCACAUUUCAUUAAUUUUAGAGUUUUACAUCUAAAUUCAAAAGUUCUCAUUUAAAACUCAAAGAUUUUCAUUUAAAACUUUUUAAAGAUUCUCAUUUAAAACUCCUUAAAGUUUUUCAUUAUUUUAACUUUAAAAAUGCUCCAUUAAAAGGCUCGACAACUUUAAAAUUCUAAAUGUUCUCCUGAUAAAACAUUUUUCCACUUAAGGAUUCUCAACUUUAUAAAAAUUCUCAAUCUUUCAUCAAAGUCAAAACUUUGUAUAUAAAGAAUGUCAUGAUUAUUAUGCAAAUGCAAAAAUCUAGAUUCUUACAAAAAUGUAGACACUAUAGUUUAAACCAUAAUUCAAAUAUUCACUACAUGAGGCAAAUGCAUGGCCAGCCAAGAUUCAAAUAUUCACAAGAUUAUAUACAUGUAUUGUUCAAUGCAAACACAAUGCUUGGAAUACAAAUAUCAAUGUCAUGAAAUUCUACUUAAUUGUAGUAAUAUGGUUCUCAAGACCUCACCAUCUUAUCUUUUCUUUUUUUAACAUCUUGACACUAACUAUUUCAGAAUAAAUUCUAUUAAUUGAUCCACAUUAUUUUCAUCAUUUGAUCAUGACUCAUAGGUUUCACAGCACUAGCAAUUUUAGAACAAAUUUUAUCCACUGAUUCAUAUUAUUUCCAUCACUUAAUCAAAAUUCAUAGGUUACAUCGACUAAUCCAUUACCAUAUUCAUCACUUGAUCAUCCCAUGUGUCUUUUCAAAUUAUCUUCUUAAGCUUCGUCCAUCUUUUUAUUUUUUUACCUCUUCAACUUUUUUUCAAAGAAAUGCAGGAAUCUUUUCUAAAUAUUAUCAUUCAUUCAUUAUCAUUUUCAAUUCUUAACAAAUAUAAUGCAAUCACAUAUUUUUUCAAUUUAUUUUAAGGAUGCAAAAAUAAGAGAGUACAAGGUGAAUUGAGAGAACAAUAAUCAAUAUAAGAAUGAGUCUAGUACAAAAAUAAAUGGACAAAGGAAAAAAUUUAAAACAUAUCACUAAGGAUGGUAUUAAAUGGUAUAAUAAUGUCUAAACAAUGAAUAUUCAAACAAUUCUUAACAUUAAUCCAAAAUUUUUUUUCAAAAACUCAUUCUAUUGUCUUUCAAAAUCAUAUGGAGCUUAUUAAAUUUUAUCCCAGCCUUAAGGGAUCUUCAAAUGUCUUUGAUCUUUCAUAUAUUUAAAUUGUUUAUCUAACUCUCAGCUCAGAUGUUUUUCUACCUAAAUUACCCUUUUAGGUAUUCAAUUUGAAUCUUCAUUUUCUCUCAUUUUACAUUUUUUUAUUUUCUCUUUUUUUCAUUUUUCUUUUUUUUCUUUUCAUUUUUUCAUUUUUUUCAUUUUUUUCAUUUUUUAAUUUUUUCUUCAUUUUUCAUUUUUUUCCUUUUCUCAUUUUCCAUCCAUUAUUGAUAUCUCCUGCACAUCAAUCUCUAAAAUACAUAACAUGAUUCCAUUGUUCCAUCAUAAAGCAUUUCUUAGCCCAAUAUAUGAUCAUUCAAUUCAAACAUUCAUAUUUUAUCAAAAUAAACUUUUACAGGUUAUAACGUAGGCUAUGAUAAAGGUUCAUGAAAGAAAUGAAUAAAAUAGGCUCAAAACACAUGUUUAAAGGGUUCAAACCAAAAGAUAAUUUUUCAUCAUGUGAUGUAGUUUGGCACUUUGCCUCAUUCCACAUCAUUUCACUACUUUUUUUUUUAUCUUAUUUAUCAUAAAAAGAUUCGCAUUUCUUUAUCCCAAAUCAUUUAUGGCAUUCAUUUUUUUUGUAAAGGGUUCUUCUUUUCUUUUUUUUUUUUUACUCUCUAUCUUUAAGGCCUUUUGUGAUCUCUUGUUUUUUUUUUCACGUAUGUUUUUUCUAAAAUUUAUCUCUUAGUAUGGAGGAUGAUCCUUGGUUAGGGUUCUUUAGGAAAAAAAUCAUAAUAGGCUCAAAAGGAGUAACAAUGGAUGGUUUUAUCAAUGGUAAAAAAAAUAUAGCCAUUUUUAAUCUCAAAUGUGAAUGCUUUUUUUGAAUAUUAUAUAUUGAACAAAGACAAACUCACGGAUCAUUAUAAAUGACUACAUAUCUUUAAGACAUAUUUAUUAUAUAUCUGCUAGCAGCUUACUUUUUUUGCUCAAAUAGUCUCUAUAGAUCAAUGUGAAUGAGUUCUGAAAACUAAAUCCUAGAAUUAUUGUUAUCAUUGUCUUAACAUUCAUCAUUGAGAAUGAGAAUAUAAGACAAGUAAAAAAACUAAGCAUGGAAUAUUGGUUAGGAUAAAAGAGAAAAUAUAAUAAAAUACAUCAUACUUGCCUUUUAUUAAAAUGAUAAAAAAUGAAAUCUUAUUACAUAAAAAAAAUCCUAACAUUACUUUGAAAGAAAUUUUAAAAUGACAAGCAACAUCCAACCAACCUUAACAUCUUUGUCCAUCUUAAAAUUAUGCCCCUGUAUGAUCAGGUGAAAAAUUUUUAUUAACAUUUUGCCCUCUGAUUCAUCAAAGCUCAUCAAGCCUUUUCGAAUCAAACUUCACACUUUGUGUUUAAAAGCAAGGCAAGUUUCAAUAAAAUGACUCAUAUUCCUAUUAUGAUAAUCGCCUGUCGCAUUAGCAUUAUACCAUUUUGGAUAGAGUAGCUUUAAUGGUUCUAGAAUAACUAAAAAUACUAAGUCAUUCUUAACUAGUUCUGGGAAUAACUUAGUGUAAGUCACAAUGCUAGGAUCAAUGUGGGCCCUUUCUUGGUUAUUUUGAGAUCUCCUUAAACCAUUUGCUUGGUUGUUAUGCUUUGAAGCUAAUAUAAUUAUAUGACUAGAUCCAUAUAUAGGUAUUUGAAAGGUUGAUUAAUAGGUUGGUGGGUAAGCUAGUUGUGGAUAUGGUUGGUAAGGGGCCUACAAAAUACCAAUAACUAUGGGAUAGUAAAUAGGAUGAACAGGUGGUGGAUAUGAAGCAUAGCUUUUGAAUUGUUUCCCAUCAAAAUUCAUAGCUUAGGCUUUAAUUUCUUUCUUUUUAGGCAACCCUUAUUUCUUGCUAGUUUUUCCUUCUUGAAGCUCGUCACUCUUGAUAGCAUUUUUAAUAAUUUCUCUUGAAAUCACCAUAUCAAUAAAGUUCUUCAUUACAUUCCUUAUCAUCUUUUCAUAAUAGAGAAUUUUAAAGUACUUACAAAUAACAUUGUAAUCUUUUUUUCAGUUAAAAAUGACUGAACUUGAGUAGCUAUGUCUUUCUACCUCUAGGCAUACUUUUUAAAUGAUUCAAUCACCUUCUUCUUCAUACUCUGUUAGGAAAGAUGCUUAAGAGUUAGAUCUAUUAUAUAUUGGUAUUAGCUGAAAAAAUCACAUGCCAUCUCACUCUAAGAGUGAAUGUAGGUUUUGUCCAAUUGGACAUACCUUCUAGCAGUAGAACCACUAAGGUUAUCUUGAAAUACAUACAUUAACAGCUUCUUAUUAUUAGCAUAGGCAAUCAACUUCUGACGGUAUAUGGUAAUAUGGGUAUUUGGACACUUUGUACUAUCAUAUUUCUUAAACUUUGGUACUUUAAACUUUAGAAAAAUAACAACAUUUGGACUAAACAGUGCCCAGCAACAUCUACAGAAUCAUAAAAACCAAUUCCUUCUACUAUUCGUAACCUUUUCUUGAGCAUAUUCAUCUUUUUGUUAGCUAUUGAACCUUCUAAAAUCUCUUUCUACUUAAGUCUUAGCUUCUCUUUCUCUUCUAGGUCAUUCAAGUUGGAGAUUGGUAUUGAUUCUACUAUUUUAUCAGUAAAUACAAGAUUUAUAUAACUCUAGUAAUGCCUUAGAUUUGAAGUCGAUGGCAUUAUUAGGGUAUGUAUACCCUACAAGGUAUGUGUAUUGCUAUAGUGGUGCAUCAUGUGUGGACUAGGCUUGAUAUGGCCUAUAACUGUGAGGAUAAAGAGGAUCAACAACAUUUUUAUGAGGAAUGGUCUUGCAACUGGUAUUUUAAUCUACAUUUUUUUUCCUUAUUCAAUUUAUUCAACGAUUUUAGAAUCUUACUCAACUACCCUUCAAGCUUUUCUUGGGCCUUCUCUAUUUUUUCCAAACAAUUUGCAUUUUUCUAUUCCAUUUGCCUAGCUCAAGCUCUGGUGUUAUACUAAUGGUAAAUGUGUUGAACUGGGUUCUUAGAUGGUGGAGCUAUCUUUAAACCUUGUACCAUAAUUAGCUUGCUUAUGUUAUUAAAUGUGUUUAUGAAAAAGCUUGCAAAAUUAACCUAACUUUUUUAAGAAUGAAUGCAUUGAAUGCUUGACCUAACAAAUUAUGAUUCAUAAGCACAUGAAUGUAUGCACAGUAAUGUAUGAUGCAUGUACUGAUGUUUGUCUCAUUAUGAUGCAUAGGUGGAUACAUAUGUUAGUAAUGCUAGAAUAAGAUACAACACAUAACAUACAACAACUUAAUCAAUAAGGAUAAAAUAACAUUUAUCAUGAAAGUCUUAUGAAUGAAGCUCAAAAAGUUCACUCAUAUGUCCUAAUUAGGGUUAUAUUCUAGUGAUGGGUAGGUGUGGCUCUAACAUAAAGUUAGCUUCUUAUGUAUUACUAUAUGUGGUUUAGGUUAAAUCUGAAGGUUCUCAAAUUGUUCUCAUAUCAUUGUCCAUCACAAACUAGUAAGACACUCAAAUCCUCACUCAUUAUAGGCUACAAAUGAAAAAAAUUCAAUUUGAGUUAGAGUAUUUCACUAGCCAUUACAGAGAUUAUCAUCUUAUGAAAGCAUAGGUACUUUACUCUCUCUUAAAAAGGACAGAACCUAGGUAUAAAACUCAUAUGAUGUAUAUGCAUGUGAUGGUAUGUGAAGGAACACAUAUAUCUUUAUUUGUAAUUUUUACAAGCAAAGUCAAAGAAUAAAAAAAAUAAUAAUUUAAUAUCAAGCAAAAAAAAAGAGAUAAUUCAUAAUUAAUUAAUGGCUUAACUCUCUAGUAUUCCCAAUAGAGUCGUCAUACUAUCAUAACAUAUAGAUCUAUAAAUUUAUAGCUAGACUUAACAAUAAGAGUUGCCACUAAUUUUUUUUAGGUGUGAUUGGUCAUUUAAUGAAUCUACCAUUUUAAGAAGCUCAUAAGCUUGACUAAGGGUCCCUAAAGAAUAGGUUCUAACCUUUUGAAUAGAACAAGGUUUGGAAGUUUGAUUAUGUGUAAGGAAGGCUAUAAUGCCCCCUAAUGCCCAUCCUAAUAUGGUAUCAUUUAAUUUUAAAUUAUCCUAACAAUUAUCUUGGUUCUAAUGGUUUUUACUUUAAUGUUUAAAUAUUAGAAAUGACUUCUAAGAUUUUUUCAUCAAUUUGGUAGAAUUCUUAAAAAUACUUCCUCACCUCAAAAGUAUUCUAAAAUCCCAUUUGUUUUCUUUAAAAAGCUUCAUCGUCGAAAGAAGGUUUAAUUAUAUUUAUUUUAAUUUUUUUAUUAAAAUUAUAUCUAGUUAUUCCACCAUUUUGGCAUAAUUAGAAAUAUCUUCUCACUUAAAUAUUUCUUAGAUAAUCAACCAUAUGUGAUUACCAAGAAUUUCGUCAUCGAGAUUUAUUUUUAUUUUUUAUUUCUAAAUUUUUCACUAUUUUAGUCUAUUUAGAAUUUCUUUUUUUGUUAUUUUUGGAAGAACAUAAGAUAACAAUUUUUUUUUUAAAUUUCAUUUAAAUUCUUCAACUACUUGGGAUAAAUUUAAAGAAAAUUUCUCACCUACAGAUUUCUUAGGAAUUUUACCAUUUAAAAUUUUUAAGAUUCUCAUCAUUGGAUAAUUGCCAAAUAUUUUUAGCCAAAAUUUUUUAUGUGAAAAAGAAUACAAUUACUUUUAUUGAAAUUUCAUCUAAAUUAUUCCACCAUUUGGGACAAAUUUAGAGAAAUUUUUUACUUAAAAAUUUCUUAGAGAAUUUACCAUUUUAAAUUUCUAAAAAUAUCAUCCUCGUAUAAUAACUAUUUAAUUCCAAAAUUUUAUUAAAAUUUUAUUAUUUUUUAUUUUGAAUUGAAAAUAAAUGUUAAUUAUUAUUAUUGAAUCUUUAUCUAAAUUUUUCUACCAUUUGGGAUAAAUUUAGAAAAAAUUUCUCGCUUAGGAAUAUUUUUAAAAUUUACCAUUUACAAUUUUUAAAAAUUUCAUCAUUAGAUAAUUAUUAUUUAUUCUCAAAAAAAUUAUUAAUAUUUUAUUUUAUUUUUUAUUAUUUUUUCUAACUUUUCCUAAAAUUUAAUCAUGUAAAAAUACUUUAAAAAUAAAUAAAUAAAAUAAAAAUACUAAAAUAGGAACGACUCGGCUCAGUUAGUGUGUUCCGCUAGGCUGCAAGUAUGAAACUGGCUGGAAAGGCUUGAAAAACAACACAACUUGACUUAGGUGUAGGUUGCUAGAUUCUGGGAUUGAUCGUCAAAAUUUGGGUAAUUAUGCCAUAAUUUUACCUUAAAUUGUUGUCAAACCCUUACUCUUACUUUUUCCUCUUUUUCUUUCCAAUUGCUCUCUAAUUGUUAUCCUUUUGCUUUGUGAUUUAAAUGUCUAUUUAUAUGGUACAAUAUGGAGAAUUUUAGAUCGAUUCCAACUUAAAAAAUUAGGAUUAUCAUGGAAAAAUAAAAUUUAUCUUUGAAAAGUUUAACUUUAAAUUUAAUCAUGAUAAAACUACAUUAUCACUAGGCACUCCUUUUUAAUUUAUGGUCGUUCAUUCUUUUUCUCAAUUAUUCAUUUUUUUGAAAUAUCCAGAUAAAUUUUUAAAAAAUUAGAUAAAUAUGAGGAAAAAAAUUAAAUAUAAACAACCAAUAAGCAAGAAAAAAUAAAUAAUAAAAUAAAAUAAAAAGGACAAAUAAAUAUAUAUAUAUAGAUAAAUAAAGUAAAAACACAAUUUUGACCAUUAGGCUUGGAUCAAAUCUAAGCCCUAUUGAUUUGGGCCUUUGGCCUUGAAAUUAAAUUGAGCCCAGUUGAUUUAGACCCCGAACUAAAUUGGGUGUCUACAAUCGAUGGUCAUUCUACAUCUGUAUAAAACUUUUAGGCUAGUAGGAUAUAUGUAUAUAAGGUUAGAGGAAGAUGCUAAAGUGAAAUUGAGUGUGGAAGAAGCUUUCGCCGAGUUGUCCAUCCAAAUAAUAGGCGAAAAAGAUACAAUAGUCUAUAAGGAAAAGGUGUUGGUCCAUCCAUGUCCACCAGGCUUUGAACUAAAAAAUUAUAGUAUUAUCGAGAUGCCUGCUAUCCUUGAUACUUUUCCAAUAUAAUUAUAACUCCCAAUUGUUUGUGCCUAAAAGUAUUGGGAUGGUCUUUUAUGUACAAGCCUCUUAUCAAUUCUUAUCUCAAUAAAAGAAUAGAAAUAAGCAUUUUCAUUCAUUUCUUCUAUUCUGGUUUCAUUUUUUGACUAGUCAAAACAUUUUUUCAGUACUUUCCAUUUCAUUUAAUUUCAGGUCUUCAAAUUAAUAUAAAGAUAAUCAUGAUGACAAUCAAAAAUUUCAUUUUGAAAACUCAAUUAAUAUUGAUGAACUUGACACCAAAGAUGACUCUAAAGAAUACACUUUACCUUCACAUCUAAUGAAAUUGAUUGAAUAAGAGAAUAAAUCUAUUAAGCCUCAUCAAGAAAUCAUUGAGAUUAUAAAUUUAGGGGAUGAUAAGAAUAAGAAAGAAGUCAAGGAUUGCUUAUCACUUCCAUCAACUGAUAGACAAAGGUUAAAAGAUCUAUUUUGAGAAUUUAUAAAUGCAUUUGACUAGUCCUAUUAAGAUAUGCAUGGGUUUAGCACCAAAAUAGUGGAGCAUAAGUUACCCAAAACUUGAAUGUAGGCCUGUUCAACAAAAAUUGAGAAAAAUGAAGCCUAAAUGUUGUUAAAGAUUAAAAGUGGUAAAAAAAAAUAGUUUGAUGUAGGCUUUCUACAAGUGACCAAAUAUCUUGAGUAGGUAGCUAAUAUAGUACCUAUUCUUAAAAAAGAUGGAAAGAUAUGGAUGUGUGUGGAUUAUCGCAAUAUGAAUAAGGCUAGGCCUAAAGAUCAUUUUUCUCUACCUUAUAUCGACACAUUGGUGGAUAAUAAGGCCAAGCAUUCGAUAUUCUCUUUUAUGGAUUAGUUUUUAGGUUAUAAUCAGAUAAAGAUGGCCCAAGAUGACAUAAAGAAAACUACAUUCAUAAUUAUAUGGGGUACAUUUUGUUAUAAAGUUAUGCCUUUUGGACUAAAAAAUGCCAGGGUAACUUAUCAAAGAGUUAUUGUAACAUUCUUUCAUGACAUAAUGUAUAAGGAGAUUGAGAUGUAUAUGGACGAUAUGAUAACAAAAUAUCAUGAAGAAGAAGACCAUGUAAUUAAUCACAGAAAGUCAUUUAAAAGGUUAAUAAAGUUUCAACUCAAGUUAAAUCCAUCCAAAUGCACAUUUGAAGCUAAGUCAAGGAAAUUGCUAGACUUCAUGGCUAGUGAAAGAGGGAUUGAAGUUGACUCAAACAAGAUAUGGGCCAUCUAGAAUCUAUUUCCUCCAAGCAUGCCAAAAGAAGUUUGAAGUUUUCUAGGCAAAUUGAAUUACAUCUCUCAAUUCAUUUUUUUAACUUACAUCCAAAUGUGAUCCCAUCUUUAAAUUCUUUCAAAAGAACAAUCCUAUUGAGUGAAAUAAAUAGUGUCAAGAGGCUUUUGAUAAGGUUAAGUAGUACUUGUCAAAUUCUCUACCACUGGUAUCACUUGUUCUAGGGAAACCAUUAAUUCUAUAUUUGACUGUACAUGAGUAAUCAAUAAGAUAUGUGUUGGGGCAACAAGAUAAGUUUGGUAAAAAGGGAAAAGCUAUUUACUACUUAAGCAAAAAGUUUAUGAAAUAUGAGUCUAAGUAUUCAUCAUUAGAGAAAAUGUGUUGUGCUUUAGCUUGGAUAACUAAAAAACUCAAGCAUUACAUGCUCUACCAUACCAUUUGGCUUAUAGCCAAAUUAGACCCAAUCAAGUAUAUUUUCAAAAAAUUGUCAUUGUCUAGAAGGAUUGUAAUAUGGCAAAUAAUGUUAUCGAAGUAUGAUAUUAUGUAUGUAAGCCAAAAAGCAAUCAAAAGAAGUGUCAUAGCAAAAUGUCUUAUAGAUCAUGUUACUGAAAGCUAUGAGCCAAUGAAACUUGAUUUUUCGAAUGAAAAAUUAAUGGCCAUUUUUUAGCUAGAGGAAGAAGAUGAUAAUGAGAAAUCCUAAAAAAUGUACUUCGAUGGGGCUGUUAAUGCCUUGAGGCAUGAAAUUAAGACAAUUUUGAUAUCUCCCAAAGGAUGUUAUUAUCCCAUUAUGGCAAGGUUGAACUUCAAUUACACUAAUUAUAUGGCAAAAUACUAUGCCUAAGUCAUGGGUUUACAAGCUGCUUUGAAUAGGAAAAUUAAAGUAUUGAAAGUGUUCAGAAAUUCAACUUUAACCAUUUAUCAAUUGAAAAAGAAUGAGAGAUAAGGGAUUCAAAACUUAUUCCAUAUCAUAAAUAUAUCUUAGAGUUAUGCAAACAGUUUAAGGAAGUUCAAUUUAAACAUUUUUCCUGUGAAAAAAAUCAAAUUGUAGAUGCACUGGCUAUUUUGGCAGUGAUGAUUCAGGUUAAUAACAAUACUAAGAUUUAGCCCAUUAAGUUAGAUAUCCAAGAUAUGCCACUACAUUGCACUAAUGUGAAAGAAGAAGAAGAUGGAAAACCUUGGUAUUAUGACAUCCUAUAAUACUUAAAGAAUCAGUAAUGCCCAGAUGAAGUAAUAGAAAAUGAUAAAAGAGUCCAAAAGAGAUUGGCUAUGGUUUCUUCUUAGAUGGUGAGGUCAUUUAUAAAAGAGCUGAGAUCAGGUGGUAUUACAAUGUGUAAAUGCAGCUAAGGUAAAGAAGAUUAUUGAAGAUGUAUACGAUAAGGUAUAUGGAGCACAUGCAAAUAAACACAUGAUGGUAGGAUAGAAUAUAAGAGUUGGAUACUACUAGUUAACAAUAAAGAAUGACUGCAUUGAUUAUAUUUAAAAGUAUCAUAAGUGUCAAAUUUAUGCCGACAAGAUCUAUGCUUCACCAUUUACUUUGCAUGUUUUGACACCACAUUAGCCAAUCUCUACAUAUAGAGAAGGCAAUUUAACCCAAAUCCAGUAGUUUCGACCCGACUCAACCUUUUAGUGUCAAUUUUUUUGUAAAAUCGAGUGUCGGGUUGGGUCGAGUAAUAUAAGAAAAAAUUCAAAAUUAGGUCGGGUUGAGGUUUAGGCAAACCCAACCUUACCCUACCCCCUACCCGAUAUAUAUAAAAAUUAUUUUUUUAAUUAUUUAUUUAAUUUUAUAUUUAUUUUUAUAAAUUUUUAUAUAUAUUUAAUUUUAUAUUUAUAUUAAAAUAAUAUUUUAUAUUUUAAAAAUAUAUAUUAUAUUAAUUUCGGGUCAGAUUAGGUCAGGUACAAUCUCAUACAAUGUCUUGUUGGGUAGGAUCAAGUUCGGGUAUAAAAAAUAAAAAAAUCAUUAGGUUGGUCAGGUUCAGGUUUUAUAUAUAUAAAGUCGGGUCAGGUUCGGAGUAAGCAAAAACCCAUCUCGACCCGAUCUGUUACCAUCACUAUCUAUAUGGGGCAUGGAUGUUUUUGGUCCCAUUACUCCAAAAAUAUCAAAUGAAAAUAGAUUCAUUUUUAUGAUGAUUGAUUAUUUUACUAAAUUAGUUGAAGUAGCUUCAUAUAUGAAUGUGACAUGAUCAGUGGUUUGCUAUAAAAAGAGAAAUAAUAUGCAGAUAUGGACUUUGAGAGAAGAUCAUCUUAGAUAAUGCUUAAAACUUAAAUAGUAAGAUGAUGAAAGAUAUAUAUGCUCAGUUCAAAAUUAAACACCAUAACUCAGCAUCGUAUCACCCACAGAUUAAUAGGACAUUAGAAGUUGCUAAUAAAAAUAUCAAAAAAAUUCUAGAGAAAAUUACUAAUACGUAUAGAGAUUGUCAUGAGAAAUUGCUUUUUGCUUUACAUGCCUAUCUAAUGUCAGUACGUAUCUUUACUAAGGCAACCUUGUUUUCCUUGAUUAUGGGAUAGAGGUUGUAUUACUAGUUGAAAUAGGAAUCUCAUCUUUUAGAGUCUUAAGAGAAGUGGGAUUAAAAAAAGCUAAAUGAAUUUAAGAGCGCUAUGAACAACUAAACUUCAUUGAAGAGAAAAGGCUAGUAAUGUUGUGUCAUGGUUAAUUAUAUCAUAUAAGAAUGAUGAGUGCUCAUGACAAGAAAGCCCGACCUCAUCAAUUUCGAGGAGAAGAGUUGGUGUCGAAAAGAAUUUUUCUUAGUUAGCGUGAUAAUAGAAGAAAGUGAACCCAAAUUGGUAAAGGUCAUAUGUGGUAAGAAUGACUUUUUUAGAUGAAACAUUAAUUUUAAUAGAGAUGGAUGGAGAUGAUCUUUCUAAUCCUAUAAAUUCUAAUACUAUGAAAAAGUACUUUACUUUAAAAAAAAAAGUCUAAGUCGAAAACCCAAAAGGGUAAUUUGAACCAAAAGUGGGUUUAUCCAAGUUGAAAAUAUGUAAAGGCAACUUGGAUGAUAAGAGUACGACAUCAUUUGAAUGGUUCACCAACAUGAAAACUAGUAUAUUUUGAAAAGCUCUAAAGCACUAAGGGCAUUAUAUGGUUGAGUUUUUUAAGAAAAUCGGAUAUAUGUUAUCAUGAUUAUUUGAUUGUAUAUCUUAAAGCAUUGUUAACCCAAAUAGCCAUCAUUGUUUACCUUUACCAUGUCCAAUUAGCCACCAUUUGUAAUAUGGUAUCUUUUUCAAAUAAAGAUAUUCAUUUCAUUAUUUAUAUCUCAUUUUCAAUCAUUAUCAUUUCUUUAAAUUAUUUGCAUUGAAUAGAAGAAAUAUAUGAUUUACGUCUUAUAUGUCUUGACAAUGGGAUAAUGAUUGAUAAUUGAAUAAUAUCAUGAAAGAUUAUAUAUUACUUUGGGGAAAGUGAAAGAUACAAAGGCAAAAGAUAAAACCUUCAAAACCUGUUAAAGGACAUUGAUUUAGGAAAGAAAAGAAAGAAAAUGAGAAAGGCGAGCGCCUACUUUGAACAAUAAAGAAAAUAGCUAAUUUUGUUCCUAUUGUUGGAAAAUUGAAGAGUUUGGAAUUCAAACGAAAAAGUUUUGAGAAUCUAUGUACCACAACUGAAAGUUCAUUAAUUAUCAUUUGCAUUGAAUAAAUUGCAUAUAGGGAUAUCUUUUCCAUUUAUCUAGAGUAGGGAUGUCACAAGAUCCAACAUAAAGAAUGCAAAUCCAAAGAUUUCAAAUUCUCGAUGGAGAAGAAAUUUUUAAGGUAAGAUUUUUUAAUCUUAAAAAAAAAAAUUUUUCAAAAUCUUUAAACCUUUGAUUAGAGGACUCUAAUUUAAAGUUGUUUAGCCUCUAUAUAGACAAGCCUAUUUCUUAGUUUAAAGUUUUUUAGCCUUUAAAUAGGGAAGCUCAUUUCUUAGUUUAAAGUUAUUUAGCCUCUAUAUAGAUGAGCUCAUUUUUUAAUUUAUUAGCCUUUGUAUAGAGGAGUUUUAUUUUGUUAAACCUCUAUUUAGAUGAUUUAUUUGGACUUUUUAAGCUUUAUGCCUCUGUUUAAAGGAGUUUGUUAAAAUUUUUCAAAAAUUGCAUGCCUUUUUUUAAAAGAUUCUUUUAAAAUUACUUAAGUUGAACCGAACUCAAUGGUUUUCUAUGUCUUUGCAUCAUUCUUAUUUCACAGAAAUGUACAAAAAGAGGUAACCAUAGACACUCCAUUUCGUCUGGUGCCUGUAAUUGAACUUCAAUUUGGGUUUUCUAGGCUUGCAAGGUAUCUAUCGGGCCUUUAAACUAGUGUAAAGCCUUAAAUUGAUUAUGGGCUUUAAGCCAAUAUAAGGUACCUUUUGAUAUUUAAGCUUUGAGCCCACUUUAUAAUUGCACUUAUGUUUUAAUUAAAUAUUAAUAAAAAAUUAAUUUAAAAAAUGAUAAAAAGUAAUAAAUGAAAUCAGGAAUUUUUUUGAAGAUCAAUCUUGAAAUCAUGAUUGUAUAGAAUUGGAAACAAAUCAAAAAAGAAAACACUGACCAGAAUCAAAUUAAAACCCAAAGUCAAACCACGAUUUAGAUCGAAUCUGUUUAUGGCAGAUUUGAUCUUUAAAUAAUGGAACCCUAAAAUUUUUGACUAGGAAAUCCAUAUAAAUCGUGCUCAAACCCACAAAUAUAUACACAGAGAUUAGGCAAAAGCUGUAAACAAAGGUUGUAGACACCUAUCUGUGUCUGGAGUCCAUCGUAUCAAUUUUUAUUAUUUUUGCCAUUAUAGUUAAUUACUAUACUAUUAUUAUAUUACUACUAUACUAUUGUUAUAUUAUUAUAGUAUUAUAUUAUAUUAUUAUUAUAGUAUGUUGAUAUUAUAUAUCUAUUAUUAUAUUAGUAUCAUAUUAUAUUAUAGUAUACUAUUAUAUUAUAUUAGGUUAUCAUAUUAUAGUUAUUAUUAUUAUUAUUAUUAUUCUUAUUAUUAUUAUUAUAUUUGAUAUUUUAUUACUUUUAGUAUUUUUAUCAGAUUUUCUUUCCUUUUUCUUGAUCGAGGCUAAACAAAUUAUGGAAACCGAAAUUGAAUCAAUUAAUCAAAGGUUUUAAUAUAGAAUCAUGUCUAGAUAAUGGUUGAAUUUAAUGUUGAUUAAAUCAGUGAACAAAAUCACGUUCAAGCAUAAUACAAUCCCAGGAUUUAAGCCUAGGAUUUAUCCUAUCCAUUUCCUAAAAUCCGUUCUAAGAGGCUUAUAAAUUGAACAAUAAAUCAAAGGAAUGGGAGAAAAAAAGUAGUGAAAAAGCUGGGGUUAUUAUUUUGGAAAUAAUUUUUGGGUAGUAGGGCUUUAUGGAAAAUUUUGGUCUUUGGGAUUUGGAUUCUUGGGAGUUUUGGGUUUGAUCUAGAGUUUCUAAGUUUAGAUUUGGGAUUCUAAGAUUAGGUUUAGAUUUCUGAAGGGAUUUUGGAGAAUUUGGGAAAAUUUUGUUUUUUAUUUUUGGAAAAUUUUGGAAUUUUGGAAGAACAUAUGAAUUUUUUAAUGAAGUUUUCGGCAAAAGUUUAAAGUUUCUAACAAGAUUUUCAGAAACUAACUAAGUUUCUAGAUUUUGGUUAAAUCUUUAGGUAGGUUUUUAAAGAGAAGGGAGAGAUCUUUUAGGUUAAAGAGAGAGCGAGCAGAAGGUUUCUGAAACUAAACGCCUAGCUUUUAUACUGGUACAAAAUGAUGAUGUUUUGAACAUCCCAGAUUCGCACGUCUAACCGACAACCCGCAUGAAAAUUUGUGUGCAAACCUGACCCAUUUUGUAGGUUUUUUUCUUCAUUUUUAUUUUAUUUUUUGAUUUUAUUUUUUAUUUUUCUUUCCUUUCUUAAGUUUUUAUUUUAUUUUCAGUAUUUUUUAUUUAAUUUUGCUAAUUUAAAAAAAAAAAAGAAAAAAAUUUUUUUUGGAAAACAGAAAAAGCAAAAAAAAUAUAAAGAAAAAUUUUCUUCCAAAUAAGUUUAAAAAAAAAAAAGAAAUAAGUCUGAAAAAGAAAUCUUUUUCAAAUAAAUUUAUGAAAUCUACCAAACUAUUGAAAAAUUUUAUAAAUUAGUUUUUUCUUAAAGAAAAAAGAAUAAUAGAAAUUUUUUUUCCUUUAAACCAUUGAAGGAUUAUUUUUAAAUUAAGUUUUACCAAACUAUUGGGAGACUUAAUGAAAGUCACAAAACUUUUGUUAAUCUUUUUACAAUAACAUCUCAUUAAACUAUUAGGAGAUCUGCCUCAAGGUAAGUCUUACCAAAUAAUUAGGAGACUUUACUAAUUUUUUGAAUAAAAUAUUAUAAUAAAUUCGAUGACAGAGCCUCUUCAAAGUGAGAUACUAGUCUCUAUGAAAACUCUUUAGGCGAGAAAAUUAUCUGAAAUUACUACAAACUAUUGGGAUAAUUUUAAGAUUAAUUUUUAAUAUUAAAAAUUUGGUAAAUUACAAAUAUGAUCAGGGCUUGGAUAAUAUGAAAUCAAAUUGGUAUUAUCCUUUGGAUGGGCGUUAUGAGGGUGUUACAACCUUCGUUAUGUAUAACCGUACUCUCGAACCUAAAAUCUGGUUUUGCAUAUUAGAAUUUGUUUCAGGUGAUCAUCACAUCUAAACAAAAAAGAUUGAUGGUGACUCCUCUAAUCUAUAUCUAGUGAUAGGUCCAUAGAUCUAUACGUUAUGACAGUUUAAUGACUCCAUUAGGGACAUCAAGAGUUAAACCAGUCAAUGAUUACUUAUUAUCCAAGCCUUGCUUAAUAAAUUCAAGAUUAUUUUUGUCUUUCUUAUUUAUUUCUUUUCAUUGCUUACACUUAAUUAUUUAUUUAUUUCUUUUCAUUGUUUAUGCUUGCUUAAUUAUUUAUUUAUUAAUUAUAUAUAUCUAUCAUUCAUUUACAUAUGCAUAACAUAAGUUCUCCACUCGAGCUCUACCUUUGGAAGGAGUGAAGUACCUAUGCCUUCAUGAGAUUUCAUGUUUUCGCAUGGGCUUGUAAAAUACUCCCACUCAAAUUGAACUUUUUUCACUUAUAACCUAUGAUGGGUGAGGAUCAGGAUGCUUUACUAGUCUAUGAUGGACAAUGAUAUAAGGAACAACUUGAUAACCUUUUAGAGUUAACCCAAACUGCAUAUAGUUAACUUUAAAAGCCUAACUAUAGCUAGAGCCUUAUCCUUUCACCCUUCGUAGUUAAUCCAAAAUUCAAGGUCAUGCUAUUAUCUUACUUAGUAUACAGUGUUUAUUCUAUUUUUUUAUUAUUAAAGUGACUACCUAAUUUCCAUGUCUUCUAUUAUUUCUUUCCUCUUGUGCAUAUUCAUAAACAUACUUAUAGAUUGCAUAGUAUUUUUACCUUAAAAGUCAUUUCAACAAAAGCUCCCAUGGACUCCACAGAACAUCAAGUUUGCACGUCAUCUAUACUUUUCAAAUGUGACUUACCUAUAAAUGUGAAAUUAGAAUCAAAGAAUAGGUAGUAAGAAGAAGGAGAUUGUUUACCAGCUAGUCAUAUUUUUACACUAUCAAAUGAAGUUUGCCUACUCCUCAAACAGAAUGAUUUGAAAAGCCUAUCAAACAUAUGAAACAACAUGACUCCUUCAAGGUAAGAAGCUUUUUGUCAGAAGUUUAGGCAUAUAGCAUAUCUCUUAUCAGUAGAUGUUGAUAACUCACUCUUUAAGGUAAUGGUACAAUUUUGGAAUCCUUCCUACCAUUACUUUAUCUUUAAUGAGAUUGAUUUGGUGCCAACGAUAAAGAAGUGUUCAACCUUAAUGGGUAUGCAUCUAUUAUAUCUAGAUAGAAUAUAUGUAAAGAAACACAAAUCAAGAAAUCGUAGGAAAUUAGGCCAGAUUCUAAGAGUGGGAAAAGAGAUCAUAAAUUUAUGCAUUUGAGAAAAAACAGAUCAUAAGGGUAUUCCAUGGGAAAUUCUCUAAGAUUUCAUUGUUAAAAAUUCGGAUAAUGAUCAAUGAAUAAAUGUAUUCAUUCUAGCCAUAUAUGGGAUGACCAUUUUUCUUAAGAUCUUAGGCCAUAUUGAGAUAGAAGUGGUUGAUCUAUUUGAGCAUAUCAAAAAAAGGUGUAACACUUCACAACUAUCUUGGUAGAAACCAUCAGAUCUCUGAACUUUUGUAGACAAAAUGAUAAGGCAAGAUUUAUGGGUUGCAUACCAUACUAUAUCUGUGGAUGAAAAGCCAUUUUCAAAUACAAAAAAAGUGUUUUCUCCAAGCUUUAUUUUUACAGUCGAGUCCCAAUUAGGGAGUUCUUUUAGAGCAUUUGGCUAAAAGAAAAUACUCAAAAGGGCAAAAAUGUCUAUUACAAAAGUUCAUAGCUGGUUAGGUAAAAUGGCUAGCUCCGUAGAUAAACAGGGAACUUAUGUUGUAUCAAUGUGAAGAUAAAAUAAGGGUCCCACUUUUAGGGUUAUAGGGGUCAACAAGUUAUACACCACUAAUGGUAAGGAAACAAUAUGGAGCUGAAUAGUUUACUCUUAUGACUUGUAAGCUCAGCCAGUUUGACUAUUUAUAUGGGAAGCCUAGAACCUUUCAAAAGAUUAAUAGUAUGAUUAAGGCUUGGAAAAAGCUUAAGAGAGUAAGUCCUGGACCAUUUGCUAAUAAGGCCACUCAAAAAUAUCUGAUUUGAAGAACCAAAAAGGACCAAAAUGUGGCGUCUAUGCCUAAAGACCAUUACCAGCUAAUAGACCAAGAAUCAAACGAUGUGCCUCUAAAAUCAUAAUCUAAAAGGAAACAACAUGAAGUAGAAAAAGAGAAACUAAAACAAGAACUUUUGAAGCUUCAGAAAGAAAAGAAACAGUGGCAAAACAAAGCAAAAAAAUUAGAAAUCCAAGUCCACAGGAUUUUCAAGGAAUAUAGCAAGGCCCAAAAGGUUGUCCGAUAACAAGAUAAUGCUAUUAAGGAAUUGAGAGAGCUAAGACAAAAGCAUAAGAGAUUGUGCAUAUAGGUGCAGGCUAAAGAGACAAACAACAUGGAUUUGGCUUAUGAGAAUGAAAAGUUGAAAAAAGAAUGUACAUAAAUAGAAAAUAAUUAUGUUAAAGUUUAAUAAGAAAAUGAAAUGCUCUCAAAUUACAUUUUGACCCUGAAACUAAAGUUGGAUGACUAGAGAAACCACAUUAAAACACUCACAAAAAAGCAUAAAAAAUUAUCUUAUCAGGUGUGGUUCAGCAAAAGAGAAAGAUUAGGAAGACAAAAAAACAUAAAGCAUCUCAUAACUCAGAUAAGCAAAGCAGUGAUCAAGGUAAGUGAAAUGGCAGAAAAGGCUGAGGUGUUAAGAGCUUCAGUCACACCAGCAAAAGGGCAUGGAUAAAGAUUGCUAAACCUCAUUAAAGAGGCUAAAGAUCAGUAAGAGCAAGUUAGGCAUUUUUAUAAAAGGACAAUGUUAGAUUUGAUGUAAAACAGACUCCUAUAGAAUAAAUGAAAGUUUACUUUUGUUGAAAUAAAGGCAAACAUUUUUCUUUUCUUUCAUUUUUUUUCAUGCAUUGCAUCAUAUUCAUUCACUAUCAUUCAUUGUCAUGACAUGAUCACUGAUUUUAAUUCAUGGUACUAAGGUGCAAAAAUAGCUACGCAUUCAUAUAAUACUCAAGCUAAAGCCAGAAAGAUGGAGUAGGACAAGGCAAAUUAUCUUGAAAGAAUAGAAAAAGCUCAAGAGAUACUUAAAGAAAAAUUAAGUAAAAUUCUAAAAACUUUGGAAGAGGGAAAUAGAAAAAAGGCAAUAAAGGAAGAUACCUCAUCUGAAGCUAUUGAAUCUAUAUAUGCUUCAGGUUUUGGUCCAUAUCAGACCCAAACUGCCCUAAUGUUUCAACCACAAUAGCCAACCAUUCCAAAUUACAACUACUCAUAAAUGACUUAUGUACCUAAUCAUGAGAAUGUCAGAGUUUAAUAAUUUUAUUUUCAUCAAAAAGGUAGCUAGACCCAUUCAACUCUCUACUUUGGAUAAGAUAAAUGAGAAAGAAAAGUUGCAGGCAACUGUAUCUUUGGAAAAUUUUAAGAUCAAUCAAACCAUGAAUAGGAUCAAAAAAAUAUUACAGGCUGUAAAAAGAAUUGAUUUUUACAUAUCCAUGGAUGCAGUAAGGCUUUGUUUAGUACCAGACAUGGUGAUACCUCCCAAAUUUAAAGUACCAAAAUUUAAAAAUAUUAUGGUCCUAAGUGCCUCAUCACACAUAUCACAAUUUAUUGUUGCAAGAUGGUAGCGCAUGCUAGUAAGGAGAAGCUGCUCAUACAUGUCUUUCAAGAUAACUUGACUGGGUUUACUACAAAAUGGUAUGUGUAACUAGAUGAAACUCGCAUAAAGUCAUGAAAAGAUCUGACCAGAUCAUUUAUUAAUCAAUAUCACCACAUCAUUGAUAUAGCCCUUGAUAACUUUUCCUUGCAAGAAAUGGAAAAAAAAAGUAUCUAAAUCCUUCAAGUAAUAUGUCCAAAGGUGGCAAAAUGUAGCUACUCAGGUAUAACCUCCCUUGACAAAAAAAAACUAUAGUGCUAUUCAUGAGCACUCUAAAGUCGUUAUACUAUGAAAGAAUGAUAGAAAACAUGCAUAAAAACUUUGCUAAUAUGGUGAUUUCAAGAGAGAUCAUCGAAAAUGCCAUAAAAAAUGGCAAACUUAAAGGAAAGAAGUCUUAUGAAAAAGCACCUAAGAAAAAAGAGAAUGAGACUUAAGUUAUGAGUUUUAAAGGGUAAAAAUUUAGAAGCUACUCUCGGCCAACUUAUCCCACAUAUCACCACACUGUGAAUCAUACUUCCACUUCUUCUUACCAACCAAAUACAUGACUUUUUUAUCUAUCCUCACUACGAUCACCUGCCCACUUAGUCAAUAUAACAAGUAGUGCCCAACCGUGAACCAUAAAUAAGGGAAAGAGCCACAUUUGAUCCUAUACCCAUAAGCUACAUAAAGUUAUAUCAAGAGCUCUAUAAAAACCACCUUAUUGCUUUCAUUCUUGUAAAAUAACCUGAAUAUUCAUAUCUUAAAUGGUAUGAUGUCACUGCCUAUUGUGACUACUAUUAUGGAGUAAUAGGCUAUUCUAUAAAAAAAUUACCUUUUUUUUAAGUAAGAAGUGCAACAUAUGAUUAAAUAAGAGCUUAUAAGUUUUGAUACUAGUGAAAACUCAGCACCUAAUAUUAGCAAAAUUCCUUUACCUAAUUAUACAGUCAAUGCCUUGAACAAAAAUAAAAAGCACAUGGAAAAAAAGGUGGAAAAGUUUAAAAUGUCAUUCAAACAGCUGUAUGUUACUUUAUAUGAAGCUGGGUUGAUACAACUAGUAGCUUCACGCACCUAUGCAAGAAGAUGCAUCCCCAAUCAAAGAUGUAAGUAUCAUAAUAGAGUUUCAAGGCAUUCUAUUAAUAUCUAUAAAUAAUUCUAUGAUAAGGUAGAGAAACUAAUAGACUCAUACCAUAUAGAGUUAUAUGAGGAGUCAAAAGCUUCGAAAAGAUAUUAGGGUGGCUAUAACAGAUAAGCGGGUGCCAAAACCUAUCAUCAUAUGCUAUAAUGAAAAGUCACAAUCAGUUGGAAAUAAGUUUGUUCCCAAAGUAAUAGUUUUUAAAGUUCUAUGCCCAUUCAUUUACAAAGAUGAAAAGGUUGUACCAUCAAGAUAUGAUUACAAGAUGACAACCCAAAAGUAACAAAAAGUUAUGCCAAAGUCUGAAUCUGCCAACAUAAUAAAAGUAUGAGGCAUAACUAGAAGUAAAAGAUGUUAUACUCUGAAAACUUUAAAAAAAACAAGAAAAAAAAAAGAGAAGCAGACUAAACCAAAAAAAAUUUUAGAGGAAGCCACCUCAAGGUUUGUGUUAGAAAAUGAGUCUUUUAAAUUUUUAAAGCUAGUAAAAUAUAGUGAAUACUCUAUGAUGGAGCAAUUAAAUAAGAUGUCAACCAGAAUAUCUCUGCUAUCACUUCUUUUAAACUUAGAACCACAUCACAAUACCUUGCUAAAGGUAUUGAAUCAGGCUUGUAUGGCCCACAAUGUAUCUAUGAAGUAUGUUAAUCAUUUGGCAGGAAACUUUGUGGUGCCUCAUCAUAUCUCUUUCAGUGAUGAUGAGAUUUUACCUGAAGGUAAAGGGAGCACUAAUGCUUUGCAUAUCACUAUUAAAUAUAAAGGCUAUAUAAUAGCCAAAGUCCUUAUUGAUAAUGGAUAGGCUAUUAAUAUCAUGCCCAUGUCCGUUUUAACCAAGCUACCUUUUGAUAUGUCUCAUAUCCUAUGUAGUCAUUUAGUGGUUUGAGCAUUUGAUGAGACCAGACGAAAAGUCUUAGGGGAUGUUAAGUUACCCUUGUAAAUUGGAUCAUGUAUCUUCAAUAUAAAAUUUCAGGUCAUGGAUAUCUCCAUAUCAUAUAGUUGUUUAUUAGGAAGGCCAUAGAUCUAUAAGGCAGGCACUGUUCCUUUCUCACUACAUUAAAAGAUUAAAUUCAAUGUGAAAAGAUAAUUAGUGGUUGUGGCUAAAAAAGAAUAUUUAUUCGUGACACAACCUAUAAAUGCCUUAUAUGUAGAAGUGGCAGAAGAGUCAUUAGAAUGCUCUUAUCGAUCUUUUAAACCUAUCAAUGCAGUAGGUGAAGAGCUCAAAUUCAAUCAAAUUGUGAUCAAUCAAAUGAUUAACAAGGGUUAGAGUAUUGGGUUCAACUUGGGUAAAAGCCUUCAAGAAAUGAGAGAGCCUCUGAAGAUUAAAGAUAAUAAUGGUCUAUUGGGAUUAGGUUAUGAGAAGGAAAAAAUGUGAAGCAACAAUAAAAAGACAAAGAGUGGGAUGAUGGUUGCUCCCUAUCUAAAUAAAACUUUUAUUGUUUGAGAAUACAUACACCCAAGAGCUAAGAAAGAUAUAAGAAAAGAACCAAGAUGGGAGGAAGCUUUUACCAAAUUAUCCAUUCAUAUGAUGGAUAAUGAAAGUCAAAAUGAAGAAGCUUUGGUUUACCCAUGCUUACCUCGCUAUGAACUGAAAAAUUGAAGGGUCAUCUAGAUGCCUAUUGUUCCUAAUAUUUUCUCAAUGUAAUCACAUCUCUUAACUAUUUAUGCCCAAAAACAUUGGGAUAAACUCUUAUAUUUAGGCUUUUUAUUUUUUAUUAUUUCAAUAAAAGUAUAAACAUGCAUUUUGUCCAUUUCUUCUAUUCCAUUCAUUAUCCCAUCAAAGUAUCUCACCAAUAUUUCCUAUUUAAUUAACUUUUAGGUUGCCAAAUGAAUAUAAAGACAAUCAUGGCAAUGAUCUGGGGUUUAAUUUUGAAAAUUCAAUUAAUACCGAUGAACUUAAUACUAAAAAAGACUUUGAAGAAUAUACUUUGUAUUCAAAUUUAAUGAGACUAAUUGAACAAAAAGAUAAAUCCAUUGAGCCUUAUCAAGAAGUUAUUGAAAUGGUCUUCACUUCUAACAAGUUAAAGGAUCUACUGUGAGAAUUUGUAAAUGUGUUUGCCCGAUCCUACUAAGAUAUACUUGAGCUCAACACUUAAAUAAUAGAACAUAGGUUACCAUUGAAACCUGAAUGCAAAUCAGUCUAACAAAAGUUGAGAAGAAUAAAACUAGAGAUGUUAUUAAAAAUCAAAAAAUGAGUAAAAAAGUAAUUUGAUGCACGCUUUUUGCAAGUGGGUAAAUAUUUUGGAUGGGUGGCUAAUAUAGUACCUAUCCCGAAAAAAAGUUGAAAAAGUAUGGAUAUGUGUAAACUAUUAAGAUCUAAAUAGAGUUAGUCCGAAGGAUAAUUUUUUUUUUGCCUUAUGUUGAUACUUUGGUAGAUAAUACAGCCCAACAUUUGGUGUUCUCUUUUAUGAAUGGAUUCUCUAGUUAUAAUCAAAUAAGAAUGGCCUAAGAUGAUAUGAAAAAGACCACAUUUGUCAUUAUAUAGGGAAUUUUCUAUUAUAAGGUCAUGUCUAUUUUAUUGAAAAAUGCUGGGGCCAUCAAAAAACUGUUUAAUCUUGUCCUGUGGGAUUUAUAGUCAGUGAAAGAGAGAUAAAAGUUGACCUAGACAAAUUUGAGCCAUUAAGAACUUAUCCUCUCUAAAGACCAAAAAUAGGUUCGAAGCUUUUUAGGUAGAUUAAACUAUAUUUUUUUUAUUUAUUUCUUAACUCACCCUUAAAUGUGAUCCCAUCUUUAAGCUUUUCCAAAAGAAUGAUCUCGAUCAAUAGAAUGAGAAAUACCAAAAAGCUUUUGACAAGGUCAAGCAAUACUUAUCAAAUCCUUCAAUAUUAAUGCCACCUAUUUCAGAAAAGCCAUUAAUUCUAUAUAUAGUGGUAUACGAAAAGUCAAUGGGAUGUGUGUUAGAGUAACAAAAUAAUUUCAACAAGAAAGAAAAAGCUAUUUACUACUUGAGUAAAAAGUUUACGAAAUAUAAGUCCAAGUAUUCAUCACUCAAAAAGAUGUGUUAUGCUUUAAAAGACUCAGGCAAUACAUGUUAUACCAUACAACUUGGCUCAUAGCUAAACUAGAUCCAAUCAAAUAUAUCUUCAAGAAGCCAUCGCUAUCAGAAAGAAUCGCAAGAUGAAAAAUGAUGCUCUCAGAAUACGACACAGUAUAUGUAAGUUAAAAAGUAAUUAAAUGAAGCAUCAUUGCUAAAUUCCUCGUGGAUCAGGCUACUAAAGAUUAUGAACCUAUGAAACUAGAUUUUUUAAAUGAAGAAUUAAUGGCCAUUUCAAGAGUAGAAGAAGAUAAAAAUGAAGAAUGAACAUGGAAAAUGUAUUUCAACGGUGCUACCAAUGCCAUGGGGCAUAAGAUUAGAAUAGUAUUAAUAUCCCUAACAGAAUAUUACUACCUUAUGAUAGCAAGAUUAAAUUUCAACUACGUUAAUAAUGUGGCUGAAUAUGAAGCUUGUGUUAUAGGAUUGCAUGCUGCUUUAGACAAAAGAAUUAAGACAUUAAAGACAUUGAAGAUUCAGUCUUGGUUAUCUAUCAACUAAAGGGUGAAGGAAGAUAAGGGAUUCAAAACUCAUCCAUUACCACAAAUACAUCUUAAAGUUAUCUAAGCAAUUUUAGAGCAUCCAACUUGAACAUUUGCUUGAUAAAGAUAAUCAGAUAGUAGAUGCUUCGGUAACUCUAGCUAUAAUGAUGCAAAUUGAUGAUACCAUUAAAAUUCAACCCAUCAAAUUAGAUGUGAAAAAUACAUUGACGUAUUAUGCCGACCUGGAAGAAAAAGAAGAUGGUAAUCAUUGGUAUCACAAUAUUAUGCAAUAUCUAAGGAAUCAACAGUACACAAAUAAGCAAUAAAAAAUGAUAAAAGACUCCUAAAAAGAUUGGCUAUGGGAUUCUUUUUAAAUGGAAAAGUUUUGUAUAAGAGAAGUAGAGAACAAGUAUCACUACGUUGCAUAAGUGCUUCUAAGCCAAAAAGAUUAUUGGGGAAGUCCAUGAUGGCAUAUAUGGUGCACAUACAAAUGGAUACAUGAUGGCUAGAUAGAUCAUGCAAGUUAGAUAUUAUUGGUUGACAAUAAAAAAAUAUUACAUUGAUUAUGUUCGAAAAUGUCACAAGUGCCAAAUUUAUGCUAAUAAAAUUCAUGUCCCACCUACUACUCUACAUGUUAUGGCACCAAUUUAACCAUUUUCUACAUGGGAAAUGGUUGUCAUUGGUCUCAUUACCUUAAAGGCCUCAAACAAAAAUAGAUUCAUUUUUGUGAUGAUCGAUUAUUUCACUAAAUAGGUUGAAGCUACUUUUUUCAUAACUGUGACUAGAUCAGUGGUUUGCAAAUUCAUCAAAAGAGAGAUAAUCUAUAGAUAUGGACUCUUGUAGAGGAUCAUUUCAGAAAAUGCAAAAAACUUCAAUAGCAAAAUAAUGCUAGAAAUAUACGCUCAGUUCAAGAUUAAGCAUCAUAAUUCAGCUCCAUAUUGUCCAAAAAUGAAUGAAGCAGUGAAAGCUGCAAAUAAGAAUAGCAAAAGGAUUCUGAAAAAGAUAACCAAAAUAUAUAAAGACUAGCAUGAAAAAUUGUAUUUUGCUCUACAUGCUUAUCAAAUAUCUGUACGUACUUCCAUCAAGGUAACUCUAUUUUUCCUAGUCUACGGAAUGGAAGCUAUACUGCCGGUAGAGGUAAAAAUCCUAUCUUUAAGAGUCUUAAAAGAAAUGGGAUUAGAAAAAGCAAAAUGGAUUCGGGAGCGCUAAAAGUAAUUGAACUUUAUUGAACAAAAAAGACUGACAGCACUCUACCACAGCUAGCUAUACCAAAUGAGAAUGAUGAGAGCUCAUGACAUAAAGGUCUAACUUCAUCAAUUUCAAGAAAGAGAGUUGGUAUUGAAAAGAAUUCUUUCAAGCCAACAUGAUGAUAAAGGGAAAUGAACUCCAAAUUAGGAAGGAACAUAUGUUACAAAAAGAGUUUUUUCAGGAAGAGCCUUAAUCUUGUCAGAAAUGGAUGGAAAUGAGCUUCCUAAUCCUAUUAAUUUUGACGUUGUGAAGAAAUACUUCACUUGAACUAAAAAAAAAAAAAACAAAAAGUUUAAGUUGAAAACCUAAAAAGGUAGCUUGAACCAAAAAAGAAAAAUAAAAUUCAAGUUGAAAACUCGAAAAGGGUAGCUUAAACUAAAAAAAAAAAAAAGUUCAAGUUGAAAACCCCAAAAGGUGACUUAAAUGAGAGAAACUCGAAUGAGUAAAAUAUGAAAUCACUUGAAAAGCAUAACAGAUACAGUGAAUUUUAAAGAGUUUGAAGGUGUUGGGGCAUUAUGUUUUGGUUGAAUUUUUGAAGAAAUCCAAGAUUUAUUGUCAUGAUUACCUGAUUACUUAUAUUGGGGCAUCAUUAUUCUAAAUAGCUAUCCCUAUACACCUUCAUCUUGUUCCCAGCCAUCAUUUUUAAUUUAUUAUUUAUCCAAAUAAAUGAUAUUUGUCUUAUUCUCCACUUUUGAUAUAUAUUUUUCCUUUUUCUUUAUGCCUUACCAUGAAUAGAAGAAAUGCCUAACUUACAUCUCAUAUUUUGAAAUUUAGAUAAUGAUUAAUAAUUGAACAAAGUUAUAAAAAACUGUGUGUUACUUUGAGAAAAUUGAAAGAAAACAAGGACCAUGGAUGAACUCCUCUAAAUAAAAGAAAAAAAUCACUGAUUUUAAAAGCUUUCCUUCGAGUAAAUACUUGUUCAGGGUAAUAAAGGAUAGUUUUCUUGCCAAAGAUGUACAGAAAUAAGAAUACAGAUGAAAAUUGUGAAACCCUUAAUACCAUGAUGGAUGUCACAUUCGCAUCCUAGAUAGGGUAUACAUUCAUAUCAUUGUAUGAUCAUUCAUUACAGAUCCGAUCUUGAUCUAAGCCAAAUCAUAUUUAAACUUGCGACAUCGUCUCAGUCAUUAAUUUAUGACCUUGACUUUAUCUUGGUCGCUCUCAGACUCGCGGCAUCAUCUCAGUCAUCCGAUCUUGAUUCAGGUUAGAUCAUUUUAAGACUCGUGACAUCGUCCCAAUUAUUAAUCUAUGACCUCGACCCAAUUUUGAUCAUUCUCAAACUCGUAACAUCAUCCCAAUCAUCUGAUCUCGAUUCGAGUUGGAUCAUUUCAAGACUCACGACAUCGUCCUAAUUAAUAAUCUACGAUUCAGACUUGAUCUUGGUCACUUUUAGACUCGUGGCAUCAUCCCAAUCACUCGAUAUUGACUCAGGCCAGAUCAUUUUAAGACUCACGGCAUCGUCCGGGUCAUUCAUUUUUUAUCUUGAUUCGAUCUUGAUCACUUCUAGACUUGUGACAUCGUACCAAUCGUCCAAGCCAGAUUUAUGACAUCGUCUCAAUCAUUCAUCUUUGACCUUGACUCGGUCUUGGUCACUUACUGACUUACAGCAUUGUCCUAGUCAUUCAGCUUCGACUCGGUUCUGGUCAUUUUCCAACUCGCAGUUCAUUCCCAAUCAGUUUUACUUGUGAUUUGAUUCGAACAAAGUGGAUGUCUAGGUCUUUGCAUCAUCUCUGUCCAAUAGUGAUGUGCAAAAAUGGAUAGCUGUAGACACCCAUAUGUGGCCGAGGUCCAUCGCAUCAAUUUUUAUUAUUUGUUGCCACUACUUUUGCAUUACAAAACUAUUAUUAUGUUACUACUAUACUAUUAUUAUAUUAUUAUAAUAUUAUAUUAUAUUAUUAUUAUAGUAUGUUGAUAUUAUAUUACUAUUAUUAUAUUAGUAUUAUAUCAUAUUAUAGUAUAUUAUUAUAUUAUAUUAGGUUAUCAUAUUAUAGUUAUUAUUAUUAAUAUUAUUAUAUUUGAAAUUAUUAUUACUUUUAUUAUUUUUAUCAGAUUUUCUUUCCUUUUUCCUGAUCAGGGCUGAACAAAUUAUAGAAAUUGAAAUCUAAUCAAUCAGUCAAAGGCUUUAAUGCAGAAUCAUGUUUGGAUAAUGGUUGAAUUCAAUGGUGAUCAAAUCAGUGAACAAAAUCACACUCAGGCAAAAUCAAAUCCCAAAAUUCAAGCCUGGGAUUGAUUCCGUCCAUUUUCUAAAAUCUGUUCUAAGAGGGCCUAUAAAUUGAACAAGAAAUCAAAGGAAUGACAAAAAAAAAGUAGUGAAAAAGUUAGGGUUAUUAUUUUGGAAAUAAUUUUUAGGCAGUAAGGUUUUUGGAAAAUUUUGGUCUUCUGGGAUUUAGAUUCUUAGGAGUUCUGAGUUUGAUCUAGAGUUUCUAAGUUUAGAUUUGGGAUUCUAAGAUUAGGUUUAGAUUUCUGGAGGGAUUUUGGAGAAUUUGGGAAAAUAAUUUUUUUUUGUUUUGGAAAAUUUUGGAAUUCUAGAAAAACAUAUGAAGUUUUCGGUAGAAGUUUGAAGUUUUUAAUGAGAUUUUCAAAAAUUGGUGAAGUUUUCAGAUUCCAAUUAAAUCUCUAGAUAGGUUUUUAAAGAGAGGGGAGAGAGUUUUUGGGUAAGAGAGAGAGUGGGUCAAAGGUUUAUGAAACUAACCAUAAAGACUUAGCUUUUAUACUAGUCCAAAAUGACAAUGUUUUGAACACCUCAGAUCUUUUCAUCUACCCAACAACCCAUAUAAAGAUUCACGUGCAAACCCAACCCAUUUCACAGUUUUUUUUUUCUUUUUCAUUUUAUUUUUUCAUUUUAUUUUUUAUUUUUCUUUGCUUUAUUAAAUUUUUAUUUUAUUUUCAGUAUUUUUUUAUUUAAUUUUGCUAGUUUUCAAAAAAAAAAAAGAAAAAAAUUUUUUUUGAAAAAUAGAAAAAGCAAAGAAUAAAAAAAUAUAUUUUCAAAAAUUAAAAAAAAUAAGUUAAAGAAAAAAAACCUUUCAAAUAAGUUUAAAAAACAAAGAAAUAAGUCUAAAAAAGAAAUCUUUUUCAAAUAAAUUUAUGAAAUUCACUAAACUAUUCAGAAAUUUCAUAAAUUAGUUUUUUUUUUAAAGAAAAAAAAUAGAAUUUUUUCCUCUAAAUUAUUAAAGGAUUAUUUUUAAAUUAAGUCUUACCAAACUAUUUGAGGACUUAAUGAAAUUUACAAAAUUUUUAUAAAUCUUUUUACAAUAAAAUCUUAUCAAACUAUUGAGAGAUCUGUUUCAAAGUAAAUCCUACCAAACUAUUAUAAGAUUUUAAUAAUUUUUUUAAAUAAAAUAUUAUAAUAAAUUUGAUGAUAGAACCUCUUUAGAGUGGGGUAUUAGUCUCUAUGAAUACUCCUGAGGUGAGAGAAUUAUCUUAAAUUACUAUCAAACUAUUAGGACAAUUUUAAUUUUAAUUUUUAACAUUAAAUAAUUUGGUAAAUUACAAAUAUGAUCAAAACUUGAUUAAUCUGAAAUCAAACUAGUACUAUAUUUUAAAUGGGGGUGCUAUAACAUUUUUCACAUGUAAUCAUACUCUCGAAUUUAAAAUAUGAUUUAGCAUAUCAAAAUCUGUUUUAGGUGGCCAAUCACACCUAAACAAAAAGAUUGGUGGUGACUCCUCUAAUCCAUGUCUAAUGGUAAGUCAACGAAUCUAUACGUUAUGACAAGGGUUUUUGAAUUUUUGGUUUUAUUUUAUUUUUUGAGAUUUUUUGCCUUGGUUUUUUUUUUUUUUUUGGAAUUGGGAUUCAAUCUCUUGUUUGAUUGGAUUUCUAUUAGGUUUCUAAGGAUUUUGGAUUCAAGUUUUUGAAUUUUUUUUAGAUUUUUUGAAAUUUUCUUUGAAUUUUCCUAUAAGGGGUUGAAGUUCCUAGCAACUAGCGUUAAAAAUCUCACUAGCUUCUAAAAUUUUUUCGCUAGAUUCUGGGUAACGUUGAAUUUACCGUUUGAAUGUUAGAAAAAGAAACAGAGAAAAAACGGUGUUAAAGAGAAAAGAUUCCAAUGGUUCUGAAAUGAAAAGAGGAGAUUUAGGGGUUUCUAUUCUUGUAUAAAACAACACUAUUUUUUGGAUUCAUAAAAACUUGGGAUCCGUGCAUUUUGCCACAUUCCAACCCAACCACUAGUAUGAUCUAUUCUUCAACCCGAAUUUCUUUUUUGCUUUAAGUCGAGCCAUGCCCUAGUUGAGUGUUAGUCACGUCGAUCCCUGUGCUUGCAGCUACAUUCUUCAGUUGCUAAGCCAAGUCGACUCGAGGUAUUUUUUAUAUGCUUAUCUUAUUUGUUUGUUUUAUUUAUUUAUUUAUUUAUUUAUUCAUUUAUUUAUCUACUUGUUUUUUAAAAUACCUUUACAAAAUCAUAUUUAAAUAAAAAAGCCUUACUAAUAGAUUGCAGAGCUAAUAUUUUAUUUUCAAAAUAAAGUUUUAUCAACAUAUUAGAAUGCUUUACAAAUUUUAAUUUAAAAAAAUAAUUUUUAAGAAAAGCUUUACCAAUUUAUUGAAGGGCCAAUAUUUUAUUUUCAAAAAUAAGAUUUUAUCAAUAUAUUGGAAAGUCUUAUAAUUUUUUAUAAUUUUGAAUAAAAUAAAAUAAAAUAAUAUUUUUUUUCAUAAAAUCCUACAAAUAUAUUGGAGGAUAAUUUUUUAUAGAAAAUCUUACCAACGUAUUGAAAGAUAUUUUUUACCAUAAAUUAGGUUUAUAAAAAUUUACUUCUACAAGCAAAAUUAAAUGAAUCUGAUGGUGAAACUUUUUUAAACCGUGACAAAUAGUCUCAUUGAAUACUCUUAAAGUGAGAAAAAUUUCUAAAUUAUUACCAACAUAUUGGAGUAAUUUAAAGAAAAUUUCUAAUGUUAAAAUUAUUUGGUAAAAUUAUAAAUAUAUUUUAAGGCUUGAAUAACUUAGAAUCAAAUUAAUACCAUCUUUUAUAUGAGCGCUGUAAGGGAUAUAAUAUUUCUUACAUGUAAUCAUACUCUCGAACCUAAACUUUGGUUUCAUAGACUAGAAUCUACUAUUUAAAGAUACUUAAGUUAAUCUUGGGAUUCUUUUUUAAAUAGGACAAAUUUAGUCAGGUGGCUAAUCACAUCUAAAAAAAAAGAUUAGUGGUGACUCAUUUAAUCUAUGUCUAGUGAUAAAUCCACAGAGCUAUUCAUUAUGAUAAAACUCAAAUCUCAACAUUUACAACUAUUUUUCAUAUUCUCAAAUAGUCUCCUUAAUUAAAAAAAAAAAAAAGUAGUCUAAAGAAAAAAUUAAGUAUGCUUAAUUUGUUUGAAUUGUUAAGUUACUUUGUUCUAAGUUUUAAAAUUUUUAACUUCUUUUCGUAUAUGUUAAGAUUUUAGGUUAUAUAAUCAAAGACAAGUAAUUUAUGUUCAUAUUUCAUAUAAAAAUCAUUUUUGAUUUAUAAGAUUUAAAUUUAAAUUAUAAUUUCAAAUUCUUUCUAAUAAUUAGAUAAUGUAAAAUCAAGAUAUAUUUAAAUUUAUGCUUUAUUCUUAUUAUUAACUUCUUUAUUAUUAGAAUAAUUAAUCUAUAUAAGUAUAUGCCAUAUAUAUUCAUAUCGAUAAUAUCUUUUAUAAAAACAAGAAAAAUUAUCAUCAAAGAAGAAUCAAAGCAUGUGCAAGGAAUAUUGAACAUAACAAUUUGCCUAGUACAAACAGUUAGAGAAGCAUUUCUAAAAUACAACAUGUAUAGGGUUUAAAAGAAUAAAACUUUGACAAAUAGGUUUGGUUUUUGUUUUAAUAAUUAUAUUUAUUUAUUUUGCGGACAAGUACAUGUAAAAAGUGAGAUAUGUUAAUUUAAAAUUUAAUUCAAUUAAUUUUUAAAAUUAUUUUUAAAAAAUAAUAUUCGAUUAAAAUUUAAAUCUCAAUACUUAUAUUUUUUUUCUUUUAUUUCAAAUAACUUUUUUUAAAAAGAAAAAAUGAGUCAUGUGCAUUUUUUUUGUUGGCUUUUUAUCAUUUGUUAAUCUAUCUUUGGUCGAACUUUUCUAUAGUAUACUAUUAAUUUAAUAACCAUCACUUCGCUUAAAUAAUCUUAACCUUACAAUUAAAGAGGUAAAACAUUUCCAUUGAUAAGAACUUACUUAAGAAACUUCUUGGUCAAGAAAAUAGUAAUCUCAAAUGUUAAUCAUGAAAUUAAAUCAUUAAUCCUACUAUAUAAUUCGUCCAAUAUGAUCUAAUCUGAUUGGAACAUAUAUCUAAAUUUAAGUAUAUGUGCAAAAAAAAAUAAGCAAAUGAUUCUUAAGUGAUGAAAAAACUUAUGUAAUUUAAAACUUAACUCUGUUAAUUCAUGCAUAUAGUUUUUUUUUAGAUGAUAUUUAAUAAAUUUGAUAUUCAAAUUUUAAUACUUUUUUUCAUUUCAAAGCUACAAUCUUCUUUUAUAACAACAAAAAAAAAAAAACUAAAAAUAAUCUGUUAUCUGUAACUUUAAACUGAUGAAUUUAAAUUGCUAAGACUUUGCAGUCAUAUUUUCAUUGGCAAAGUUUAUUUACAUUUAUUUCAAAAGUAGAGAAAAAAAGGCCAUUUGGCCUAACAAUCAAUAUCCUUUUGAGCAACUUCGCAAUAGAUAAGCAUUGGCCCCCGAUCUGCCCAACAACUAAUCUACUGAGGAACUGGCAGAGCUUGAGGCAAGGCUUGGUUUGAUGCUGAAAUCGUUUGCAGUUUGCAGUCAACAGAGAUUAAUUGAGCAGAGUUAUCAUUAUUUUCCUCAACAGAAAUCAUGUUGAUUAUUUGUAGCAAAACACGCUCGAGCUCUUCACCAUCACUCCAUUCAUGAAUCUCAGCCUUGAUGAGCAAAGGGUUCCUGCAAAUUAAAUCCCAGACUGGAAAAUUCUUCCUUGGCAUCAUGUAGUCUGCUUAAGGCUUGGGCAGUAAUCUCCGGCACCAUCUCCUAGGUAGAUGAUUUUUUUCUUCCCCUCUAAGAAUCCUUUCAAUGAUCAUCCCCUGCUACACAAAGCAGAAGCCAAAAUUAAAAUUUUUGACAUCUUAUUUCAUGAUUUUCAUUAAAUUUAUAUGAUUGUUGACCCAUGUCAAUAUCUUGGGUUUCGUUUAUGUCCUUAUACGAGGCAUUACUUUAACAGAAUAAGUGGGAUCAAGAAAAGAACUUGAAAUAUCUAAAAUGAGGAGAUUUAAAAAAUAAAGAAAUAAAAAAAACCUCCAAGCUAGUUGGAUGAAAUUGACUAUGUACGUGUGGAAUACCAUCAAGUGAUAAAAUUUUCUAGAAAUUUUCACUUAUAUGAAAAAUCUAGGUCUUCCUACAAAACUUUGGUGUCUUGAUUUAAAAUAUUUACAAUUGUGAUAUUAAUGAAAUUAAAGCUCAUGUUACUGAUGAAAAAGAUAUGAUACCUUGCACAUAUUUGGAGGACAGAGGUUGCAGCCGUGGGAACUCUUUGUGAAAUCAUGGUAAGGGAUGAUCCUCAGCCUCCCUUCUUCAUCAACAAAGCUGGGGUUGUGUUGAUCUCUGAGAAAUAUUUCCUUAAUCCAAGAUGUUCCAGAAUUGUCUCAAUGAAGAACAUGUUCGCAUCACUCACAAUCCUGAGUUCACACCUGAAAAAAUAUUCAAACCAAUUUGAUCACCUUAAAUUUCUAUUGCUUCAAACUGUAGUUUUUAUAGUCACAGGUCAAAUACCAAGAGGAGAAGCAUAGAAAAAAAAGAGUACCCUAAAGAAUGAGCUGAUUUAAUAGCGGGGACGAUCCUAGGAUGGAUAGGAGCUAUUUUCAGAACCUCAGCAAUGUCAUCAAUGGUUUUUCCCUGGGCAUGAAGCUCCUUCAUCAUCCUGUCUGUAAUUUUAUACCACAAACACUGAGUUUCAAUUUUUACUAAUGUAAAGCCAACAGAAAGAGAAAUUGUAGAGGGCUUAAUACGGGUUACCAUGAGAGAAUUCCAGGGCAUGGUAGGAAGAAGCUGGUUGAACAAGUCGGUGAAACCCAAGUCAUCGACAACCCAGUUAUCACUAUCACCGUCGAUGAUGGUUUUGUCAAAAUCAAAAACCACAACAAUUCCAGCCAUCUCUCUGAAUGAAAAUCAAACAAAAGACAAAACAAGAAUGGAAAAACUCGACAACUCUUUGAAUGUUGUUUUCUUGGUAUAGAAUCACGUAACAGGGGAGGGGUAUUUAUAUGCAGAAAAAUGUUAUUAGGUUUAAACAAUGAAUUUUUUUAUGCCAAAGGAAUAUUACGUGAAGGGGUUAUAAGGUGUAAGUAGGAAGCACCAAGCAGGCCACAAAAAGCCGUUUUUCCUGCAAGCUUCCUACGCAACACAUACUAAUCUGAUACAACUGCUUGUAAAUUAUUUCUCUGGUAUAAGCAAUAUUAACCGUUUGAUGGAUGACUUUUGAACCAGUGAUCAAUCAAGUUUAGUCAGCGGAUCAGGGGUAAAAGGGUGUCGGUUAAUUAUGAAAGGGAUUAGGUUUUAGGUUUAAGGUUUAAGGUUUAUCAAACUCCUCUCCAUUGCUUCAUUCGCAUACUUGUGCCUUUACUAGCCUCCUGUUUUUGCAAAUCAAAUCCCAAACUGGGAAAUUCUUCCUUGUCAUUAUAUAGGCCCCAUCUCCCAGCUUCAAACUUGGACAGGAAUCGCCAAGCCCAUAGCCGAGGUAGAUUAUUGUUUUCUUCUCCUCCACGAGCAUGAGAGAGACUUGGAUCCUUUCAGUCACAAUACCCCAUUAAGAAAAGAGUUCAAUCAUUAGUCAAUAGGAUGGGAAGAAAAUGAAGAUAACUUAAAAAUAAUUAGUAGCAUAUAAUUAUAUAUCUUACAGCUAAUCAUGCUUUGGAUUCAUUACGUGUACUAAACAUUAGAAUUCAGUCAAGGAUGCAUAUGGUAUAAUCGGGUAUUCAUGUACGCCUCCAAAGAUUCGAAAACAAAAGAUGUUUUCUUUGGACGCCUUCAAAUUUUGUUUUGGAGACCUUCAAAUUUUUCUUUUGAACAUAUCUUUCUUAAUUCCUUAUUCCUUAAUCCUUCACUUACUGCCACUAUCUAAUAUCCAAUCACAUCUCACAGCCAGUUAAUGCCCAACACCUAGUAAACAUCCACUAAUAAAUGGACACCUCCAUAAAAAUAUCUUGCAUCUGCUACCGUUAGAAUUCAGUCAUAUUUGAUGCAUGCAUGCAUGGUUCACGUUGUUAGUAACUAGUAUGAUUUUCAAGUUAAAAAUGACAUACCUUGCACAUGUUUGGAAGGCAGGGAUGAUGACAUCCAUGAGUAGAUUGAGUGAAAUCAUGGUGAGGCAAGAUCCUUAGCCUGCCUUCUUCAUUUACGAAACCUGGGUUGGUAUUGAUCUCUGAAAAGCAUUCCCUCAGGCCAUGAUGCUUCAAAAUUGUGUCGAUGAAGAACACCUUCGCAUCGCAUACAAUCUUCGAAUCACACCUGAAAUUAAUAAUGCCAUACGACUUUUUUCUUUUCUUUUUUUUUUUUCGAGCGAGAAAACCAGAAAGAAAAAUUAAAUAUACAUGCCGGCAGGACUGAAGUUGGCAAGAAGGAAACUCCUAAAGCUAAGAAAUGUUGCCAGAGAGCUUAUUAAGUGUAUGGUCCUUUAAUUACUUCUUGCACAGAGGAAUAAUAUCACAGGCUGCAACCCCUCAGAAUGCAACUGUGGCAUCUGCUCUCUCAACAGACGAUUGGACUCAAUAUCUCGCUACUUCUCUACAGAUGAGGGAUAUGCAGCAGAUGUUGGCUGGUCUGACCUUCACCGAAGAAGAAGAUGUUGUUGGCUGGCAUCAAAGUCCGGCAAGUUCAUACUUUCAAAUACAUGGGACUGGAUCAGGUAUAGGCAACCCACUGUGGUUUGGCAUAAAUUGGUCUGGAUUCCUCUUCACUCCCUAAACAUAGUUUUAUCGCUUGGCUUGAGGUUCUUAAUAGAUUAAGCACAGUAGCUAAUAUUAGGAGUUAGUGUACUCAAAUGUCAAAAAUCACUUGCUGCUUUUGUGAUAAAGAGGAGGAGACUAAGAAUCAUCUUUUCUUUUCUUGUGACUUCUCAAAGCAAGUUUGGCAAUUAGUUUUAGCAAAAGUGAAGUGUGUUUUUGAUUGCAACAUCCAAAAGUGGCAGCAGGAGCUUGAUUGGAUUAUUCGGCAUACCAGAGGUAAAACUUUUAAGAUUGUAAUUUUGAGAGGAGCGUGAACAACAAGUAUAAAUAUAUCACAUAUGCCAUGCGAGGGAUUCUCCAUAACUUGGCAUUUGUUCUCCAAACGUUGACAAAUACUUUCCCAGACAUUAGUUUUAAUGUAAAGUUUUGCGUUUUAAAAUUUGUAAAAAGAUAUGAAUAAUCCAUCUAUUAGCUCUGUAUGUAAAAAAUUAAAGGAUUGUAUAGGAAAUGCUAAGGCUUAUUCUUUGAUUUGUGGACUGGUAGCCUCCUACUUCUUUGGACCAAUGAAAUACCAUUUAUGACAAAAAAAAAAAAACGAAAAUAUACACGAACAGAGAGAAAAAUGUAUACAUAGCCCAAAGCAUGAGCGAUUUAAUGGCUUGGAUGAUUCGGGGAUGUAUUGGAGUUGUUUUUAGAACAGCUAUAAUGUCAUCAAUUUUUGUUCCAUGUGAAUGAAGUUCUUUCAUUAUUAGAACCUGUUUUGUACAUAAAAAAAUUAAGCCCUGGUUCUUAAGUUUGGAAAAGAAGGAAAAAGAAAAACAAAUAAAUUAAAAGACUAACCAUAAAAGAGUUUCAAGGCAUGGUAGGGAGGAAUUGAUUGACCAACCAUGUAGCACGUCUGAGAUAUAUGAAACUUGGAAUUCAGGUUAAUUGAUUUAUAAAAUUAUUUUUAAGAGAUGAUAUCUAACUGAAACUCAAAUUUCAAUAUUUACAAUUAUUUUUCAUAUUUUCAAAUGGUCUUCUUAAUUAAAAAAUAAUCUGUAGUAAAAAAAUUAUGUACGCUUAAUUUGUUUGAAUUGAUAAGUUCUUUUGUUAUAAGUUUUAAAAUUUAUAAUUUUUUCUUUUAUAUGUUCAGAUUUUAAGUUAUAUAAUCAGAGACAAGUAAUUUGCAAUCAUAUUACAUAUAAAAAUUAUUUCUGGUUUAUAAGAUUUAAAUUUAAAUUACAGUUUCAAAUUCUUUCUAAUAAUUAGAUCAUGUAAAAUUAAGAUAUAUUAAAUUUAUGUUUUAUUCUGAUUCUUAACCUCUUUAUUAUUAGAAUAAUUAAUCUAUAUAAGUAUAUAUCAUAAAUAUUCAUAUCCUCAAUGUCUUUUAUACAAGUGAGAAAAAUUCUCGUCAAAGAAGAAUCAAAGCAUGUGCAAGGAAUAUUGAAUAUUGAACCUUUGGAAUUUGCCUAGUACAAUCAGAUAGAGAAGCAUUUCUAGAAAGCUGUAUAACAUGUAUAGGGUUUAAAAGAAUAAAACUUUUGACAUAUAGGUUCGGUUUUUGUUUUAAUAAUUAUAUUUAUUUAUGCUACAAUCUAGUACUUGCAAAAAAGAAAUUUAUUUUAAUUGAUUUAUGAAAUUAUUUUUAAAAAUAAUAUUUUAUUAAAAUUUAAAUCUCAAUACUUAUAUUUUAUUUUUUUAUUCCAAGUAACUUCUUUUUAAAUAAAAAGAGUCAUUUGGAAAUUUGUUUAGACUUUUUAUGAUUUGUUAAUCUACCUUUGGUCCAACCUUUCUAUAGUAUAUUAUUAAUUUAAUAAUCACCCCUCGGCUUAACUAAUCUUAACCUUGCAAUUAAACAGUAAAACUUUUCCAUUGAUAGGAACUUCCUUAAGUAACUUUUUGGUCAUGGAAAUAGCAAUCUCCAUAUUGAAAUGUUAAUCAUGAAAUUAAAUCAUUAAUCUUAUUACAUAAUUCGCCUAAUAUAAACUAAUUUUAUUGGAAUAUAUAUCUAAAUUUGAGUAUAUAUGCAAAAAAAAAAAAAAGAUAAAUGAUUUUUAAAUGACGAAAAAAAUAAAAUAAUCUUUUAAUUCAAAAUUUAAUUCUAUUAAUUUAUGCAUAUAAUUAUAUUUAAAAAAUAAUAUUUAAUAAAUUUAAGAUUUAAAACACGGCACCUUCUCCCAUUCCAAAGUUACUAGCUCUUUUGUAAAAAUAAUAAUAAUAAUCUGUUCCUCGUAAUUUUAAACUGAUGAAUUUAAUUUGAUAAGAUUUUGCGAUCAUAUUUUCAUUGAAAAAGUUUAUUUACUUUUAUUUCAAAAGUAGAGGGCAAAAAAAAGGCCAUUUGGCCUAACAAUCAAUAUCCUUUUGAGCAACUUCGCAUUAGAUGAGCAUUGGCCUCCGAUCUGCCCAACAACUAAUCUACUGAGGAACUGGCAGAGCUUGAGGCAAGGCUUGGUUUGAUGCUGAAAUCGUUUGCAGUUUGCAGUCAACAGAGAUUAAUUGAGCAGAUUUAUCAUUAUUUUCCUCAACAGAAAUCAUGUUGAUUAUUUGUAGCAAAACACGCUCGAGCUCUUCACCAUCACUCCAUUCAUGAAUCUCAGCCUUGAUGAGCAAAGGGUUCCUGCAAAUUAAAUCCCAGACUGGAAAAUUCUUCCUUGGCAUCAUAUAGUCUGCUUCUCCAAGCCUUAGACUCGGGCAGUAAUCACCGGCACCAUCUCCAAGGUAGAUGAUGUUUUUCUUCCCCUCUAAAGAAGCUUGAAUCCUUUCAAUGAUCAUCCCC